rnacentral:lncRNA from 1 species
UCCAAUAUUGCUUGAAGAUCCUGAUAAUCUCAAUCAUGCAUGUAUUUUCUCUGCCAAUAAACCGAUUACCGUUAACACCAAUAACAACUUCAGAUCAAAUUUCUUUCUUUUUGUCUGUUGGCAAGAAGAGCUUGAUAAUGAGCCUGCGCAAAUGCAAUCUAAUAUUCUGAGGUUAAUUAAUUCAAGAAGUUGCAUCUUCACAAGAAGUACAUUUAAUGUUGUGUUUAUUUACUGCAGUGGGUGGGGAAGUGUGGAUUCUUCCCACUCCACUAUUUACUUGUUUAUUUAAUAAGGGGAGUGGGUGUCUCAAAUUCCACUCAUUUUUGGAGUGUGCAGUGAGAUUCCUCCUCCCACCUCUUUUUUUUUUUAGCCUUUUCUAUUAAAUAUAAUAUAAUUAUAUUUAUUAAAAUAAAGUAAUGUCACAAUUACUUAAAAAUAAUAAUAUUAAACUUAUUUGAAUAUAAUAUUAUUAUAUUUAGUGAAAAAUAAUAAUUUAUUUAAUCUAAGUUAAAAUUAUUUUAAAAUAAUAAUAUUAUAUUCGUGGAGAACUAAUAAUAUUACUUUACAUUUAUUUAAUUGUAAUAGUAUUAUAUUUAUUUAAUGGUAAUAAUUAAUAGUAAUAAAUAGUUAUUCUAAGAAAAUAUUAAUUUUGUACUAUAUUAUUAAUAAUAAUGUUUCAUGUAUUGCUCUUAUAAGGAAUUUGUAACUUACAUAAUUAAAAUUAAAAUUAAUAAAAAAUUGUGAUUUAAAUAAUUAAGAAUAUUAUAAUAAUUAUCAAUUUAUAUAAUUAAAAUUAAUAAUAAAAUAAAUAGUUUAUUUUACAAAUAUAUUUUUUAUUCACUUUGUAAUUACAAACCAAUUCUUUAAAUAUAAGUAAAACUGUAAUUUGAAACAAUUCACUCCUAACCCAAGAUAAAGUGAAUAAAUAAUGAGAUUCUAAUUCAUAUUUUACACUCUAAUUUCAAUAUAAGUAAACAACUUAUUCUCACUCCCACUUUAUACUCCCAAUCCUAGGAUUCCCACUCCUCAGAAUUUCCAAUCCAAUCCGAGAAGUAAAUGCUAACUUAAACAUAAAGACAACAAAGAGUACUUAUUAGUUUUCUAUUAUUCUCAAUUUCGGUUAUAAAUUUUAGAGACUACAUUUUAGGGGUGUUCAGAAUCUAAUUCGAUCUGCUCAAUCCGUCUGAUCUGUAGAAAUCCGAUAAGUGGAUUGGUGGAUUGGAUUGGAUUGAAAAUUUGAUAAUCCACAAUCGGUGGAUUGGAUAUGGAUUUACUUCUGUAAAUCCGCAAAAAUUCGUGAAUCUGCAAAAUAAUAAAAAAUAUUUUUUUAAUUAAAAAAUAAAACUUGUAAACAUGACAUUAGUACUUACUAGUAAAUAAAUACGUUAAAAUAUAGUUACAUUAACACUAUAUUAUAUCUUAUCUGAUAAUAAUAAAAAAUAAAAAAUAAUUAAAUAAACAAAUAUAGCUUCCUAAAUAGUUAAUUUCCGUGUACUGAUCUAAACGAAUGAGAUUUUUUUUGUUUUGGUGUGUUAUAUUUUGAAACUUUAAAUGUAUUUUCUAGCUUUAUUUAAACAAUUUAUUUAUUUAAAUCUUAUUUAAUUUUAAAUUUGAUCGAUAGUAAAAUUAUUUUUAUAUUAAUUUUUUUAUUUAGUUAAUUCUUGGAUUGAACAGAAUUAAAAUUUUUCGAUCCGCAAACCAAUCCGUAAAAUGGUGGAUUGGAUAUGAAUUGGGUCAAAUCCGCAUCCGAUCUGCAGAUGUAUGGAUUGGAUUUGGAUUUGGAUUGAAUUUCACCAAUCUGUGGAUUGGAUUGGAUUGAAAAUUUAUAAUCUGUAAGAUUGUGGAUCGGAUUGGAUUGAUGUCCAAUCUGUAAAAUUCGAUCCGCGAACACCCCUACUUCAUUUGAUUAAACAGUUGGACACGACUAUAUUUGAAUUUUAAAGCAGUAACUUGAAGUAUAAAUUGACUUUGGGAUGAAAAUUCACACAUUGAAUAUAUAUAUUAGUUUUCCAAUUAGAAAUAUGUGACUUUAAUAAAGUUAGGGAUAAGUUAAAAGAUAAAAUAAAUACAGACUCCAAUGCAUUGUAUUUUAUCUUGUAAUAUAUUGAAAUUUACAUUUUUUUUUGUCUUUUAAUUAAUCCUUGACUUUAUUAAAGUUAAGGAUUCAUAAUUAGAAAACCACUAUAUAUAUAUAUAUAUAUAUACACACACACAUACAUAUAUGAUCUAGUCAAUGAUAUAAUUCUCACCUUACGGUGAACAAUACUGUCGCUACUCAAUAUAUAGUAGCAAACCUAUGCAUGGUAAAAUAGCAAAUAAUAAAUUUUCCAUCCCCACUAGCUAAUUAAUCAGCAACUUAUUGAAAAAUUGGCGUCAUAUACAACAUUGUUUGCGUCGCAAAUAAAUAUAUAUGUCUGCAAUAAAAUUAAUACUUGAUCGUAGCUCAAGUUUGGCUGCGUAUUGCCAGUUAAAUAUACGAGAGACAAACAAUAUUUCGGUUUUGGUCAAACAAAUAUUUGAAUAUAUCUUAACAUUAACUAGUUUGCACUUGUAGCUCUAAUUUUGCUCUUUAAUUUCUAUGAUUAAUGUGCUGGGUAUCUCAUUCAACAUGUGAUGAUUUUAAUUAAUCCGACGAGCUAGCACGUAUAGCUAGAUAUCUUAAAGUUGUACUUGAUUAAUUUGUAAAAAUAAAUGGAAAUUAAUAUACAUAUUACAAGAGAGAGCUGAUUAACGAUCAGUAUGCCAUCGAUCAAUUAUAUGUAUAUAUAUCUGGCUCCUCUUACUGAGCAGCAUUCCAAUACUCAUUUUAAUUUUGAUUAUAAUUUCAAUUUAUUUAGUGGAUAAUACAUCUUAUUACAGAAACAAUUUUGCUCCCUGGGUUUAUCGUCUCAAGUUCAAUCUUCAAAUUUCUUGGCCAAGGCAAAGACAUAGCAAAUAGUGAGGGCAGGACAUUUCUUGCCCAUGGUUCAUUGCCAACGUUAUUUGUUUUUGGCACUUUCACUUGACCACAAAAAGGCACCUACGCUCACAGCUUAAAAACUCAAAUUAUUUGUAUGUCACUGGUGGUUGAUGCCCUAAUUCUUGGAGAAGAUUCAAUUUAAAUCCUUUUGCUGAGUUAUUUCCUCUAAUUAAACUCUCGACAUCUUCGAGCAUAUGAUAUGGUACAUAAGUGCAACCGAGCAUUCUUAAUAAAAACUAAUUAAUCAUUAAAUUUAUGGAAAAAUGCCAGAGUUGAGAUAUUUGCCAUCUCCAUAUGAUAAGUCUAUGUUGGUUCUAUUUUCUUUUUUUCCUUUUUACCCUAAAAUUGGAUUUUCAAUGCGCUGCAAGCUACAUUACAGAAUGAUAUACUACAUAACUGUCAAAUAUUUUUCGCUUCGCUUUUAUUAUUUUGGUCCCUAUAAUUUUUUUUUCCUUCUUUCGAAUUACCCAUUAUGUCUCUUAAGUUAAAAUUUUGAUAUUCAAAUUUACUGUAAAAAAUAAAUAAUAAUUUUAACAGGUAAAAUCCGUCACAUCUUUUGACAAACACAUUAGAUUAGACUAUCAAAAGUAUAUAUGAUAGUAAUAAAAAUAAGAAAAAUAUGUUUUUUUUCUAUGGUUAUUUACUUGUUUUAAGACUAUGGAUAUAAUGGGUUGUUGAAAAAUACUUACAUACAUAAGUAUAAUUUAGUGGUCAUUAGCGUUUACCAUAUAGGAAGCACCUGAAAACGUAGUAGGACUUUGGGACAUCCUGUAAAUAAUAUUUAAAUUGUGGAUUAAUCAGACAAUGUCACAUGACACUGUCGCUCAUCAUUAGGUAAUUACUGCCGCCCAUUAUAACAUUACUUCCCCAUAUAUAUUAAGAGUGUCAUAGGCAUAUACUAAUGAAAUCAAAUGUACUACUUUGUAGCCUCAACAUCAUAGCUUGGGAGUUCAUGCAUGUUAUGCUUUGGCCUCCUAGCCUCAAUUGGGUAUGAAAGAUUUUGAAACAUUGAGUUUCUAAUGGCGUAUAUGCUUUGCAAACUCAAAUACUGAUGCUUUAUUGCAUACACACACACACACACACACACACAAACGUAUGUAUUUAUGUCCAGAGUUCGGGUUUGAAAUGAAUUGGGGAGAGGAAAUGCUAAAGCUGCAAAAUUUCCAUCAAAGUUGCCUUAAUUGCUUCCAUGUGUAACAGAGUUUUCUUUUCGAUAAUAAUGUGCUCAUCAGAAAAAUUGUUUAUUUAUUUACAAGCGAUGAAGAAGUAUCGGAAUCUGUUACAAGAUCACUCUCUGUCCCCUUAGCUUUCUCAAUGUUACUUAGCGGUGUCCAGCCUGUAGCCCUGUACUCUCACGUAAGUUGAUAAUGUAUGAUAUAUAACAUAUUUUUCAUAAUGAUUACUUCGACAAGAAUAGUGAAAGUAUUGUCGAUUUUUUACGAAUAAGUCACCUUAUUUUUUAUUAUUUACCAAUUAACAGUUAAGAGUCGAUGAAGUCACAUCUCCCAACAAUAAUAGCAAACGGAGCCUUGGUCUAUUGUAUCAUGCAUAUAUUGAAUUAAUUUGCCAAUGUAUUUAGUAGGGGCUGCUAUUGGUGCCGGUCGGCAAAGUAUAGUAGAAUAUAUUAACAUUUGCUGCUAUUAUGUGAUUGGUACCUGUAGGAGUUUUUCAUGUACGUGGCCAAUGUCAAAGUCAAGGUAUCAAUUCAUCUUUGUAUUUCUUACUUUUCAUCUUUUUCCCUCUUGAUAAAGAACUUCAUAGAUUUAAAUUUAGCAUCUUUUACGAGGAUGUGUAAUUUGAUCUUUAUCGUUAAUAUAGCUCUUAUGAUUUUUUUUUUUUGGUAAAUGCUCCUUUAGUCCAUAGUAUUUAAGCUAAUUAUCACUUAGUUAGUUCUUUCAUUUUCUUAAAAAUUGCCCAAAAAUUAAAGUCCUCUCGUUUUUUUUUUAAUUUGUUGCAUGUUAGAUUUGUUUGAAAUUUUAAGUUAUAUCAUAAUGAAGUAUCAUUUUAUCAGACCCGUUUGUGAUUACUUUUGAGAGACUUAAAUGUAAUUUUAAAAAGUUGGUGUUUGAUUUUUUUUUUAAACUACUUUUGAAAAAAAAAUUACCUCAUCCCAUAGUAGAGUUUGAGCAGUAGGGAAGAAUAGCUUUUUAAAAUUUGAUUUUGAAAAUGAGUUUUGUACUUAAUGCAAUUCCAUAUAUAUCCUCUCAUCUGUAAAAAUCCAAAAUUAUCCUUAUCCAACUGCGAAAUAAAAUAAUUAAAUUUAAAGAGAUUAUUAUUUUUACCAAUCAUAUUGAAUUAAAAAAAUAAAAAUAAUACAAUAAAAAUAUUUAUUUUUGUUAUCAACUAUUAUAUACACACAAUAAAAAAUCACACACACACACACACAUAUAUAUAUGUGCGUGUGUGUGUGUGUGUGUGUGUGUGUGUGUGUGUGACAAUAAAUUAAUAAAAACAUUUAUUGAACAAAAUAUCUAUUUGAGUCAUUUGUAUGUAUUCUUAUAGUAGUUUAAUAGUAAAAUUUACCAAACAUAUAUGAUUGUUUUUAAAACUCAUAACACCUUAAAAAUAAAUUUUGCCAAACAUUAAACUAAUGUUGUACACAACACAACUAAUUAUAAAUGUAGCCAGAUGAAUAUAGAAUUGAAUUCCAAUUACUUUCAAUACAAUUUUUUUUUCAAUUGAUGAGUGAUUUUUUUAUUUGCUUAAUUAAAUUAAAUGAAUAAACUAUUGUUUUUGGAGAUAAAAUAAAAAUAGUAGGACAACUUUCGGAGCUUUUCUUUGUUAGCUUGGUUGUAAAGAAACAAGUUGUUUCCCUUUUUUACACCCAGAAAAAAAUAAAUAAAUAACUGUUCGAACGUGUUAAAUCUCUAAACGUUCGGCUCUAAAUUGCAUAAAAACGCUAAAUUUGCGAGACCUAAAAUACCGUUCAUGUAAACAAAACGAUAUUAUCAAUCAUGCAAAUUCAUUUAUUCAUGAACAGGAACUCAGCCAUGUGAUACAAGCCCAUUUCAUCUUGUACCUAUAAAAUCUUAAAUAUAUAUAUGCAUAUAGAAAAAUUUGUGGAAGGGUUUACUGAAGGAUUGAUUGACAGUAUGAUGAGCUGCCAAAUACUAUUAGACAAGGAACAAAAUUCUGUGCUUCAUGAAAAUUAAGAAGUAGAUUUUUAGAAAGAUUCUAACUAGCUCAUCAUUUUUAUCUAUAAUCUCAAAACAAUCAUUUUUUGCGAACUCAGUUGUAAAUAAAUAAAUGGAAUAAGAGAAUGAACCAACAGAUUUACUGAUUGGAACUAAUUAAUGAUGAUUUUGGCUUAAAUGCAAACCGAAUGCCUUUGCCUGUUAUCAGCUUGCAGAAAACAUACUCAUUGAAGUUCAAGAGAAUAAAGAAUACGAGAAACUGAACAAUACAAAUAUGUACGAACAAAGGAUUAAAGUAAAUGGGGAAAAGUUGUUACAGUAACAAUACAAAUCGAAGUCAUAAUCCAAUUAUUUAUGACAAGAGAUCAUCCAAGUCCAGCAUCAAGCCGAAUGAACCGGGCACAUCCCCUAUUGGUUCUUCAGCAUCAUCAUGAAUUAAGUCUUCCAGAAAAGAAUAGUCUUCCUCAAUUAACUCAGGUAGUCCAUCACUGUCCUCGUGUUGCACCAAUGAUUCAGGCACCAACAUGGGCACUUCAACGAUACUCUCUGAAUGACAACAAUAAUAGCUAAAAUAAACAAGUAUCAGAAUAGUUUUUCAUUAUUUACCAAUUGACACCUAUGAGCUAAUGAAGUCACAUCUCCCAACAAUAAUAGCAAACGGAGCCUUAGUCUAUUGUAUCAUGCAUAUAUUGAAUUAAUUUGCCAAUGUAUUUAGUAGGGGCUGCUAUUGGUGCCGGUCGGCAAAGUAUAGUAGAAUAUAUUAACAUUUGCUGCCAUUAUGUGAUUGGUACCUGUAGGAGUUUUUCAUGUACGUGGCCAAUGUCAAAGUUAAGGUAUCAAUUCAUCUUUGUAUUUCUUACUUUUCAUCUUUUUCCCUCUUGAUAAAGAACUUCAUAGAUUUAAAUUUAGCAUCUUUUACGGAGGAUAUGUAAUUUGAUAUUUAUCGUUAAUAUAGCUCUUAUGUUUUUUUUUAAUUAUUUUUUAUAGGUAAAUGCUCUUUUAGUCAUGACUAUUUGAGCUAAUUAUCACUUAGUUCAUGUAUUUUUUAAAAAUUGUAAAGUCCUCUCACAUUAUCUAUUUUUACUUAUUGCCUGUUAGGUUUGUUUGAAUUUUAAAGUUAUAUCAAAAUGAAAUAUUAUUUUAUCAGAUCCUUUUGAGAUUACUUUAGAGAGACUUAAAAAUAAUUUUGAAAAGAUAGAAAUUAAUUUUGGUAUUUGGAAAAGAUAGAUGCUCUCCCCCCUCUCUCCCCCCCCCCCCCCCCAAGAGCCUUAAACGGCCUUAAUGGCCUCUCCGGCAUCCGGUGAUGGCAACCAGUCAUCACCGGUCAACACCCUCUCCGCCAAAGAACGAAUUAUUAGGAGUUUGAACCCUCCUAAGAAAUCAUUUAGACGACCCCCAAAAUUGACCAAUGAUCCACUGCCUGACGUCCAACUGUCACCACCGCGAAUCAAAUCGCUCCAGCGGCAAAAUGACCUCAAUCCAUCCACACAACCAAAUCAUUUCUCUCCAAACCACUCCCAUGCAGACCUUCCAUCUCCAAUCCACCAUCAUGCUGACCAACCACCGACAUCCACUGCCUCUAUCCUCUCGAAACUUCGGCAACCCUUAACCACCUCUGUUGUCGUAAGUGAACAAGAAGAAACGUCUCAUGAAGGCUGCCAUGAUGCAGCAAAUCAACCAUCCCUUCACGAGCCGGCUAUCAUGAACUGACCGGCCAAUGAUAAUGGCAGCCAGCCACCACCGAUUCCCCCCCUCACUUCCAAAAACGAAUUUCCUUUUCUUAGGAGAUCUCAAAGGCAAACUCGUUCAAAGUAUAAAAGCCAAUCGCCAGCCAUCCAACCCCAACAGCCACCAACUUCCGUAAACACAGCCAAUCAACCACCAUCGCCAUCGUCAUCCCUUCAACAGCAAACUCCAACCUUAACUAGCCAUGACCACCUUCCAACCGUCGAGCCAUCAUCACCUUCAAAUCGAACCAAGCCUUCACAAGCUAACACAAACCAGCUUCCAGCAUCUAGUCCGCAGCCAACACAAGCCAUACAUGAUCACUCGGGAGAUGAUCAGCCAGCCGUUACAGCCCCUAUGCAUUCUCAAAACCAGCCCGUGCUUCAUGGCCAAUUGAACCAAGAACCUCUUCAAGAUGCAACCACCGUGGUUAAAUCCAGUCAGCCACAACCAUAUCCUACACAAACAACCCCCACGAGCCAAAAAGUCUCACACACACGCACUCGGAACAGUGUUCACAGCCAGCUGCAGCUGCUGACCGGCGAUUGUCAGCUCCCCAUGCAAGCAAACACCACCGAAUCCAGUCAAGAUCAGCAAACAUCCCAGCCCAAAAGUCUCCACGCGUGCAGCAGCCAUGAGCAAACAUUCCAGCCCAAAAGUCUUCACGCGUGCAGCAGCUAUGUUGCUCCACAUGCACAUGAACCACUUUCGGCUGCACAUGAUUUGUGUCCCCCAUGUGCGUUUCCUACUAGCCUUCCCCUUGUCCCAUUAUCCUUUCCCACUAAUCAAUCCCAAGCCCAAUCCAUUUCUGAGCCCAACAACCAGCCCUCCCGAAUGCCCUCAACACUCAUUUCUGAUAAUCCCCAAUUUACCCCGUUGACUCAAAAUGCUACACCGCCCACAUCCGCACCAUCUUAUGCCUCAAUUUUGAAUUCCGUCCCCAAUUCGAAUCAAAAGAGAACCAAUAAAAAAUCGUUUAUGGAUAUUAUGAUCGGCCCAACUAGCUAGAGGGUUCCAAUCAAGACCGUUACUUCUUUCGGGGGAGAGCCUAACGUGCAAUUCUCUGUUGCGGAAAUUGAAGGGAUGGCCAUUUCUUUCAAGCUGACAUUGGUUGGUAAAUUUUCUUAUAAUAGACCUAGUAUAGAAUUAAUUUGUAAAUUUUUUACUUCUUUGAGAUUGAAGGGAACUUUUAAGGUGUCUUUACUAGAUAAUCGACAUGUGUUAAUUCAAUUGGACAUUGAGGAUGACUAUUCCCCCCUAUGGGUUAGGUAGACAUGGCACAUUAAUGGGAGUGCCAUGAGAAUUUUUAAAUGGACCACCGAUUUUCGGUGCUCCGAGGAGUCCCCUAUAGUUCCAGUAUGGAUCUCAUUUCCUUACAUGCCUGUCCACUUCAUGCACUGUAGGGAAGUAUUAUUUUCUAUUGCAUCAGCUAUUGGCAAGCCAUUGCGAAUUGACCAAGCUACUGCCACUACUAAAAAAAUAGUCUUUACUGACACUUGAUUUGUGACNNNNNNNNNNNNNNNNNNNNNNNNNNNNNNNNNNNNNNNNNNNNNNNNNNNNNNNNNNNNNNNNNNNNNNNNNNNNNNNNNNNNNNNNNNNNNNNNNNNNCAUAAAAAUAUCACAAAUUAUUGAUACUAUAGUGUCGGUAAUUUAGACAUCAGAGAUUUCUGACAUUAAGAUAUCAGUAAUAAAAAUAAAAUAAUUCUAAUUAAGUUCUAAAUAGAACUCGAACCGGAGACCUCUAGUACUCAAGUGUUUAAGUUCGAAAAAAAGACCAGAACAUUCAAAACUCAACUUUUCUUGUUCAGAAAAGUAACGACUAAACCAAACAUUUUUUUUUUAACUUUUCCUGUUUAAUUUAGACAAAAUUUUUAUUUUUUUCAUUCCCUCCUAAACUCCCCAAAUCUAAAAAACCCUAACUUCACCGAAUUCACAAAAACUCUAAUCUAAUAGCGUCGUCUUAUUAACCCCAACUCUUCCUCAGCCACUCCUCUCUUAUGUUUCUCUUACAGUCCAACACAAUCUCUUACUAUCUAACUCAAUUUUUCCCUCCCAAUCUCGGCUCUUUUCAAUCCCUAACCUUAAAUCUUUCUAUUACAAUCCAACAGAAUCUCACACGGUCGUGAAAUUCUAGCCAUUUUUUUGCCUAACGCCAAUCUUCGUCAUCGAGAAAAAUGAUUUGAGGUGUUUAAUUUAGCUCCAAGAUCAUGGACGGAUGCCUUGGUCAAAGUUAAAGAGCGUUGUUGGAGGCUGUUUAAAGAAGAAGCAGAAGCACCACUUAGGUGAAGCAUUUGUAGAUCUGGGCAUGGUAAUUAAGUAAGGUGAGCAUUAGCUAAAUAAUUAAUAAUUAUUAAAUAUUCUCUACUUAUAUGUGAAUUUAUUAAGAAAUUAAUUUGAUUCUUUUUGUUGAAUUUUACGUAGGUUUACUAAUUCUUUUAUUUUUAUUCAACUAAUACACGGUUUGGGAAUUCUUUUUUCCGUGUUUUGAUUUGUUGAUAUGUGAAUGGUAAAAGUUGUGUCAGUCAUUCAUAGUUUUUGGACAACUGGUAUGGUGUCUACAAAGUGUUUGAUGAGAUGCUUGUGAGAAUUGUUGGGUGCGUUUCAAUUAGUUGACAUGGUUAGCAAAUUAUAUGCUUAACAGGGUAGUAUAUGUAAAUAAGAAAUGAUGGUAUUCUUUCUUAAACAUAUUAUUUGGUGGUCAGUCGAUAUUAUUCUGUUUAACUUGCUUAUAGACAUUCCUUCACAUUCCUAGAUGCGAUUCUGUCUUUAUCAAGUGAACACACCAUUGGAAAUAUAUUUUUGAGACCUUUUGCAAUCCUUUCUUUCUCCAUAGGUAUAUUGUAUUUUUGAUACCUCACACUAAUACUAGCUUUUGAUGUGAAGGCUCGGUGAGCAUUUCGAGCCCUUAAAGGCACAAUAAGGCUGUAGGCUCUUAUUCGUGGACAUUUAGUGAGAAGACAAGCAGCUGCUACUCUCGGCGCUAUGCUGGGGCUUGUCAAGUUACAGGCACUUGUUCGUGGUAGAAAGGUCAGCCAUUCUGAUAUUGGACUUGAAGUGGGGAAAACUUGCACUCCAUUGACGCUUUUGGUAAUUUCUUGAGAGCUCAUCUGAUAGGGAUUUAACUGCUCUUCUUUUUAUUUAUUUAUUUUAAAAGAACAUAUUCUUUCCGUGAAGAUUAAUCUUUUAAAUAUAUUUCAUUGAUCUCGCUGUUAAUGCAUAUUGUUGAAUGUGGAGAUAUUGUCGUUUAUUGUUCAAUAGUAAAGGUCUCGCAUGGAGAGGCUUGAUUACUUGUCUUGCUUUGAUUCCAUGAACAAUGCGGAAUAGAGCAUGUCAUGAACUUCCACCCAAAGCUCAAGUGGGGUACAUUGGUGUCUGAGUGAACCUUUUUUAUGGUUAAGCAUUGAAUGGUUGUCCUUGCAGCAACUGUGUACUUGUACAAAUCAAUAUAUACCUUCUUACUUUUCAUCUGUUCCAUUCAUUUAGGAUACAUGCGUCACUUUAUGUAGACAGCCUUCAUCUACAAAUAUACGGAUGGGUUAUUUAUACAUUCCAGACAUUACUAAACUGCCUGAAUUUCUACAUGCCCGGUUCACUUCUAAUUAAUUUCAUUUUUCUUUUAACUGCUCUGUCCUUCAGCAGGGCAAGCAUGUGGAUCCUGUUGAACUUAAUUUGUCUACAUGAUUAUCGAAGCUGUUAGGAAGUUCUUUUUUAUCUUUAAGGUAUUCUCGGCAUUAUCAUGCCCAUUUGUCCGAUUAUGAUUUUUCUUUUUAAUGGAUUGAGCUUUAUGUUCAUAUGUCAUAUUAUUUAGGACGACUGUACAUGGCAGAGCCUGUGGUAUCAAAGACAUUAAGUUCUAAUUUGAAUAUGGCACCCAUUUUAUUUUGCUGGAGGCCUCCAAUUUAACUAAUAACCUGCUGGCAAAUAUGGCAGGAUGUAGUUGCAAUUUUUCUUUUUGAUCUACAACCUUCUUGGUUUUUUUUUGGAUGUGGGGUAAGUGACUGUUUGUUUUUUGCUUUAGUUUCUUGCUUCAUCACCAAUUGUGUUGUCUUUGCAACUGCAAUAUGAUUCUGUGGAGCCAAAUUCGGUCUCAAACACUGGUCAGCAUUUCACAUCUGGAAACUAGCUCCCCAACCAAAGAAAAUGUCAGACUCAAAAUCUCAGAAGAAGCAUGUUAGUGCUCAAACGCUUGAAGCUGAAACAGGCCGACCAAAAUGAAGUGUUCGCAGGAACCGUGCUGCUAAUGCAGACAGUAUCACAAUGCACUCAACCCCCAAAUUUGAGAGAUCCAAACGAAGUCUGAAGAAAGCUUUAAGCCAUCCAGUAGAUCCAGUGCAUGAAAAUCCACAAAGUGAACUUGAAAAGGUUAAGCGCAGCCUGAGAAAGGUUAAUAAUCCUCUAGUAGAAAAUUCUGCAUUUGUCCACUCAGAAUUUGAAAUUGAAAAAAAAAACCAUAGUUUGGAUAAGUUGCCAACGAGCUCAGUAUGUCAUGAAGGUUUGGAACGGAGCUUGAGAAAUUCAGGUGAGAAGAUGAAGAAAAAGACAACUUUGAAACAAUCCAAACUACCCAAAGUAGAAGCCACGCCAGACCUAGUGGAAAUGAAUGAGAUGUCUGAUGUACCACCCAGUGACCUAGCCGUAGAUGAAUCAAAACCUUGGAUGAAGAGUGGUGCUAAAGACGAGACUAUUCCCAUGACAAAUGGUAAUUUUGAACCAAAGGAGGAUUCAACAAACAAUGAGAAUAAUAAAUCUAGUAGGAAAGUUGCUGUUCUGACAAAGAAAAAAUGUGCAGAGAAUGAGCUGCAGAGCAGCCCGUCGCUGCCAAGCUAUAUAGCUGCAACUGAAUCAGCGAAGGGUAAGCUAAGACUACAAGGCUCAUCAAGAUCUAGCGAAGAUGGUGUUGAGAAAAAUAGCGGCACCGGGUGUCAUUCGCGGUUUUUUUCACCUUCAUAUCUCUAAAUUUUUUCACAUUGGCCUUUCCUUUUAAUUUCUCUUUUUAUGAAAUAAACUUUAAUCAGAUUUGAGUUGCCUUAUAAUAUAAACUUUAGUUCUUCUAAAUUUUCUCAUAUUGACAGUCAAUUUUUUUCGUUUUCCAUGUACUUAUAUGCAGAUUUGAUCAAUGUGUUUGAAGUGUUUCUUCCUCGACUUCACUUGUAUCCUAACCUAUCCAGUCUAUUGAAUAGAGAAGUUGCUGACGUGAUAACACAACUGCACUACUUAUGUUCAAAGAGUGAAAGGCAGUCAUCCUUAUCAAUUUAGCUUCUAAAUUUUCUAUAUGUAGCCGCAACUAGUAGACAUUUGAUUGGAUGGUAGAAAUUCUUAUGUAUUGAAUUUAAAUUAUUUAGUUAUGAGAGUAGGAUAUCUCAUAUUUUUGUUAUUGAAGUUUUGGAAUUUGUAAUAUAUACUAAUAAUAUUUAAAUGUGAAAUGAAAGAUUUUGUGAUAUAAAUCAAUUUCCUUUUAUUAUUUUGUGGUGCCUUUUAAUUUUACCAAUAAAUUAAUAGGCAAUGAUCUAAUUCAAUUUUUUAUUUUUUUAAAAUAAAUUAACUAGUGAUACCAUGGUAACAGUAAUCAUAGACACUAAUAAAAUAUCAAUAACUACUAACGCUAUGGUGUCAUAAUAUCGGUGAUACUGUAGUAAUAGUAAUCACUGACACCACUUACAAGUGUCACUAUUUUUCUGACUCCUAAAUUACUGACACAAUUAACAAGUGUCAGUGAAAGUAAUUUCUGACACUAUUCUAAAGUCAGUAAAGACAAUUUUUCUAGUAGUGCAUGCCUCUUUAGCUCACCCUUCUGUAGCUAGGGUAUUAGUGGAGUAUGAUGUUAUCCAACCUCCUUUGCCAAGGAUACGAAUCGGGGUGGGAGAUUCUGGAUUUUGGCAAAAUGUAAUGUUUGAGAAAAUCCCACUCUACUGUGCUUCCUGCAAGCACCUUGGCCAUACCAUUGAGACGUGUUACGUGGCCAAUCCGGGGCUCCGUCCCCAGCUACCCAGUGGGAAUCGGCAGACCAGAGUAGAAGAUGGUAAUAAGUCAGAAGUUCUACCGUCAGAUACUCCACAACCCUCAGAUACUCCUCGACCUGAGCCUUCCAUCACUAAGCAUAUUGUAGACGCGGGGUCCCCGAUCACCAAACCUUCGGAGAACCGGCCUAACGUUACAAAUUCUACAUCCGUUCAAGAGCCGAUUGCCCAAGAUGACACAACUCAUGAUUCUAAGGAACCUCGUGAUCAAAGCUUGUCUCCCCUGCGGAGCAUUGGUGAGUAUAAUCCACAUCUUCAUCAAGCAUCCAGCAUAGAUUUUAGCCAUUACAAUUCUCAUACUGAUAAUGAUGAUAGUUCUGACGAGCACCUGGCGAAUAACGAACACUUUUUAUUUGCUCUUGAGAAUUCUGAGAGAAUAGACUUAAGUCCCGAUUUUAGCAUUGUUGGUCAUUCGAAAAAGGGAUUUAAAUUACUUACCGGCCGUAAGUAUCUUAAGACAUAUUAUCACCGUCUUCAUUAGUCAUUUUAUUAUGAUUCUUAUGUUAGGCUAUGCCUUAAUCUUUUCUUUUUCUAUUGUAUUUUUUUCUCUUGAUUGGAGGUUUUGGUUUUUGUCCCCCUCCUUGUAUCUUUCAUUAUCUUUUAUAAAUGACAGGUAGGGGUCCCGCCUAACCCCCCCACCUUAGAGUGGUAUGCUUAUUUAAAAAAUUUUUGGUGUUUGAUAAUUUUUUUUAAACUACUUUUGAAAAACUUACUUUAUCCCAUAGCGGAGUUUGAAAAAUAAGGAAGAGUAACUUUUUAAAAUUUAAUUUUGAAAAUGAGUUUUAUAUUUAAUGCAAUUCCAUAUAUAUCCUCACAUAUACAAAAAUCCAAAAUUAUCUUUAUUCAAUUGUGAAAUAAAAUCAUUAAAUUUAAAGAGAUUAUUAUUAUUAUUAUUAUUAUUAUUAUUAUUAUUAUUAUUAUUAUUAUUAUUAUCAAUUAUAUUGAAUAACAAAAUAAAAAAAUAAUUAAUAAAAAACAUAUUUAUUUUUUAUUAGUUAUUAUAUAUACACAAUAAAAAUAAUAAAUAUACAUGACAAUAAAUCUAAAAAAAAAAUUAUUGAACAUAAUAUCUAUUUGAGUCAUUUGCAUGCAUUUUUAUAGCAGUUUAAUUGUAAGAUUUAUCAAACAUAUAUGAUUGGUUUAAAAACUCAUAACACCUUUAAAAAUAAAUUUUGCCAAGUAUUAAACGGAUGCUCUAUACAACUGAUUAUUUUUACAGCACAACUAGCAUUAAUUAUUUUAAAAGCUACACUUAUUACUAAACUAGCCCUAAAUCCAACAAUUAUGAAAGUAAUGAUAGAGAAUUUUGGAUAAGUUUUAAAAAUAUAGGAAUUAACUAGGUAAUUAACCCAAUCCAAAAAGACUAAAUAAACUUUUACCCUAUUUUGAUCAUGUUGCCUUACUUUGGAGUACAUGGCAUGGCUUGUUGUAGUUCAUUUUUCAAAAACUAGAUGAAUAUCUUCAUUCAAUUAAUUUGCACAUGUUAUAUGGAUUCGAAUGCUGCUUGGAGUAGUAAACCAAUCAUCGUGCUUGGCUAUGUUCCAAGAAAACCGACUGGGACAAUGAGGUAAAUAUUUAAAUUAAAUGAAGUUUCAUUCUAUGAUACAUUAAUACUGUAAUUAAACAUGAAUUGUGUAAAUGAUACAUAAGACAUAUAAAUUCAACAGAAAAAUUAUAAAUCAAUAAUAAGUAUAAAAUAAAACAUAAAUUAUGUAAAUAUAAUAUAAGACUUAUAAAUGAAAAGUAAAACAAGUAAAUUAAUAUAAGAAUGGUAAAUUGGUGUUCCACUAGUAAACAAAACAAAAACUUACAAAUGAAACAUAAAAUUUGUAAAUUAACAUUAAGUGUAAAAUAGAACAUAAAUUGUCUAAAUAAAACAUAAGAUUUCUAAAUAAAAGGUAAAACAAGUAAAUCAACAUGAAAAUGAUAAAUUAGUGUAUCAAUAGUAAACAAAAGAAACUUACAAAUAUAAUAUAAAACUUAAAAAUUAAUAAUAAGUAUAAAAUAAAACAUAAAAUUAAAUAAAUAAAACAUAAGACUUAUAAAUGAAAGGUAAAAUAAGUAAAUUGAUAUAGGAAUGAAAAAUUGGUGUAUUAUUGGUAAACAAAAUAAAAAAUUACAAUUGUAUUAGAUUCAAUUUUAUUGAUAUAUUGUAUAUGUCUAAUAAGAAUUCUUUUUAUUUUGUUUUGCCUUGAUCCACAUCAAGAAAAAUGAUUUUACAUAAUUAAUCUAUAUAGUAAACAAAUACUUUAUAUGAUAGAAAAUUGAAAAAAAAGUUUAUAAAGUCCUAAGACCAAUAUAGAAUUGAAUUCCAAUUGCUUUCGAUACAAUUUUUUUUUUCAAUUGACAGGUGAUUUUUUUUUUAUUUGCUUAAUUACACUAAAUGAAUAAAUUACUGUUUUUGGAGAUAAAAUAAAAAUAGUAGGACAUUUUUCUUCGUUAGCUUGACUGUACAGAAACAAUUGUUCCCUUUUUUUACACACACACACACACACACACAAAAUUGAAAACAUAACUGUUCGAACGUGUUAAAUCUCUAAAAGUUCGGCUCUAAAUUGCAUAAAAACGCUAAAUUUGUGAGACCUAAAAUACCGUUCACGUAAACCAAACGAUAUUAUUAAUCAUGCAAAAUCAUUUAUUCAUGAACAGGAUCUCAGCCAUGUGAUACAAGCCCAUUUCAUCUUGUACCUAUAAAAUCUUAAAUAUAUAUGUGCAUAUAUAAAAAUUUGUGGAAGGGUUUACUGAAGGAUUGACCGGCGGUAUGAUGAGCUGCCAAAUACUAUUAGACAAGGAACAAAAUUCUGUGCUUCAUGAAAAUUAAGAAGUAGAUUUUUAGAAAGAUUCCAACUAUCUCAUCAUUUUUAUCUGUAAUCUCAAAACAAUCACUUUUGUGAACUCAGUUGUAAAUAAAUAAAUGGAAUAAGAGAAUGAACCAUCAGAUUUACUGAUUGGAACUAAUUAAUGAUGAUUUUGGCUUAAAUGCAAACAGAAUGCCUUUGCCUGUUAUCAGCUUGCAGAAAACAUACUCAUUGAGGUUCAAGAGAAUAAAGAAUACGAGAAACUGAACAAUACGAAUAUAUACGAACAAAGGAUUAAAGUAAAUGGGGAAAAGUUGUUACAGUUACAAUACAAAUCGAAGUCAUAAUUCAAUUAUUUAUGACAAGAGAUCAUCCAAGUCCAGCAUCAAGCCGAAUGAACCGCUCACAUCCCCUAUUGGUUCUUCAGCAUCAUCAUGAAGUAAGUCUUCAAGAAAAGAAUAGUCUUCCUCAAUUAACUCAGGUAGUCCAUCACUUUCUUCGUGUUGCGCCAAUGAUUCAGGCACCGCCAUGGGCACUUCAGCGAUACUCUCCAAAUGACAAUGAUAAUUCUCUCCAGUUUCUCCACCCUGAAGCAUGUUGUUCCAGGAGUCAUAUUGUUGGUUGCAUAUCAUCUGAUCAAAAUGACUCAUCAUCAUCUCCAUGGAUGGCUCGUAAACACUGCUUGCAAGCCCCAUUCCACCAGCUAAGCUCUGCUCACUCAUCAUGUGAGAACUGCUGCAGCUUACUUCUUGAUAAUCCAUAUAGUUCUGUUGUUGAUUCUGUUGGUGGGUCAACAGCCUAUCCAUCUCAAUAUCUGCUACUUGUUCGGAUUGAUUGCUGUUGUCUUGAAAAUCCUUCAGCUUUCUUUUCUUUGCAGAACCGUACUUCAUAAUAUCAUGGCCAGAUGGUUGAUUCUUUCGGAGCCUGCAAAGCACAUAAUUGGCAGCUUGAUUCUUGGGCAAAUGGAGAGUGUACUCGUGCAUGAUCCAAGCCCCGUGAUCCUCACAACCUUGUUUUUCGUAACGAAACCGCUUCUUGGAGCCGAUUUUGAUUUUGGAUUGGCCGCUUACUAUAUCUUUACCAGCAUCCUCCCCUUGCCACGUACCACCAGAAGAUCCGACUUUGCGAUCAAUUCUAGAACCCUUGGAAGACUUUUUCUUCAAUUGGGUGAAGAAAUAAAGAUCUUCAUCAGCAUUUAAGAAGGGUCCUCCAUGUGAAUCCCAAAUCUCAGUGGGUUUUUUCUCGUAAAGAUUACAAUCCCUGAUGAAAUACUCAGCAAGAGGGAUGAAUAUUCCCGAAACUUUCUUCUUGAGAUAAUGUUCGAUGAGUUCUUCAUCGGAUGGUCUGAACUGGAAGCCAUGUGGAAGAAAGGGUCUGUGUUCUUGCAUUUUGUUUGAGGAGAAGAGGGUUAAUUCAAUGGUGGGUUGGUUGAUUGAUUGAUGGUGGAAGGUUUUUCGGUGAAUUAUUGAAAACAAAGAACACGGAAGCCGAGAGAGAAGCAAAGAUAGGGUUAGAGAAUUAGAGCAGAAGUGGUGAGAAGCGUGGGUGUCAAAGUUUCCUUAUAUCAUAUGGAGGAGUGAAGUGGCGUAGCUUGGAUUACAAGUAACAAUUUCUUAAGGCAACUCCGGGAAACGCGGGUGAACUUGCAAGUUGGGUAAUUGCUAAACCCUAAACCUAUCUCCCAGUUUGUUUCCACUCCAGAUUAGAUAUUUGGUGUUGUAAGAAGUUCUGUGAGUAGCAUUAGCUAAUCAUGCAACUAUGUGAUUUUAAUUCCCCUACACGGUGGUGCUGAAAUUUCGGUCUUGUGCACCUCUCCGACUAAUCAGCACGUCUGUAUUGUAAAUAGACGGUUACGAAUAAUCCAGCCAAAAUAAUAGGAAUUAGAUAUAUGGCCAUUCCAAAUAGAAAGAAUCAUUUUUUAAAAAAAUUCUAUUUUCCAUUGCUACUGUGAAAUAAAAUUACUAGAUUUCAGAUAAGAUUUCAAAUAAUAAUGGAUUGGUGUUAAUUAAAUACUAUUUAUAUAUCUAGACUAUUUAAAGCUAAUUUGAUAAUAUUCGUAACCUAAUUUUUGUUCUUUUGAAGGGAAAAAAAGGGUCAAACUUUUUAAGUAUUAUAUGGAAUUUUUUAUUUAUAUAAUGUGAGUAAUAAAUAAUUUUAAAUGUUGUAAAAUUUAUUCAUAAUAUUUAAGACAUAUAGUAUUACUCGUUAAAACAUUAAAUGAUUAUUUACAAAUGAGAUCUAAAAGAGAUUUCGGAUCUUGAUAAUUGAAAAAAAUGAUCCUGAAACCAAAUUAGUUCAACAAAUAUACAUCUUUCUAUGAUACCAACUAUAUAAUUUGCAAUGUUACAGAGAUUAUGGCAGCAACAGUUUAAAUAAACAACCUCUACAGCUGAUGUUUUUAUUUCACAAUUCAAAAUAUGCAAAUUUGAUCAUCUACCUAUCUAUCUAUGCAACAGAUUGUAUGCGGGUAAAUCUUGUACACAAGAAACAUCUUCGAGUUUAAGCUCGCGCUCUAAUUGUGCUCUUGUUGACUUCAAUACAUCCUGAAAAAAAAAUAAAAAAUCAUAUAACAACAAUUAAGCCUAAAUCAUGGUUCAUGUUAAAAAAAAAAACCCAUAAAGUGGAGGAUGCUAGGUUAAGUUUACGUUAAAUUCCAUAUAUGAAGCCCGUUUUGCAAGCCAUUGAGCAUCCAUUAUUUGAAAGGCUACACAAUAAAGGUUGUCGAAUGCCAUUUCGUCUUUCUCAAGCAGUUCUAGAAAGCGGAUACCACCUAAAGAAGAUGGCUUUCCUGCACGUAAAAUUCAACAAUAUGAAGACACCAAGUAGAAAUGCAGAAUAUAGCACAAAGUUAAGUGUGUUUAAUAAAAUAUGGCUGGUCAGAUGUUGGAUGAGCAAGUUGAUUUCUUAAGGGGAUGCUUGGAACCAAGGCUCUUCAUGAUUGACUGGGGUGGCUUUGCCGUUUCCCAGCAUUUAAGGAUCCAGGAGUGAACCGCAAUGAUUACAAUAAAUGUUACUUAUUCAGAACUUUAAUUACCUGAUUGAAGAUCCAACAUCUGUAUUAACAUAAAUUAUGUAAAUGCAACAUAAAACUUAUAAAAGAAAGGUAAAAGAAGUAAAUUAACAUAAAAAUGGUAAAUUGGUGUGCUACCAGUAAAUAAAACAUAAAAUUUGUAAAUCAACAUUAAAUGUAUAAUAGAACAUAAAUUGUCUAAAUAAAACAUAAGACUUCUAAAUAAAAGGUAAAACAAGUAAAUCAACAUAAAAAUGAUAAAUUAGUGUAUCAAUAGUAAACAAAAAAAACUUACAAAUAUAAUAUAAAACUUGUAAAUCAAUAAUAAGUGUAAAAUAAAAUAUAAAUUAAAUAAAUAAAACAUAACACUUAUAAAUGAAAGAUAAAAUAAGUAAAUUGAUAUAGGAAUGACAAAUUGGUGUAUUAUUGGUAAACAAAAUAAAAAAUUUGAAGUGUAUUAGAUCCAAUUUUAUUGAUAUAUGGUAUAUGUCUAAUAAGAAUAUCUUCUUUUUUUUAGCCUUAAUCCACAUUAAGAAAAAUGAUUUUACAUAAUUAACCUGUGUAGUAAACAAAUACUUUAUAUGAUAGAAAUUGAGAAAAAGAGUUAUAAAUAUCCUAGGACGAAUAUAGAAUUGAAUUCCAAUUAUUUUCAAUACAUUUUUUUUAAUUUUCAAUUGCCAGGUGGCUUUUUUAUUUGCUUAAUUAAACUAAAUGAAUAAAUUAUUGUUUUCGGAGAUAAAAUAAAAAUAGUAGGACAACUUUCGAAAUUUUUCUUCGUUAGCUUGGCUGUAAAGAAACAAUUGUUCCUCUUUUUUACACACACACACACACAAAUUGAAAACAUAACUGUUCGAACGUGUUAAAUCUCUAAAAGUUCGGCUCUAAAUUGCAUAAAAACGCUAAAUUUGCGAGACCUAAAAUACCGUUCACGUAAACAAAAUGAUAUUAUCAAUCAUGCAAAAUCAUUUAUUCAUGAACGGGAUCUCAACCAUGUGAUACAAGCCCAUUGCAUCUUGUACCUAUAAAAUCUUAUAUAUAUAUAUAUAUAUAUAUAUAUAUAGUAGUUUUCUGGUCAAUGAUUUUAAAGUACGGAAAAGUCCGGGAAAACUUUAAAACCGCAUGGCUUUAAAGGCUUAGAGUUUAAGCCUUUAAAACCGCAUGGUUUUAAAGGUUUCCCGCUCUUUUCCGCACUUUAAAAUUUCGGACUGGAACAUUUCUCUCUCUCUCUCUCUCUCUCUCUAUAUAUAUAUAUAUAUAUAUAUAUAUAUAUGUGUGUGUGCAUAUAUAAAAAUUUGUGGAAGGGUUUACUGAAGGAUUGAUUGACAGUAUGAUGAGCUGCCAAAUACUAUUAGACAAACCAACAAAGUAUUGGCUCCACUGGCAAUGAGGUCCCCUUAAGUGGUUUGACUGGGUUUGCUCCCUAGUUCGAGUCGUAGGGAAGUCGCUUUUGUUGGGAGAACCUUGAUGUGCUCAUAAUUUAUCUAUUAUUUUAAUACUUUUAUAAUUAAUUUAUGUUAAAUUAUAUUAAUUUUUAUCUUAAUUUUUAUAUUUAUUCAUUGUAGGAAUAUUGGGAAUAUUAAUGAGAAAAGAAGCUUAAAGAGGAAACAAAUUGGAGUAUAAUGGAAAUAAUGUGGAAGCAAGAGGGAAAGAAAUAAAAAGCUAAAUUUAAUCAUCAUGCAUGCAACACGUGGGGGAAGCAUUGAAUAUUUGUUGACAAAUAUGGCAGCAAAUUGGGAAGCAUUAAAGAAUUAAUUUGCAAAUUGGACAAUCAAACUUUACAAGUCACGUGGAUGGGCUUAAAAGGUGGCUAGAAUUGUUUUGUUUGAAAUCCUUUUCAUUUAAGGAUUCGUGGGCUGGAUUUGCAAUCCUUUUCCUUGAAGGAUUUGGAAGAAACCACAUCAUUAUAAAAGAGAAGAAAGGCAGCCGCACAAGAGGGGGGAAGCCAAGAGAAAAGAGAAAAAUAAUAGAGCAGCAGCCGUAAGUUUUGAGGAAAAUCGAGAGCAGCAGGAAUAAUUUAGAGCAGAAGGAAGACACAUUAAUUCUUGAGUUUUUUUUUUCUUUCUCUCUUCUCUAUUAUCUUACUUGAAUGUUUCCAAUUAAAUUAAUGGAUCUCUUUAUAUUCCCAUGAACUAAUUUAUUUUACUAGGGCUACGAUGUAGCCUAACUAUGAAGAUUUAAUUCCAUAAAUCUAUGUUAUUUUUAAUUAAUUAUUCCAUGAUUGAGUGUUCAUUAUUGUGCUUAAUGCUUUUAAUUAUUUGGCCAAUAUUUGAAUGAUUUGAGGAUACAUAAUGAGACCGAGAGGAGAUUUAUGUAUUUUUGCUCUGUGUAAUGGAUGCCAUGAAUUGAACGAAAGACAGAGAUGUGCCAACGUGAUUCGUGCAGUUUUAUCUAAGAAUUUCCAUAGAACUUAAUGAAUCUUUGCAUAUUUAAAUUCACAUAGAGAUAUAGUGGGUUGAUAUGUGGAGAUAUUUUUGAUAUUACUCGAGAGAGGAUAUUGAAUAAAUUAGGGAAAUUCACUGUCAACAUGGGUAAUAAACUUUAAUAGCAUAGAUGGAGGAUUAAAUUGGAUUGGUUAUGGUGAAAUCGAAUGUCCUAGUGUUUUAAUCUCUUGGUAAUUUUCUAUUAUUGUCUGCAUCUUUGUUUAAUUCUUAAUUAUUUUAUUUUAUUUAAUUUUAAUCUAAAUUCACUUAUUUGAUUGUUCAUAUAAAUUAGGGUUAGAAUAAUUUUGGUAACUAAUAGGGUAUAUAAUCUCUGUGGGACGAUACUCUACUCUUCAUUAUAUUACUUGUGCCGACUAGUACACUUGCUAAUUUACGCAACAAGUUUUUGGCUCCGUUGCCGGGGAUUGUUUGGAUUAGUAUCGAUACCAACUAACCUUAGUUUAAUUUGAAUUUUAUUUUUAUUGUUUUUAUUUGAAUUUUUAUUUUCUUGUUUAAAUUUUAUGAGACGUUCAAGAAGUUUUGAUUUAUUGCCUUUUGAUCCAGAGAUUGAACGUACGUGUAGAAGGCUUAAUAAAGAAAGGAGAGAAGCUUCACAGGAGCAACAAUUAAUCAUGGCUGACGAAGCAUUACAUGGAAAUGAGGAUGCAAAACCCUUAAGAGAUUAUGUUGUACCUACAGUUAAUGGUGCCUGCUCAAGCAUUGCACGUCCUGCCAUUCAAGCCAAUAAUUUUGAAAUUAAGCCAGCUAUAAUCCAGAUGAUUCAGACGUCAGUACAGUUUGCUGGGAUGCCAAAUGAUGAUCCAAAUGCUCAUAUUACAAAUUUCUUAGAAAUUUGUGAUACAUUUAAGCAAAAUGGUGUUUCAAACAAUGCUAUCAAGCUAAGGCUUUUUCCGUUCUCACUGAGAGAUAAAGCAAAAGAGUGGUUGAACUUACUCCCUGCUGGAACAAUCACUACUUGGGAUGGUUUAGCACAGAAGUUUUUAGCAAAGUACUUUCCUCUAGCAAAAAUAGCCAAAUUGAGGAAUGACAUCACAACCUUUGCUCAAUUCGAGAUGGAAUCAUUAUAUGAAGCGUGGGAGAGAUACAAAGACCUACUAAGAAAAUGCCCACAUCAUGGUCUACCAGUUUGGCUUCAGGUGCAGACAUUUUACAAUGGUUUGGGAUCCAAUACUAGAACAAUGAUUGAUGCUGCAGCAGGAGGAACGUUAAUGGGAAAAACACCAGAAGCAGCUUAUGAAUUAUUGGAGGAGAUGGCAUCUAACAAUUACCAGUGGACUUCAGAGCGAUCAAUGCCAAGGAAAAUUGUAGGAGCCCAUAAUGUAGAUGUUGUCACUGCUUUAGCUGCACAGAUGACUGCUUUAUCUAAUAAGCUGGAGCACCUAAAUGUUAGUGCAAUUCAAACUCAAGUGUGUGAAUUAUGCGGAGGGAACCAUACCAGUGUCAACUGCCAAGUUGGAAGUCCUUUUGCGUCGUCAUCUGCUGAACAAGCUCAUUAUGUGUCAAACUUCCAGAGGCAACAAAAUAACCCAUAUUCUAAUACCUACAAUUCUGGCUGGAGAAACCACCCGAAUUUGUCAUGGAACAACACUCAAAAUACAUUGAAGCCACCUCCAGGGUUCCAAUCACAAGAGAAGAAGUCAAAUUUGGAAGAUGCUCUUACCCAACUUACAACAAAUAUGUCUCAAUUCAUGACCAAAAUAGAGACAACUUUUCAGAAUCAAGCUGCAUCAAUCCGGAACCUCGAAGUACAAAUGGGUCAGAUUGCAAACUUGUUAUCCAGCAGACCACAAGGCUCUCUGCCGAGCAAUACAGAGACAAAUCCAAAGGAACAAAUGAAUGCAAUUAUGCUUCGGAAUGGUAGACAACUUGAAGAUCCGCCAAAAGAAGUAAAUGAAGUUGAAGAAGAUAACAUGGAGCAAACUAAAGACACCACUAGAACAUAUGAGACAGCAAGUGCAGAAAUUCCACAAUCACAACAAUCAGCACCAGUCAAAGCUUAUGUCCCUCCAAUCCCGUUUCCUCAGCGCCUUCGGAAAAACAAAUUAGAUAAGCAGUUCUCUAAAUUUCUUGAUGUCUUUAAAAAGUUACAUAUUAACAUUCCUUUUGCAGAUGCAUUAGAACAAAUGCCAAGCUAUGCUAAAUUCAUGAAAGAAAUUUUAUCCAACAAGAGGAAAUUAGAAAAGCAUGAAACUGUGUUGUUAACUGAAGAGUCAACUGCAAUUCUACAGAAUAAAUUGCCACCGAAGUUGAAAGAUCCAGGGAGUUUUUCUAUCCCAUGCACUAUUGGAAAUACUUAUUUUGAUAAAGCUUUGUGUGAUUUAAGUGCAAGUAUUAAUUUGAUGCCUCUAUCUGUUUUCAGGAAAUUAGGACUUGGUGAACCAAAAGCAACAACUGUUUCUCUUCAAUUGGCAGAUAGGUCUAUAAAGUAUCCUAGAGGAAUGAUUGAGGACGUACUUGUUAAGGUCGACAAGUUUAUAUUUCCUGCAGAUUUUAUUGUUUUGGAUAUGAUUGAAGAUCGAGAGAUACCAAUCAUUUUAGGCCGACCAUUCUUGGCCACAGGAAGAACUCUUAUUGAUGUCCAAAAAGGAAAACUAAUCCUUAGGGUGCAAAAUGAGCAAGUCACUUUCAAUGUAUUCGAAGCAAUGAAAUAUCCAUCGGAGAUCGACACGUGCCUUCAAAUAGACACCAUUGAUAAGGAGAUAAUUGAGAGCUUUCGCGAUACAAUGCCAAAUGACACACUAGAAGGAUGUAUUGUUCACUCUGGGACUACUUAAUCUACGAAUACAAGUAUUCAUGAGUAUGCACGGUAUUUGGAAGCUUCACCAUUUUACGUGCCCUCGAAAAAGCUAGAAUUGGAAUAGCUUGGUAGAAAUCCUUCUAGACCAAAACCUUCAAUAGAAGAACCUCCAAAACAUGAGCUUAAGCCGUUGCCCUCUCAUUUAAGGUAUGCUUAUUUAGAUGAUAACUCUAAGCUACCAGUUAUUAUUUCUUCUGCUUUGACAGAUCUUGAAGAGGAAAAGGUACUUCGAGUUUUGAGGGAUCACAAAGCUGCUCUAGGAUGGACUAUUGCCGACAUCAAAGGAAUAAGCCCUUCAAUUUGCAUGCACAAGAUUCUAAUGGAGGAGAGUUAUCAGCCGACAGUACAGCCACAAAGGCGCCUAAAUCCAAACAUGCAAGAAGUGGUUAGGGCAGAGGUGCUUAAAUUAUUGGAUGCUGGGAUAAUUUAUCCAAUCUCUGAUAGCAAAUGGGUUAGUCCAGUGCAAGUGGUACCAAAGAAAGGAGGAAUGACGGUCGUGAAGAAUGACAAUAAUGAACUUAUCCCAACAAGGAUAGUCACAGGUUGGCGGGUAUGCAUGGAUUACAGAAAACUUAAUGCUGCUACUAGAAAAGACCAUUUUCCACUACCUUUUAUUGAUCAAAUGUUGGAGAGACUUGCUGGCCAUGCUUACUAUUGCUUUUUAGAUGGAUAUUCAGGCUAUAAUCAAAUCCCUAUAGCACCAGAAGAUCAAGAAAAAACCACCUUCACAUGUCCUUAUGGUACAUUUGCUUAUAGAAGAAUGUCAUUCGACUUAUGCAAUGCACCAACUACCUUUCAACGUUGCAUGAUGGCAAUAUUUUCUAAUAUGGUGGAGAGAUUCAUUUAGGUGUUUAUGGAUGAUUUCUCAAUUUUUGGAUCUUCAUUUGAUCAUUGUCUAAACAAUUUAGAUCUAGUUUUACAACGAUGUGAAGAGACAAACUUGGUUUUGAAUUGAGAAAAAUGUCACUUUAUGGUGCAAGAAGGCAUUGUGCUAGGUCAUCGUAUUUCAGCUAAAGGAAUUAAAGUUGAUAGAGCAAAGAUCGAAGUCAUUGAGAAGUUGCCACCACCGACUUCCGUGAAAGCAAUAAGAAGUUUUCUAGGGCAUGCCGGGUUUUAUCGACGUUUUAUUAAAGAUUUUUCAAAGAUAACGAAACCCUUAUGCAACAUUUUACUCAAGGAUGUGCCUUUCAAUUUUACCGAUAAGUGUUUGCAGGCUUUUAACACUUUAAAGGAGAAACUGAUUUCAGCUCCAGUUAUUAUGGCUCCAGAUUGGGAUCUGCCGUUCGAGGUUGUGUGUGAUGCGAGUGAUUAUGCUAUUGGAGCAGUUUUGGGGCAGCGGUAUAAAAACAUGUUGCAUGUUAUUUACUAUGCAAGUCGAACUCUGACAGACGCGCAAUUGAAUUGUGCUACCACUGAGAAAGAGUUUCUAGCCUUUGUGUUUGCACUAGAAAAAUUCCGCUCAUAUUUGGUUUGCUCCAAGGUAAUAGUUUACACUGAUCAUUCAGCUCUCAAGUAUCUGUUCACAAAGGCAAAUGCUAAACCAAGACUGAUCCGUUGGGUGCUCUUACUACAAGAAUUUGAUUUAGAGAUUCGGGAUAAGAAGGGAUCUGAAAAUUUGGUGGCGGAUCACUUAUCUCGGUUAGAGCAGGGAGAGCGAGGGGAUAAUGUAAUGGUUUCAAUCACCGAAGAAUUUCCUGAUGAAAAGCUGCUGGCCUUGCAGACUUGCGACGCACCAUGGUAUGCAGAUUUCGUGAACUAUUUGGCGAGCGCCGUUGUUCCUUCUGAUUUAUCAUAUCAGCAGAAGAAGAAAUUCUUUUCAGAUGUCAAGUAUUAUCUUUGGGAAGAUCCGUUCUUGUAUAAGUACUGCUCAGAUCAAAUCAUUCGACGAUGUGUCCCGGAAGAAGAGAUGAGGAGCAUUCUACAACACUGUCAUUCUCGUGAAGUCGGUGGACAUUUUGGCACAACCAAAACUGCGGCAAAAGUGCUUCAAUCAGGUUUUUAUUGGCCCACCUUAUUUAAAGAUGCUUAUGUUUUUGUUGCUGCUUGUGACCGGUGUCAGAGAACUGGUAACAUUUCAAGGAAGAAUGAAAUGCCACUAACUAAUAUUCUUGAAAUAGAAUUGUUUGAUGUCUGGGGAAUUGACUUCAUGGGUCCGUUUCCAUCUUCCUUCAAGAAUAAAUAUAUUCUGGUAGCUGUUGAUUAUGUUUCUAAGUGGGUUGAAGCUGUUGCUUUGCCUUCCAAUGAUGCUCGGGUUGUUGUGAGGUUUUUGAAGAAAAAUAUUUUCCUGCGGUUUGGCACUCCAAGAGCAAUUAUAAGUGAUGGUGGCAAAUAUUUUUGCAAUCGACAAUUUGAAGCCCUCUUGAGCAAAUAUGGAGUCACACACAGAGUUGCCACCCCUUACCAUCCACAAACUAGCGGCCAAGUUGAAGUUUCGAAUCGAGAAUUAAAGAGAAUUUUGGAGAAAACAGUAAACGCUUCACGGAAGGAUUGGUCGAUAAAAUUAGACGAUGCACUCUGGGCGUAUCGAACAGCUUUCAAAACACCUAUUGGUAUGUCUCCUUAUUGUCUAGUAUUCGGAAAAGCAUGCCAUCUACCUAUUGAACUUGAGCAUGGGGCAUAUUGAGCGAUGAAGAUUUUGAACUUUGACAUGCAAGCAGCAGGAGAAAAGAGAUUGUUGCAACUUAAUGAAAUGGAUGAAUUUCGCAAUGCAGCUUAUGAGAAUGCUCGGAUCUAUAAAGCCCGCACUAAACAUUGGCAUGACAAGCAUAUACUCAGACGUGAAUUUCAAGUUGGCCAAAAUGUUUUAUUAUAUAAUUCUCGACUUCGGUUUUUCCCAGGCAAGUUGCGAUCCCGUUGGUCUGGUCCUUUUACAAUAACACAAGUCUUUCCGUCUGGCGUGGUAGAAGUUUCACAUGAUACAAAGGGCACAUUCAAGGUUAAUGGUCAUCGAUUGAAGCCUUAUUUGGAUGAUGCAUUUGAUAAGCACAAGAUAGGUAUUGAGCUGUCUAGUCCUGAAUGACGACCAGAGACAGUCAAGCUAAUGACUAUAAAUUAAGCGCUUCUUGGGAGGCAACCCAAGCUUUCUAAACUUUAUUAUUAUCAAUUUUUUUUUCGUAUUCUUUUUCUUUUCUUUUACUUAUUUUAUUUUGUUUUAUCUAGAUUUUGCACAAGUUCGGGGGUCGAUGAACAUUAACUUUCCACAUGCCUUUCAACAACUCAGCUACAACUUUCCAUCUUCAAGUGCAAAACUGGGGGAGUUUCUCUUUUCCUUUUCUUUUUCGUUACAUUGAGGACAAUGUUUAUUUUAAGUUUGGGGGUGGGAAUAUUUGCUUUUCAUUUUAUAAAAAAAAAAGAUUUUAAUGCCUAUGAUGAGUUUAUGAUUGACAAUAAAUAUGGUUCUUAGAAAGGGAUGAAUAUUAUCUUAGUUUAUACUUGAUUCUUGUGUUAGUUUCGUCUUGAUUGUGAUUCUUUAAAUAUCUUGCGCACUUAUAUCGAUUCUUUUAGAAUUUUGACUUGAGAUUUGAGAUUGAUACAGCCUAAGUUGAGAAUUUUAGAUUGAGUAAAUGACUGUUUGCCUUAAUUCUACAUUACUUAAGUCUACCCAGGCACCAUAGUCAGAAAUAACUACCUACAACCCUUAAGAGUGAAGCUAUCCUUGAGUAAUUUGGGCCUAUGUACCACCAGUAUGUAGAGGAUAAUCUACCAUGAAAAGAAGGCUACCUUAAGGGGUAGAGUGAAAGCUCCUGACUAUGGAUAAAGAAAUGAAAAAAGAAAAAAAAAGCGUGUGCUUCAAAAAAAAAAUGCAAAUUUAUGCCUGAAAAAAAAAAAUCAAGAUGAUGAGGUUAGUUUGACCUACUCUGUUUAUUAUUCGAAACAAGGGCUGUGAUGUUGAAAAUCUUGAGAAUGGGUUUUGAUUGAAUUGAUUCACACACAACACAGGAAUCCAAUAUGAGAUGAGGCUGACCAUUGAAUUAAAGUUAGAACUUUGCUAAUAUUUUUAAUUUUCUUUGAGCUAUAUACUUUAUGCAAUCUUUGAGGCAUUUUUGAUGAUGUUUGUGGGUAUCAUCGCUGGAAACCCUCACGGGACUAUAACUCGUCCACUAGGGCCGCCUAGGGGUUUAAAGGCUUGUUGCAUACGCUAAAUGCAAUCGCGAUCACCUGCGAAAGUGGUUUAGUUAGAACUUUCUUUUCGUAGUUUUUAUUUUAGUUUUUGCUCGAGGACUAGCAAAAUGUUAAGUUUGGGGGUAUUUGAUGUGCUCAUAAUUUAUCUAUUAUUUUAAUCCUUUCAUAAUUAAUUUAUGUUAAAUUAUAUUAAUUUUUAUCUUAAUUUUUAUAUUUAUUCAUUGUAGGAAUAUUGGGAAUAUUAAUGAGAAAAGAAGCUUAAAGAGGAAACAAAUUGGAGUAUAAUGGAAAUAAUGUGGAAGCAAGAGGGAAAGAAAUAAAAAGCCAAAUUUAAUCAUCAUGCAUGCAACACGUGGGGGAAGCAUUGAAUAUUUGUUGACAAAUAUGGCAGCAAAUUAGGAAGCAUUAAAGAAUUAAUUUGCAAAUUGGACAAUCAAACUUUACAAGUCACGUGGAUGGGCUUAAAAGGUGGCUAGAAUUGUUUUGUUUGAAAUCCUUUUCAUUUAAGGACUCGUGGGCUGGAUUUGCAAUCCUUUUCCUUGAAGGAUUUGGAAGAAACCACAUCAUUAUAAAAGAGAAGAAAGGCAGCCGCACAAGAGGGGGGAAGCCAAGAGAAAAGAGAAAAAUAAUACAGUAGCAGCCGCAAGUUUUGAGGAAAACCGAGAGCAGCGGGAAUAAUUUAGAGCAGAAGGAAGACACAUUAAUUCUUGAGUUUUUUUUUCUUUCUCUCUUCUCUAUUAUCUUACUUGAAUGUUUCCAAUUAAAUUAAUGGAUUCUCUUUAUAUUCCCAUGAACUAAUUUAUUUUACUAGGGCUACGAUGUAGCCUAACUAUGAAGAUUUAAUUCCAUAAAUCUAUGUUAUUUUUAAUUAAUUAUUCCAUGAUUGAGUGUUCAUUAUUGUGCUUAAUGCUUUUAAUUAUUUGGCCAAUAUUUGAAUGAUUUGAGGAUACAUAAUGAGACCGAGAGGAGAUUUAUGUAUUUUUGCUCUGUGUAAUGGAUGCCAUGAAUUGAACGAAAGACAGAGAUGUGCCAACGUGAUUCGUGCAGUUUUAUCUAAGAAUUUCCAUAGAACUUAAUGAAUCUUUGCAUAUUUAAAUUCACAUAGAGAUAUAGUGGGUUGAUAUGUGGAGAUAUUUUUGAUAUUACUCGAGAGAGGAUAUUGAAUAAAUUAGAGAAAUUCAUUGUCAACAUGGGUAAUAAACUUUAAUAGCAUAGAUGGAGGAUUAAAUUGGAUUGGUUAUGGUGAAAUCGAAUGUCCUAGUGUUUUAAUCUCUUGGUAAUUUUCUAUUAUUGUCUGCAUCUUUGUUUAAUUCUUAAUUAUUUUAUUUUAUUUUAUUUUAAUCUAAAUUCACUUAUUUGAUUGUUCAUAUAAAUUAGGGUUAGAAUAAUUUUGGUAACUAAUAGGGUAUACAAUCUCUGUGGGUCAAUACUCUACUCUUCAUUAUAUUACUUGUGCCGACUAGCACACUUGCUAAUUUACGCAACAAACCUAUGCCUCUCAGUUCGAGUGGGGACUUCUAGUCUGGGUUGUGGUACGAGCUUAAAGGUGCCUCACACAGUUGGGGCCCUCCCCAUGAUACCUCGUGGUUAAGACAAAAAAAAAAAACUAUUAGACAAGGAACAAAAUUCUGUGCUUCAUGAAAAUUAAGAAGUAGAAUUUUAGAAAGAUUCUAACUAGCUCAUCAUUUUUAACUGUAUUCUCAAAACAAUCAUUUUUUGCUGAUUGGAACUAAUUAAUGAUGAUUUUGGCUUAAAUGCAAACCGAAUGCCUUUGCCUGUUAUCAGCUUGCAGAAAACAUAUUCAUUGAAGUUCAAGAGAAUAAAUAAUACGAAUAUAUACGAACAAAGGAUUAAAGUAAAUGGGGAAAAGUUGUUACAGUUACAAUACAAAUCGAAGUCAUAAUUCAAUUAUUUAUGACAAGAGAUCAUCCAAGUCCAGCAUCAAGCCGAAUGAACCGCUCACAUCCCCUAUUGGUUCUUCAGCAUCAUCAUGAAGUAAGUCUUCAAGAAAAGAAUAGUCUUCUUCAAUUAACUCAGGUAGUCCAUCACUUUCUUCGUGUUGCGCCAAUGAUUCAGGCACCACCAUGGGCACUUCAGCGAUACUCUCCAAAUGACAAUGAUAAUUCUCUCCAGUUUCUCCACCCUGAAGCAUGUUGUUCCAGGAGUCAUAUUGUUGGUUGCAUAUCAUCUGAUCAAAAUGACUCAUCAUCAUCUCCAUGGAUGGCUCGUAAACACUGCUUGCAAGCCCCAUUCCACCAGCUAAGCUCUGCUCACUCAUCAUGUGAGAACUGCUGCAGCUUACUUCUUGAUAAUCCAUAUAGUUCUGUUGUUGAUUCUGUUGGUGGGUCAACAGCCUAUCCAUCUCAAUAUCUGCUACUUGUUCGGAUUGAUUGCUGUUGUCUUGAAAAUCCUUCAGCUUUCUUUUCUUUGCAGAACCGUACUUCAUAAUAUCAUGGCAAGACGGUUGAUUCUUUCGGAGCCUGCAAAGCACAUAAUUGGUAGCUUGAUUCUUGGGCAUAUGUAGAGUGUACUCGUGCAUGAUCCAAGCCCCGUGAUCCUCACAACCUUGUUUUUCGUAACGAAACCGCUUCUUGGAGCCGAUUUUGAUUUUGGAUUGGCCGCUUACUAUAUCUUUACCAGCAUCCUCCCCUUGCCAAGUACCGCCAGAAGAUCCCACUUUGCGGUCGAUUCUGGAACCCUUGGAAAACUUUUUCUUCAACUGGGUGAAGAAAUAAAGAUCCUCAUCAGCAUUUAAAAAGGGUCCUCCAUGAGAAUCCCAAAUCUCAGAGGGUUUUUCCUGGUAAAGAUUACAAUCCCUGAUGAAAUACUCAGCAAGAGGGAUGAAUAUUCCCGAAACUUUCUUCUUGAGAUAAUGUUCGAUGAGUUCUUCAUCGGAUGGUCUGAACUGGAAGCCAUGGGGAAGAAAGGGUCUGUGUUCUUGCAUUUUGUUUGAGGAGAAGAGGGUUAAUUCAAUGGUGGGUUGGUUGAUUGAUGAUUGAUGGAGGAAAUGUUUUCGGUGAAUUAUUGAAAACAAAGAACACAGAAGCCGAGAGAGGAGCAAAGAUAGAGUCGGAGAACUAGAGAAGAAGUGGUGAGAAGCGCGGGUGUUAAAGUUUCCUUAUAACAUAUGGAGGAGUGAAGUGACGUAGCUUGGAUUACAAGUAACAAUUUCUUAAGGCAACUCCGAGAAAAGCGGGUGAACUUGCAAGUAGGGUGAGGGGUCCUUGCAUAUAAUAACCUUGCUAAAUCGGACAAAUCCAAGAAGUCAUUGAGCUUGAAGUUACCGCCAAGUUGGUCUUUGGGGGAAAAAAUUCUCCUUUUUUUAAAAAAAUAUUUCAUGAUUAUUAGAAAUUUGCUUAUUAUUAUUUAUUAUUAUUUUUUAAAAAUAAAAAUCAGAGGUCCUCUAUUAAAUUAAAAAAUACACAAAUAUUAAAUUAUGAUUGUUCCUUUAACCCCCAGUUUGUUUCCUCACGGGAUUGGAUAUUUCUUGCUCUAACAAGUUCGGUGAGUAGCAUUAGCUAACCAUGCAACUAUAGAAUUUUAAUUCCCUAUACUGUAGUGCUGAAAUUUCGGUCUCGUGCGCCUCUCGAACAAUUUUCACCAGUUGUUAAUUCUUUUGGGCAAAUUUGUGUAAGUAUGAAACUUCUUGGGGUGAAGUAUAAUUUCACAAAUACUGAGGGACCUAAUGCACUAAAAUUUUAUACUCUUCAAAUUUUUCUUUCAAUUAAUGUCCGUGCAUGACUGUGAAGUGUUAAGGCGAACAUUUGCUCCCAUCUUAUAAAAUAGAAUCUUUGUCGCUUAUCGUUAUCCCCCACAUAAUCAAAAUUUUCAGAAUUACACAUAUUGUCAAUUUAUUAUUAAAUAAUUAGUAAUAGAGAUGGCCAACGAAUUGGGUGGCACAAGACACGGGAUGGGACCGUACAGCACAGCGCGAUACAUGCAUGCUUCGUCAAGGCACAAAGAACAAUACGACACUCAUGUGGGAGGUCAGACCUAGAUUCGUAGGCACACGAGUCUUAAAACACGUCGUAGUGUAAAAAAUGUCAAAGUUUAGCACAUAAAAAAGUUUGUGAAAAGCUCAGUUCAAGUUUUAUAACUAAAUUUUAUUAGAAUUAUACUCCUGCAUAUUAUUUAAUUAAAUAAAUAAAUUUGAAUUAAUCAACAUUAAAUCUAAUAAUAUUUUUUAUUUUAAUUGUAUUGAAUUUUUAUAAUUAAUAAAUGUUGUGUUAUUUUAAAUUAUAAAUUAAUUUUAAUUCAUUAAUUAAAUUUGAAUUGAGUUUGUCGUAUGAUUUAGUGAGAUAUUGUCUUGUCAAGUUUUCUUAUAAUUGUUGGUUCUAUAUUAUGUAAAUGUAAUAAAAUUUUUAAAUAUAUUUCUAAUCAAUUGUUUAAUGCAACUCUAAAAAAGAAUUUAUGGGAAAUAUCUGAUGAGCAUUGUAUAAUAUAAUAUAUAAAUUUGGAUGAUUGAUACUUCAAAAAGCUGUUUAUAUUUAAAUGAAAGUGUUUUGACUCCAUAAUUGAAGACAUAAAAUAAGUUUAUAAUAAGGCAUUAUAAAAAAAAAUUAAAUAAUUUAAAAAAUAAGUGAGUUGGCAUGGCACGGCCCACGUUGGCAUGGCCUAUGUGCCCUGCUAAGUCAAUCUUAUAAAAUUUUAACAUAUUCUAAAAGUAAUGCAGCUACUUGUGGCGGUUAAAAUUGUGGAUCUCUCUCCCUUUUUUCCUUUUUCCCUUAAAAAUUUGAUCUUGACUAAGAUCAAUGUUGAUAGCAAGUUUGAGACCUUCCCCUUGGAUUAAAUUGAAGAAGGAAGGGGUCAAUUAAAGAAAAGAUGUUAAUUAAUCAAAGGUCCAACUAAUCACCACGUCUGUAUUGUAAAUAGACGGUACGAAUAAUCCAGCCAAAAUAAUAGGAAUUAGAUAUAUGGCCAUUCCAAAUAGAAAGUAUCAUUUUUUUUAUUCUUUUUUCCAUUGCUACUGUGAAAUAAAAUUACUAGAUUUCAGAUAAGAUUUUAAAUAAUAAUGGAUUUGUGUUAAUUAAAUACUAUUUAGAUAUCUAGAUUAUUUAAAGCUAAUUUGAAAAUAUUCGUAACCUAAUUUUUGUUCUUUUGAAGGAAAAAAAAGGUCAAACUUUUAAGUAUUAUUUGGAAUUUUUUAUUUAUAUAAAGUGAGUAAUAAAUAAUUUUAAAUGUUGUAAAAUUUAUCCAUAAUAUUUAAGACAUAUAGUAUUACUCUUUAAAACAUUAAAUGAUUAUUAAAAAAUGAGAUCUAAAAGAGAUUUCGGAUCUUGAUAAUUGAAAAAAAUGAUCCUGAAACCAAAUUAGUUCAACAAAUAUACAUCUUUCUAUGAUACCAACUAUAUAAUUUGCAAUGUUACAGAGAUUAUGGCAGCAACAGUUUAAAUAAACAACCUCUACAGCUGAUGUUUUUAUUUCACAAUUCAAAAUAUGCAAAUUUGAUCAUCUACCUAUCUAUCUAUGCAACAGAUUGUAUGCGGGUAAAUCUUGUACACAAGAAACAUCUUCGAGUUUAAGCUCGCGCUCUAAUUGUGCUCUUGUAGACUUCAAUACAUCCUGAAAAAAAAAAUAAAAAAUCAUAUAACAACAAUUAAGCCUAAAUCAUGGUUCAUGUUAAAAAAAAAACCCCCAUAAAGUGGAGGAUGCUAGGUUAAGUUUACGUUAAAUUCCACAUAUGAAGUCCGUUUUGCAAGCCGUUGAGCAUCCAUCAUUUGAAAGGCUACACAAUAAAGGUUGUCGAAUGCCAUUUCAUCUUUCUCAAGCAGUUCUAGAAAGCGGAUACCACCUACCAAUGGGCCUUUGGUCCAAUGGGAGAAGCCUUGCACUUACAAUGUUGAGUGCAAUGGUUUGAGCCUCUAUAAGAGCAUUAUGGAGGUUAGUUUCAGUUCUUCCUCAAUUAUCAACUAAUUGAGUGGAGACAGUCUCUCCCUUACGAAAUGUGAGUGGAGUAGACACCCCUCGAAUAUUAGAGAGGGUUUAAAGUAUUUGGACAAGUGCUUCAGUGCGUUAAUGUAUGGCGGUGGUCCCAAUUGUUUAGUACGAUUGUAAAUAUUGUAAUUAUAAUGUCUAAUUUAAUAUCAGUAACAAUCUGUGUAUAACAGAAUUCAAAAAAAGAAAGAAAGCGGAUACCACCUAAAGAAGAUGGCUUUCCUGCACGUAAAAUUCAACAAUAUGAAGACACCAAGUAGAAAUGCAGAAUAUAGCACAAAGUUAAGUGUGUUUAAUAAAAUAUGGCUGGUCAGAUGUUGGAUGAGCAAGUUGAUUUCUUAAGGGGACGCUUGGAACCAAGGCUCUUCAUAAUUGACUGGGGUGGCUUUGCCGUUUCCCAGCCUUUAACGAUCAAGGAGUGAACCGCAAUGAUUACAAUAAAUGUUACUUAUUCAGAACUUUAAUUACCUGAUUGAAGAUCCAACAUCUGUAUUAACAUGAAUUAUGUAAAUGCAAGAUAAAACUUAUGAAUGAAAGGUAAAAGAAGUGAAUUAACAUAAAAAUGGUAUAUUGGUGUUCUACCAGUAAACAAAACAAAAACUUACAAAUGAAACAUAAAAUUUGUAAAUCAACAUUAAAUGUAAAUUAGAACAUAAAUUGUCUAAAUAAAACAUAAGACUUCUAAAUAAAAGGUAAAACAAGUAAAUCAACAUAAAAAUGAUAAUUAGUGUAUCAAUAGUAAACAAAAAAAACUUACAAAUAUAAUAUAAAACUUGUAAAUCAAUAAUAAGUGUAAAAUAAAAUAAAAAUUAAAUAAAUAAAAUAUAAGACUUAUAAUUGAAAGAUAAAAUAAGUAAAUUGAUAUAGGAAUGACAAAUUGGUGUAUUAUUGGUAAACAAAAUAAAAAAUUACAAGUGUAUUAGAUCCAAAUUUAUUGAUAUAUGAUAUAUGGCUAAUAAGAAUAUCUUCUUCUUCUUCUUUUUUGCCUUAAUCCACAUUAAGAAAAAUUAUUUUACGUAAUUAACCUGUAUAGUAAACAAAUACUUUAUUGCUACAUUUACUUGCCGGAUUCAGGAAUGGGAAUCCGGAAUCGAAAUCAUUCCUGCGUUUACUUGCUAAAAUAAGGAGCGGAAUCGAAUUCAUUUUCGUGGACCCCACAGCAAUUUGGGAAUCAAAUAUGGGAGUCUGAUUCCCAAGGGGGGCUUGGGAAUCAGACUCCCAUUCCCUGCAUUUCCCAUUCUACCCACGUUAAUUUGUAUUAUUCCAGAAAUACCCUCACUUUAGAUUAAAAAUAUAAAAAGCGAAAAAAAAAAAAUCCCUAAAACCUAAACUCUCUCACCCGUGCCUCCCAAUCGAAUGCCAUCGGAGCUGCUUCCAUCACCAUCGCAGCCAUCACCGUCUUUGACGUCGUGGUUCGUCGGCUGUGGACAGCUGCUCGUCGCUGGUUUCGUCUCCGUUGGGCCGCAUCAAUUUCGUCACCGUCUUGAUUUCGCCCCCGUCUCAUUUCAUCUCCGAUUUCGUCUUUAAUGGCGACGAUUCUAAUAUGAUGUUGUUGCUACUGCUAACGACGAUGAUUGUUGUUGCCGUUGUUGUGUAUGACAAUGACAAUUGAGAUUUUGAUUGUUGCUGUUUUUUUUUUUUGGGAAAUGGAUUAUUUUUGUUGAUGAUGAUUAUUUGGGAAAUGGAUUAAUUUGAUGAUGAUGAUUAUUAUUAUUAUUAUUUUGGAAAUGGAUUAUUUUGUUGAUGAUGAUGAAUCUGAUUAUGAUCAUUAUUAUUUUUUGAAAUGGAUUAUUAUUUUGCUGAUGAUGAUAUUUUUUAUUUUGAUUAUUGUUAUUAAUUUUAUUAUUAUUAUUAAUGAUAAAUUAUAAUUAAUUAAUAAACUAACAAUACAUGAAUAUAAUUAAUUAAUAUAUUAACAGUAAUUUUAAUAAUAAUAAUAACAAUAGUUAUUAUUAUAAUUAACUAAGGGCAUUUUAGUAACUUGAAACAAUUCAGACUAUUCCGAUUCCUGUACCUCAAGUAAACAAUUUAUUUUGAUUCCCAUUCCCCAUUCCCAUUCCAGUUUAUUCCGAUUCUAGCCCAUUCCGAUUACUGACAAGUAAACGCAGCAUAUAUGAUAGAAUUUGAGAAAAAAAAAGUUAUAAAUGUCCUAGGACGAAUAUAGAAUUGAAUUCCAAUUACUUUCAAUACAACUUUUUUUUUAAUUUUCAAUUGACAGGUGAUUUUUUAUUUGCUUAAUUAAACUAAAUGAAUAAAUUAUUAUUUUCGGAGAUAAAAAAAAAUAGUAGGACAACUUUCGAAAUUUUUCCUCGUUAGCUUGGCUGUAAAGAAACAAUUGUUCCCUUUUUUUACACACACACACACACAAAAUUCAAAACAUAAUUGUUCAAACGUGUUAAAUCUCUAAAAGUUCGGCUCUAAAUUGCAUAAAAACGCUAAAUUUGCGAAAAUACCGUUCACGUAAACAAAACGAUAUUAUCAAUCAUGCAAAAUCAUGUAUUCAUGAACAGGAUCUUAGCCAUGUGAGAUAAGCCCAUUUCAUCUUGUACCUAUAAAAUCUUAAAUAUAUAUGUACCCAUAAAAUCUUAAAUAUAUACAUGCACAUAUAAAAAUUUGUGGAAGGGUUUACUGAAGGAUUGAUUGACAGUAUGAUGAGCUGCUAAAUACUAUUAGACAAGGAACAAAAUUAUGUGCUUCAUGAAAAUUAAGUAGAAUUUUAGAAAGAUUCUAACUAGCUCAUCAUUUUUAUCUGUAAUCUCAAAACAAUCAUUUUUUGCGAACUCAUUUGUAAACAAAUAAAUGGAAUAAGAGAAUGAACCAUCAGAUUUACUGAUUGGAACUACUUAAUGAUGAUUUUGGCUUAAAUGCAAACCGAAUGCCUUUCCCUGUUAUCAGCUUGCAGAAAACAUACUCAUUGAAGUUCAAGAGAAUAAAGAAUACGAGAAACUGAACAAUACAAAUAAAUACGAGCAAAGGAUUAAAGUAAAUGGGGGAAAAGUUGUUACAGUUACAAUACAAAUCGAAGUCAUAAUCCAAUUAUUUAUGACAAGAGAUCAUCCAAGUCCAGCAUCAAGCCGAAUGAACCGCUCACAUCCCCUAUUGGCUCUUGAAGAAAGUCUUCCAGAAAAGAAUAGUCUUCCUCAAUUAACUCAGGUAGUCCACCACUGUCUUCGUGUUGCACCGAUGAUUCAGGCACCGCCAUGGGCACUUCAGCGAUACUCUCCGAAUGACAAUGAUAAUUCUCUCCAGUUUCUCCACCCUGAAGCAUGUUGUUCCCGGAGUCAUAAUGUUGGUUACAUAUCAUCUGAUCAAAAUGACUCAUCAUCAUCUCCAUGGAUGGCUCGUAAACACUGCUUGCAAGCCCCAUUCCACCAGCUAAGCUCUGCUCACUCAUCAUGUCAGAACUACUGCAGCUUACUUCUUGAUAAUCCAUAUAGUUUUGUUGUUGAUUCUGUUGGUGGGUCAACAGCCUAUCCAUCUCAAUAUCUGCUACUUGUUCGGAUUGAUUGCUGUUGUCUUGAAAACCCUUCAGCUUUCUUUUCUUUGCAGAACCGUACUUCAAAUAUCAUGGCCAGUUGGUCGAUUCUUUCGGAGCCUGCAAAGCACAUAAUUGGUAGCUCUAUUCUUGGGCAUAUGUAGAGUGUACUCGUGCAUGAUCCAAGCCCCGUGAUCCUCACAACCCUGUUUUUCGUAACGAAACCGCUUCUUGGAGCCGAUUUUGAUUUUGGAUUGGCCGCUUACUAUAUCUUUACCAGCGUCCUCCCCUUGCCACGUACCGCAAGAGGAUCCGACUUUGCGAUCGAUUCUGGAACCCUUGGAAGACUUUUUCUUCAACUGGGUGAAGAAAUAAAGAUCCUCAUCAGCAUUUAAAAAGGGUCCUCCAUGAGAAUCCCAAAUCUCAGAGGGUUUUUCCUGGUAAAGAUUACAAUCCCUGAUGAAAUACUCAGCAAGAGGGAUGAAUAUUCCCGAAACUUUCUUCUUGAGAUAAUGUUCGAUGAGUUCUUCAUCGGAUGGUCUGAACUGGAAGCCAUGGGGAAGAAAGGGUCUGUGUUCUUGCAUUUUGUUUGAGGAGAAGAGGGUUAAUUCAAUGGUGGGUUGGUUGAUUGAUUGAUUGAUGAUUGAUGGAGGAAAUUUUUUCGGUGAAUUAUUGAAAACAAAGAACACGGAAGCCGAGAGAGAAGCAACGAUAGGGUUGGAGAAUUAGAGCAGAAGUGGUAAGAAGCGUGGGUGUUAAAGUUUCCUUAUAACAUAUGGAGGAGUGAAGUGACGUAGCUUGGAUUACAAGUAACAAUUUCCUAAGGCAAUUCCGCGAAACGCGGGUGAACUUGCGAGUUGGGUAAUUGCUAAACCCUAACCUUAUCCGCCAGUUUGUUUCAAGUCGAGAUUAGAUAUUUGGUGUUGUAAGAAGUUCUGUGAGUAGCAUUAGCUAAUCAUGCAACUAUGGGAUUUUAAUUCCCCUAUACGGUGGUGCUGAAAUUUCGGUCUAGUGCACCUCUCUGACUAAUCAGCACGUCUGUAUUGUAAAUAGACGGUUACGAAUAAUCCAGCCAAAAUAAUAGGAAUUAGAUAUAUGGCCAUUCCAAAUAGAAAGUACCAUUUUUUUAUAUUCUUUUUUCCAUUGCUACUGUGAAAUAAAAUUACUAGAUUUUAGAUAAGAUUUCAAAUAAUAAUGGAUUUGUGUUAAUUAAAUACUAUGUAGAUAUCUAGAUUAUUUAAAGCUAAUUUGAAAAUAUUCGUAACAUGGAAGGGUUUCUCAUUUGCCGCUUUCAAGGAUCUCUGGCCUGUAGUAAAACUUUCCUUGUCGUCUGGUGCCAUGCUAUGGUGAGGUUCUUGUCUAAUUGUGGCCUUGCAUGAAUUUAGGCAGUAAAAGAUUAUGCAUUUUAUAAAUUCUAAUUGGCUUAACUGGGAAUCGGCAGAUAAGAUUCUAGGGCUUACAUCUGAAUCUAUAUCAUUUCAUAUGUGUUUGUUACUAUUAUUAGUUUCGAGUGGGAUCUUUCCUCAUUUUGUUUGUGGCCAUGUUUCAGCCUUUCUUGGUUCUUCCCUUGUGUUUAGAUCAUUGAUUGCUUCAGUUUGUGUUACUGUGUGGCAAUAUCAUAUAUUCUUUCUUUCAUUGGGUUGUGGGGGCAGGGAAAUGGUGAAUUUUAUAUUAUGAUAUGAAUCCCUGAUAAAAAGUACUUGUUUGUGGUCUACAGACAACAUAUAAUAUCGCUGAGGAACAAUGAUGUUAAUCUAGUAUUUGCUGAUUAACUGCCAUAUUUAUGCUUUCCUGUAACUCAACUAUGUGGGGAUUUUAACUCAGCAUUAUGUUAUACUUGACAGUCUCGAGCUCUGGUACAACACAGUCUUGGUUCUUUUAACAGGAAACAUGAAAAAUGCUGAGGUUGCCAUUGAUGCUCUUGCGAUAUGGUACCGAAUUCAUAGGCUCCUUCCCAUUAUCAUCAUUUUGGAUUUUGUUUCCCUCUUCUUUUAUAUGGGGCCAGUUAUCUAUUUGGUUUAAAUUAUUCUUAUUUGCAGCAUCAACAUCAAUGGGCUAGAAAUGAUGAUCUCGCUUGGUUUCUUGGCUGCAGUAGGGUAUAAUCCUCUUCUUUUUCUUCUAUUUUUUUAUUUUUUUAUAUCUUUAUUCUGUUCUUUUAAACAAACUUACUAGAUUUAAAGAAUGAAAAUCUGAUUAUGAAACUCAGUUAACUACAAUCCCGACUGCCUUAUCCAUUUGCAGGGAAAAAAAAACUUAUUUUUUGCCUUCAGCCUUGACCAAUAAUUUCAGCCAUAUCUUGCGUGAACUUCGGAUAGAAGUCAAUCUAAUUAUAUUUCUGUAUUCUAACAAAAACUGCUCGAUCUCCUGGAAACAUUUCUGUGCAUAAUGCAUGAUCCUCAAGGCGAUGUGUUGUAGAAAAUGGAAUUAUCUAUUCCCUUAACAAUGUUUCACGUUAAUAUUGAAUAUUACUUCUCUAUUACCCUUUUCUUUGGAAGGUUGAUAUAUGUGCUGAAUAAACUCAGUUUAGUUGGAAAAAUGUUCAGUGUUAGGGUGUCAAAUGAGCUUGGCCGAGGAAGCGCAAAUGCUACGAAAUUUGCUAUUAAGGUGGCAGUUUCCACAUCCUUUUUGAUUGGAUGUGCACUCUUUAUCAUUUUCCUCUUCCUCAGAGGACGCGUAGCAUACAUUUUCACCGACAAUCAAGAUGUGAUUGACACAGUUGCAGAUCUAUCACCACUACUCUCUUUCUCUAUACUUUUGAACAGUGUGCAGCCAGUGCUCUCCGGUAAUGCUUCCCUUUCCUGUCAGUUUCUUUCUAUAUUCUCCAAGUCACCAAUUGAAUGGGAGGGUCGAAGAUAAAAAGGAAAAUAUGUUGUUAAAUUCGUAACCAAAAAUCAUGCCUGAACAGGAGUUGCUGUCGGGGCUGGAUGGCAGAGUAUCGUAGCAUAUGUUAACAUCGCUUGCUACUACCUGAUUGGGAUUCCUAUCGGAGUCGUGCUUGGUUAUUUAACCCAUUUGGAAGUCAAAGUGAGUUUUCUUUUUCCCAUUCUGCAGUAUCUUUGCGUUUUACUUACACGUGGCAGUAUUUGUAUUGUUACUGUUGUCUCCAAAUAAAUAUAAUUCAGUUCGGUUCCAUUUUAAUUUGGCUCAAAUCAUCAUAUCCUAAUUCUCUGGUCCUGAAAGCACGAAUAUAGUGAACAACCGGUCUCCUCCUUAUUGUAUAAUGCAGAUACCUUGCAGCUUGGUUUGUCAUCAUGUUAUUGAUUAUGAGUGCCGCAGCAGUUCGUUUUGAAGGAGUUGCUUUUCAUGAGUGCACACACAUCAUUCUUUUCUACAAAAUUCUUAGGACAGAAUACAAAUUGUUCCAUAAUUAAAAAGUUUAAUUUUCUUAUCAUACCGGCUCUAUUUUGUCCUCUCUCCUUUUGUAGGGUGUUUGGACCGGAAUGUUAAUUGGAACUUUUGUUCAAACUGUAGUUCUUAUCAUCAUCACUUUGAAAACGGACUGGGACAAACAGGUAUUAUGUUUUUCCAUCUAGCUUUCUCAUGUAUGAGUUUAUAAUUUUGUUUUUUUGAUUAACCCCAAUGAUUGAACAUGUAAAUGAUAUGCAUCAAUGCAGGUGAUGAAGGCUCGCGAACGCGUGAACAAGUGGUUCAUUCCCGAAUCACCGGAACAAUCGCCUAACGAACAAGCAGAUGUCGCAGCUUGACAUCAAACUUCUUCAAUUUCCAAAAUCUUUUUUGCUUGGUGUAAAGCUUUUGCCAAUUAAUUGCUUACAGUUUUGUUUUUGCUUUCAAGAGUACAAUCAAGCAUUCAAUCUGCCUCGUGGGACUUGAUGUUCAACUACAUUGCUCAUGUAGAUGGAGAAUCAAAAAGUGGAAUUUCUUUUUUUUGUUUUUCCUGUUUUUGGUGUUUCAACAUCACCAUUGUGAGAUUCAUUCGUAUUGGCUUAAUUGUAGCAUUGGACAUGAUAUAUUUCGGAUUUGUUCAUUAGAUAGCUGUAGAAAAUGAGCAUGUGCUCACUUAAUACAGUGUUCAUACUCAUGCAUUAGUUUUGUAAAUAGAGUGUGUACAAUAGUUUAUAUCCUAGCGUGAUUAGUAAAGAUUAAUUGCUUGUGUCAUCAAAUUACUGGAUUAGCAAUAAUGUUUGCAACAUUUCAAAUAAAAAAAAAAAGUUUGCAAGGUGCUUGCAAAACAACUUCUCUUCUGUGUCUCCAUUUGUUGGAUGAAAUGAUGUUUAACUCAUACUUUGAAACAACAUCAUCCAGGUCUGCUAUGCCAAAGGUAUUUUACAUACCUUCACAAGACAACCAAUCAAAUUGGUUCUAAAAUUUUGGAAGAAUCAAUUUGGUGGACCAACCGCGAGAUGAAGAUGUUGAAGUCAAUAAAUUGUUGGUGCACCAACAAUUUGUUGAUUUUGUAAAGGCGAAAAGAAAGAAUGGGGGAUGGAUUUGAAAAAUAAUAAUAAUUAAAAAUUAUAUUUUUAAUUAUUUUAUUCUUAGCAUAGUAAUUCAUUUCUCCUAUUAAUUGUUAAAUAAACAAUUAUUCUUUCUUGCCUCCGUGGAUGUAGGUUUAAUUACCGAACCACGUAAAUUCUUAUGUCCUUUAUUUUUCUGUAAUUAUUUGGUGCGCUUGAUUCUGCAUUCCGCGCACAACAAGUGGUAUCAGAGCCGAAGGUUCAUACUUGGGGGGAUACGGUACUAUUCACGUAUAAAGUACUAUUCUCGUAUACGGUAUUGUUCACGAAUACGGUGGAGACGGCCAUUUGUACUUGGGAGACUGUCGAUUGUAAGUAGUGUGUAUUUUGCAUGUCUAGGAAAGUUCUGUCAACAAAGGCGAUAAGAGUCUAAGGAUUCUAGUUUUUAAUUAGGACCAAGUUCCCGUCCAGUUUCCUGAUAACUUUCCUGGUGCAUUUAUUCACGUGAAAUUAACAUCAUAGAGAUUGUUUUUCAAGUGGAAAUAGUUUGUUGAGAAAAUUGUAGAAGGUGAAACUUCCAGAAUUGGGGAGAAAUCUACUGAGACUAUUUCAGGAAACACUUUAGGUGAGAGGUGAGAUUUGUCAAAUCGCUAUUCAGUACCUGUUAUAGGAGGCCAGAAGAUCGAUGUUGAAAAGUUUGAUGGGAAAAUCAACUUCGGCAUGUGGAGGCGCGAAGUUAUGGAUACCCUUAUUCAAAUCGAUCUCGAUGUUGUUCUGAAAAAUAAAAGACACUUGUAUGAUGAAGAAAUUUGGGAUCGUAUGAAUGAAAAAGCUUGUGGUCAGAUCAGAUCUUGUUUGACCAGGGAUGUGAAAUUCUUGGUGAAAGAUAAGGAGUGUGCGGUGACUUUGUGUCGUACAUUGGAGGAGAAGUACCUGGUGAAAAGUCCUGAAAAUCGCCUUCAUGCAAUGAGCCAAGUAUAUGGUUUUCGAAUGAAGCCUAGGGUGUCAAUGCACGAUCAUGUUUCAAGAUUUGAAAAGUUACUUGCUGAUUUGAAGAAUCUUGAUGAAGAUAUUAAGGAUGAAGUCAAGGCUAUGAUUCUGUUACACUCACUACCAAAGGAAUAUAGCCAUUUUGUGACUACUUUGAUAUAUGGGAAGAGUGUGAUCGUCUUUAAAGAUGUUUGCACAGCAUUGACUAGCUUAGAGAUUCGGAAUAAUGAUAAAAAUUCUGAACGAGCAUCAUCUGAAGCUUUGGUGAGCAGAGAUUGGGCGAUGGAGAAACAGAAGAAGCGUUGUGGAAAGAAUUCUCGAUCCAAAUCGAGAAACAGAAAUAUAGCUCGAGAUGAGUGUGUAUUUUGUCCUGAAAAGGGCCAUUGGAGGAAAGGUUGUCCAAAGGCUCAAAAGAGAGAUGGGAAGAAACCAGCAGCAGCAAACAUGGCACGGAAAGAUGAGGGCUCUGAUUAUUCACUAAGUAUUACUCCUGCAGCAUACGUGGCUAGUUCGAGUGAGUGGAUACUUGAUACUGGAGCAACCUAUCAUUUGUGUCCUAUUAAGGAAUGGUUUACGGAUUUUCGUAAUCUGGAAUCCGGUGCAGUUGUGAUGGGGAAUGAUCAACCUUGUCGCACAAUGGAGAUAUGAAUAAUUCGGCUCAAAAUGUUUGAUGGAAUAGUCAGAGAACUCAAAGAGGUUAGAUUUGUUCCAACUUUAAAGAAAAAUCUAAUUUCUGUGGGUGCUUUAGAAGAUAAAGGCUACAAGGUUACCAUUGAAGAUGGUAUAAUGAAGUUUACACAUGGGGCUAUGGUGAUUCUGCAAGGGGUUCGGCGUCACAAUCUGUACUAUUUGAAGGGAGGUACAACUGAUGAAGCAAAUGUUGUUGAGGCGCACAGUGACACCACUAAGCUAUGGCAUGUACGACUGGGACAUGUUGGAGAGAAGUCUUUGCAAACUCUGAUGAGGUAUGGACUUUUAAAAGGUACCAAAACCUGUAAAUUAAAUUUCUGUGAGCAUUGUGUAGUAGGCAAGAAAACAAGGGUCAAGUUUGGUACAGCUAAUCACGAUACUCGUGAGAUCCUUGAAUAUGUUCAUAGUGAUGUAUGAGGACCAACCAAGACUGCAUCAAUUGGUGGAAGCCAUUAUUUUGUUACAUUUGUUGAUGAUUUCUCUAGACGUGUGUGGGUGUACACCAUGCGAGCAAAGGAUGAGGUUCUAGAGAUUUUCGUGAAAUGGAAGAAAUUAGUGGAGACUCAAACUGGCAGAAAGAUCAAAGUAUUACGAUCUGAUAAUGAGGGUGAAUAUACUUUUGAUCCAUUCUUGCAAGUAUGCCAGAACGAGGGUAUUAAAAGACAUUUCACGGUGAGACAUACUCCGCAACAGAACGGUGUGGCUGAGUGUAUGAAUCGUACUUUACUGGAGAAGGUACGAUGUUUGUUAUCUAAUGCUGGCUUAGAUAAAAAGUUUUGGGCUGAAGCUGUGAGCUACGCAAGUCACUUGGCAAACCGGUUGCCUUCUAUUACAAUUGGAGGUAAAACUCCUAUAGAAAUGUGGUCUGGAAAGCAUGCACAAGACUAUGAUUCCUUUCGUAUAUUCGGGUGUCCAACUUAUUAUCAUGUUAAAGAUGGUAAACUGGAUCCUCGUGCUAGAAAAACUAUCUUUGUGGGAUUCAAAGGUGGAGUAAAGGGCUUCAAGCUUUGGGAUCUCGAAGACAAAAAGUUUGUGUGUAGUAGAGAUGUCACAUUUGAUGAAGUUUCAAUGAUGAAAGCUUCAAGUUCUCAGUAGGUGGAGAACAAGACCAAAGAGGUAUUGCAGCGGGGUGGAGUUUGAUGCAGCUCCAUAUGUACCAGUUAGUUCUACAUCAAAGAAGAGUUCAACUAUGGAGGUGACACCUAGAGUUGAAGAAGAGGUUGUUUCUUCUGAUGUCCCACAAAAUGAAGAAACAAUUGUUGAUGUAGAUAAUGAUGAUUUUACAGCAACAAGGAGGCCAAAAAGAGAGAUAAAGAAACCCGGAUGACUUACUAAAUAUAUUGUGGUAGCCUAUGCACUUUCAGUUAUUGAUGAUGACAUCCCCAACACUUUUGGUAAAGCAUUACGUAACAGUGAAAGUGAUCAGUGGAAGUUAGCCAUGGAAGAAGAGAUGAAAUAUCUCCAUCAAAACCAGACUUAGGAACUUGUAAAGUUACCAAAGGGGAAAAGGGCUAUUGGCAAUAAAUGGGUUUACAUCAAAAAGCAAGGAUCUCCAAAUCAAACAACUCCUCGAUACAAGGUAAGGCUCGUGGUAAAAGGUUUUGCUCAAAAGGAAGGUAUUGACUACAAUAAAGUUUUCUCUCCAGUUGUAAAACAUACUUCCAUUUCUAUCCUAUUUGCCUUAGUUGCAGAAUAUGAGUUAGAGUUGGCUCAAUUGGAUGUUAAGACGGCGUUCUUACAUGGAGAUUUGGAGGAGGAAAUCUAUAUGAUUCAGCCUUGUGGUUUCAGAGUUGCUGGAAAGGAGAAUCAUAUGUGUAGGUUGAUUAAAUCUUUGUACGGACUGAAGCAAUCGCCAAGGCAGUGGUACAAAAGAUUUGAUCAAUUUAUACAAGGGCAGAAAUUCACCAGAAGUGAACACGAUCAUUGUGUUUACUUUAGAAGACUACCAGAUGGAGCUUUCAUCUAUUUGUUACUCUAUGUCGAUGAUAUGUUUAUAGUUUCGAAUAAUAAAGAUGAGAUCGAAAGAUUAAAGAAGCAGCUGGCUUCUGAGUUCGAGAUGAAAGACUUGGGUGCUGCACAGAGAAUACUUGGGAUGGAGAUUCGUAGAGACAAGAAGAAUAGGAGCAUAUGGUUGACUCAAAAGUCUUAUUUGAAGAAAGUGCUAGAAAGAUUCGGUAUGGAUGACAAAACUAAACCGAUAUGUACACUUCUAGCUCUUCAUUUCAAAUUAAGAUCUUCUUCAUGUCCUAAAUCUCAAGAGGAGCGCGAUUACAUGGCUUGUGUUCCAUAUGCUAGUGCUAUGGGUAGUCUUAUGUAUGCUAUGGUAUGCACAAGGCCCGAUAUAUCUCAAGCAGUGAGCAUGGUUAAUAGAUACAUGCACAAUCCGGGUAAAAAUCAAUGGCUUGUGGUAAAAUAGAUUCUCCGACAUCUAUAUGGGACAGUUGAUGUUGGGUUAUUGUUCAAGAAGGAUUGUGGUCAACAAUGUGUUGGGUAUUGUCAUUCUGAUUUCGCUGGAGACCUUGACAAGCGAAGAUCAACAACGGGCUACGUAUUCACAUUGGGUGGAGGUCCGGUUAGUUGGAGGUCGAUUCUACAAUCGACAAUUGCUCUGUCCACUACGGAAGCAGAGUAUAUGGCAGCAACUGAAGCUGUAAAAAAAGCUAUCUAGUUGAAAGGCUUGUUAGGUGAUUUGGGAGUAAUUCAGGAGAACAUUGCGGUUUUCUGUGAUAAUCAAAGUGCGAUAUUCCUUGCGAAGAAUCAAACAUAUCACGCUCGGACGAAGCACAUAGAUGUGAAAUAUCAUUAUGUGAGAGAGAUUAUCGAGAGCGGUGUUGUGUUGUUGAGAAAGAUCGAUACCAAAGAUAAUCCAUCAGAUAUGUUGACAAAGAUAGUUUCUGGAGUUAAGUUUCAACAUUGCUUGAAAUUAAUUAAAAUCCUUCGAUUGUGUUAAGAUAUGUCCUUCGGGAAUUUUGAACUACGGUUGACUUGAUCCCAAAUUUUGGCUACGUAGGCAGUCAUAGAGAUGCAGCCACUUUGGGGAUGAUGGCUCGUUGGUAGUCGGAUCAGAUUUAAAAAAUUUUCGCCGAGGUGGAGAUUUGUUGAAGUCAACAAAUUGUUGGUGCAAAUUUGUUGAUUUUGCAAAGCCGAAAAGAAAGAAUGGGGGAUGGAUUUGAAAAAUAUUAAUAAUUAAAAAUUAUAUUUUUUAUUUUUUUAUUUUUAGCAUAGUAAUUCAUUUCUCCUAUAAAUAGCUAAGGAUUUCAUUCAUUUGAAAUCAUUCCAAAAUUGUUAAGCUUAUAAGUUUAUAAGCUUUUGAGAGAAGUGAGAGAAGUGUGUCUGGAGAAUUUAUCUUUCCUGCAGAGUGUGAGAGUACUGGGUAUAUUUGGAUUUCUGGGAAGUGAGAUUCAUUACUCAAAUAUUAUACUCUAUUAAUUGUUAAAUAAACAAUUAUUCUUUCUUGCCUCCGUGGAUGUAAGUUUAAUUACCGAACCACGUAAAUUCUUGUGUCCUUUAUUUUUCUGUAAUUAUUUGGUGCGCUUGAUUCUGCAUUCCGCGCACAACAGAAGACUGGUGCUGAUUAAGUAGAAAGAAUGAUUGGCUAUAUAAAUAAAAAAGAACAAAAAAGAGCGUGAAGACAAGCUGCAUAGGUCAUUGAUGACUUAAAUGAUCUUCAAUUAUAUAAGCAAUCGUGCAGGACAGUUUUUUCUCCCUAUUUCAGCAUAUGUCCAGUGAUGAUUUGUCACGUAACAGAAUAUUAAAUUUAAUUAUGCUAAUUUUUUCUGCUCAAAUAAUAAUUACCUGAUAAAGUACGAGAUGGACUUGUCGCGGAAAAGUAGAUUGGCAACAAUAGGGACAAAGCCAACAUGAUUAUUGUGGUAAAGUGUUGAUCGUCACUCAAAUCUUAUCGCAGGUUCAUUCACUUAUAAUAAAAAACCAAUCAAGCUUUGAAUUACAAAAUAAUAAAAGAUAUUCUUAACGGACGGACAUUAGCCACUCACAAUCUAUAUAUAUAUAUAUAUAGUGAAAACUCUGCCAACUUGAAAACAAAGUUCAAUUUGUGUUUUGAGUUUAACACUCAUGACAUAGUGUACCCCACAGUCGAAAUACCGUCACCAAUGCAGCUUAGAGAUAGUGUCCAAAUUGUAAAGGACAAUGUCUUUAUAAUUUCGACUCUUACAACAGGUCAUAUGCUAAAAAAUGUGGUUAAUUUUUGUGCCACAGUAUCCCCUCUGUUUAGAUAAGACUGUCUAUAUAUUUUAUAGAUAGUGAAAUUAAAAGGGCUUUCACAUUCAUUACAUUUAACAUGUUAAAAUCUUGGAAGCUCAAGCUGAAGGCAAUUAUGUAAGUUAGCAUUUGUUUGUUAAACACUUCAGAAUAACAAUGGACAACGGAUUGGAAGAGCGAGAGAGGCUUCUGUGAUUCGAGGAACAGGAGAGGAAUGAUCUGAAACAGAGGAUUUAGAAGGAAAUGAAGCUGACGUGGAGGAUUGCAUUUCCUUCUAUACUUUCCAGGAUUACUUCAUUUGGACAAAUUUUGGUGACACAGAGUUUUCUUGGACAUGUUGGGGAAAUUGAACUCGCCUCAUUUGCACUCGUUCAAAGCAUCUUUUUGCGCUUUGUUAAUGGAAUACUGGUAAGCAUCGUCAAUUUGAAUCAUAUACAUGUUUGUGUGUGCGUACGUUUGUGAAUGUGUAGAUCACUGGAUUGAAGAAAGACAGUAACCUGAAUGAUUUUCUCUGAUCAUGUACUAAACUGCACUCUGCUUUAUGUGAUGCCUUUUACAAAUGUCUUUAUAUAUAUAUAUAUAUCUUUUUAAAGAUCUAGUGACGAGCUGUUGUUUGCCUCUAAAUGUUCUAUGGUUCGUUUCAUUUACUUGUUCAUUCAUUUGAAGCUGGGAAUGUCAAGUGCAACAGAGACAUUAUGUGGACAAGCAUUUGGAGCAGGGCAUUAUCAUAUGAUGGGAAUUUACUUGCAACGAUCGUGGCUAGUUGAUUGUGUAACUGCUACAAUAAUGCUCCCCGUCUUCAUCUUUGGAACACCGAUCAUGAAUCUGCUUGGCCAGCAAAAGGAUAUAGCAGAAACAGGGGGGGUGAUUUCUCUGUGGUUGAUUCCCUUUGUUUAUAACUUCGUCUUCUCCUUGACAAUCCAAAUGUUCUUACAAGCACAGCUCAAGAACAUGAUUAUCGGGUGGCUAUCUACUGCUUCUUUCCUGCUUCACGUGCUUAUGUCCUGGAUCUUUGUGAGUGAACUUGACUUAGGUAUUGCUGGUGCAAUGGGCUCAUUAAACAUUUCUGCUUGGCUAAAUAUCAUUGGAUUGUUUGUUUACAUCUUCUGUGGUUGGUGCCCUGAUACUUGGAAAGGUUUCACCAACGCUGCCUUUACUGACAUUCUUCCUGUAAUAAAGCUGUCGAUAUCCGCCGGGGUCAUGAUAUGGUAAAUAUUGAAUGUUCUUCCUCGGAAAUUAUACCCUGCAUGUCAUGAUGCAUCUCCUGGGUGCUAAUUAAUCGAACUUGUAAAAUCCUACGAUAGUACAUGAACUCUGCUGUUCAAACCCCGCUCAUUUUUAUGCUAUGCUUUAAAAAAUAAGCAAACAAAUAAAUAUUGGAACGCUCUCUAAAUCUGUCUCAUAAGAUUCCGUUUUGACACUUUUUUUUUUCUUUUUUGGUUUCAUAAUCAAUUAUCUUACUUAAUUUUGAAUUGUGAUAGCUUGGAGCUCUGGUACAAUUCCAUUCUAGUCUUAUUGGCUGGGUACAUGAAAAAUGCAACCGUUGCCAUAUCUGCUUUCUCUAUUUGGUAAGGUCUUAGCUAUUAUUAAAACCUUAUUUCACAUUUAUUACUUCCAGUUCCAGUUGAUUUUCCUAAAUAAUCUUUUUAAGAAUUUGGCUUUAAAGCUAAUUAAUUACAUUGUUGUUGCAGCCUCAAUGUCAGUGCAUUUCAAUUAAUGAUCUUCCUUGGCUUCCUUGGUGCCUCAUAGUAUAGAUAUACAUUGCUUCAACAAAUACCCUCUCUGGCUCCUUAUACUUGAAAUUCGCAAGCUCUAAUGUUGUAAUAUCAUUUGUUGAUCAGCGUGCGAGUGUCGAAUGAACUCGGGAGAGGAAAUGCGAAAGCCACAAAAUUUUCCAUUAAAGUCAUACUCACUAUUUCAGCCUGUCUUGGAGUGAUCUGUUGGAUUUUAUGUUUAAUCUUUGACCGUCAGAUUUCAUACCUGUUUACAACUAGUGAGGAAAUUGCAGAAGAAGUAUCGAAACUAUCUGUUCUGCUUUCUUUCUCCCUUUUGCUUAACAGCGUUCAGCCAGUACUCUCAGGCAAGUGUUAUUUCUUCGAAAACUUGGAAAAAAAAAACAAUAAUGCUUUGAUUACUAAGGGUGCGUUUGAUAUUAAGGUGUUGUAGCUUAAAAGCUACAAUUGUUGUGGAAAAAAAAUGUAUUUAUGAAAUAAAAAUUAGUAAUACGUAGUAAAUAUAAAUUUUAAAUAAUAAUUUUGAUAAAAUUAUUAAAGAUAUAAUAAAUUUUUCAUUACACAAGUGAAAAAUUGUAUUAGUAUAACUUUUAAAUUACAACAGUUAGUGUUUACCAAACACUUUAGUGCUGUACCUUUUAAGUUACAGCUGUCCAACCUCAAUUCCAAACGCACCCUAAGUAUGGAUACUUUGUUGGAUACUCAUUGAUGCCUCGCAAAUCAAUUUUUCAGGGGUAGCUGUAGGUGCUGGAAUGCAAAGCACGGUUGCAUUUGUUAACUUGGGAAGCUAUUACUUUGUUGGAGUUCCUACAGGAGUUUUGCUUGCAUAUGUGGCCAAUCUCGGAGUUACAGUAAGAAAUAUAGUUUAUGUUUAAUUAAUAAUAACGAUCAAAUGUACUCUGGUUAAUUGAAUACAAUUUUAAUUAAAUAGAUAUGGUGUUUUGUAAAAAUUGUACCAUUGACUCUCUCACGAGUUGAUUGAUGUUGGUUUAAUUUGACAGGGUUUAUGGAUUGGAUUGUUGGGUGGAAUUGUUAUUCAAACGAUUAUUCUUUCCUUCAUCAUAUGGAGGACCAAUUGGGAUGAUCAGGUAAAUUAGGAUUGAUUGCAGGGCACGUGUUGUGAUUACUGCAAAUUUUUAUGAGAUUAAUUAUUGAGUGGUUGGCUUUAGAACACACUCUUUGAAGGGUUUUUUUUGGUCCACAAUGGGUGUUUAUUUGGGUUAUAAAAAUUAAAAAAAUAAAUAAAGAUCAAAAGUUGGCUAAAAUUUAUAGAUAUUGCUCUCAUUCUUGCGGGUGAACAAGGCAUCCCAACGUCUCAACAAAUGGUUGCUGAAACCAUCUGAAGAAUCUGAUCGAAGCUCUCCAAAUAUGUAGAGUUGUGUAAUUCAUUACUUGCACAAGAAUAUUUGUCGGUUGGGCCUAUCAGUAGAAUAAUAAUAAAUCUGAAUGAGUUGAAUCCAAAGUUAUUCUUUUUUUUUUUUUUUUUUUGAGAAGGAAUCCAAAGUUAUUCAAUUGAAUGUAAAAUGGAUUUUCCAUCUUCUUUUGUCACCCCUGGAAAAUCCAUCUUAAAAUCUCUUCUUUAGUUAUAUAUUCCACUUAAUGUCAAUUUUUUAAAAUAAAUAUUCUUUUUAUUUUUUAAUCUAUGUGUGCCUGUAAUUUUCUCACUUUUAAAACUAUUUUUAGUCUUUAAUAUCUUUACUCUUCUCUUUGAAUUUUCUCUAUCUGCAAAUUCAAAAAAACUAACUUCUCAAAUAUUAAAAAUAAAAAUAAUGAAAAUGAGAAAAAAAAAGAGAGAAAGGAAAAUAGAUUAAAAUUAAAAUUUGUACGAACUAUUUAUAGUUAUUAUAGAGAUAAGACUAGAAAAGGGAAUGAGAAGCAAAGCUUUUAACAAGUACCAAAUUUUGAUGAUUAUAUAAUACCACGGACUGAAUUGAUACUUUGUUCUUGAUAUGGAUGAAUCACAAGAGCCGAGACGAUCUAGAAAGCUCUUGAUCAUAAUCAAUUUUGUAACCCUACUUCGGUAUGGAGCAUGCACCUGCUGGAAUCAAAUUCCUCACAAUUAAUAGUUCCAGCGUCGUAAGAUGGAAUUCGGUAAUUUUACAUAUAGGUUCGUCCCGAUUUGCAUAAAAUAUAGAUUUUAAAAAUUUUUUAUCUAAAUUUAAAAAGAAAAUAAAAAAAUUUAUUUGAGCGAGGUUUAAAUCCUGGGACAUGUGGGUUAUGGGUCCACCACAUUUAUGCUGUGUUGCUAGGAUUUUAUUGUUAAAAGUAAGGAUGAUAAUUUUUUUCGAUGGAAUCUUAUGGGAUAUCAUGUUAUUUGGGAUGUGAUUUAGAUAUAUUUUUAUCUCACAAAAAAAUAUAGGAAUGAGAGUGAGACAUUUUUUUCAUCCCUCUUACAUAUACGGGACGGGAUUGGGAUUGACAAAUUCCGUCUCAUCUCGUUACAUUGCAGACUAAGGAUGAGAACUUUUUCAAUUGAGAUAGAAUCUCUCAGAAUCCCAUAUCUUUUUGGACGGGAUCAGGAUAUAUUUUUGUCCAAAAAAAAUAUAAGAACGAGAGUGAGACAUUUUUUUUUUAUCUCGCUUGUAUAUAUGGGACAGGACUGUGAUUGGUAAAUCUCAUCCCAUCCCGUCCCAUUGCCAACCCUAGUUAAAAGACUCUUAGUUUUAUUUAAAUAAAUCAAUGUGCUUUUAGAAAUUUCGAUAGGCAACCUAAAUUCUUUUAUUAUUAAAAGACUCUCAGUUGCAUGUUCCCUUCUACGAUAUCUGAUACUCAAAGUCUUAAUUAUGUAUAUAAUUAAUAUUUGUAGUUGUAGGUAUCUUAUAUGAUCCGUUGAUAUCUGCAUAUGUACUAGUUACUGUAUUAAUGCAAACUCUUAAUUAUUUAAUUAAUUCAAUCACGAAGGGUAAAUAUGUCAUUUCACUUGAUUUAUACUCUUAAAACAUUUUGAACUCCAUAGUUGACGUCGAGACCAAAAGUAAAAUAGAAAAAUAAUUAAUAAAGAUGACGCCGUUAUAACGGAAAAUAUAUAUAAACAUAUUUUGAAAAUUAGUGGAAGAUAUUUUUCUACUUAAUAACUAUCACCAACCAACAUCGUGGCGUCAUGCUACGUUUCCCUUGAGUGCUUGCGUCUUGUAUAUGCUUGGACUCGGAAUUUAUGCUCGUGGGCUCAUGUGUCCGCGUGUGGCCAAACAAAUACGAGACAAACAAAGACUCAAUGCACUCGAAAUCGUAAUCAAUGCUUCUGCAAUUUUUGCCAUUCAUCUGAGAGUAAGUGUUGACUGGCUUUCUUAGUUAUGCACUUAUGCUCCUGCAUAUAUGCCAAUGGCCAUUCAGUGACUCAGAGUUUCCACUUCCACUUUCUUUCUUCUUUUAUAUAUAUUUAUUUUUAAACAUGGUAAAAUUUUAUUGAUAUAUUUAAAAUUAGAAUCCUAAUAAAACUCACUUAGAUUAAUACUAUUAAAACACAGCUCAAAAUUAUACCCUCAUUAAUAAAAUAAAAUAUACUUUUCCUCAUAAUCUAAUUGACAAUUAGUACACAAAAGAGCAUUUUUACCUGGGGUCCAAUGUGAAAAAUGUUAAAUAAAAAGAAAAAAAGAAAGAAAAGUACAAAUCAUGAACACACACGUCGAGUGACGUGCCAACCGUCCAAAAUUUACCAAACCAGAAAAGAAAAUAGGGUGUAGAAUGAAUCACGUGAUUGAUCUUGUCUCGUUCACAUUUGUCCGAAAGUAAUUAUAGUGACAUCUUUCCUUGGCGACAGAAAUCCAUGGACGUGAUCUCGACAAACCCAUUUCUCAAAAUAACAAUUGAGAUCUAUUAGAAUAGGGAGAGUAACAUCUUAGUCCAUCUUAUAACUCAUUUUCACAUUUUAAUCUUUAAUAGAUUUUAAUACCUCAUUUUAUCUAUGAUGUUCAAACAAUGACAGAAUAAAUAAGCUGUUGAUGGGUAAAAGUUAUAUUUUAACAAUUAAAUUAGUUAAUUUUUAUUUGUGGAAGUUUCAAACAAUCGUUUUAUUUAUGAAAUGAUCAUACUUAUUAUGAAAUAAUUAUAAAGUGGUAAAAUCAAUUCACAUGAAAUUUACUUUUUGCCUUUUGAUCAUGUUAUGAAAUAACCUCAAUAAGUAUAUAUGCCUUUGAGAGUUUUACUGGUAUCAGUAGAGCUGAGUUGAUAUUGUUGGUGGUGGUAAGGAUAUGGUUUUGGAGGAUUUGGAUUUUUAGGGUAUUCCAUGGGUCUUACUUUUUUCAAAUCUCCAGUGGAAGAUAUUCAGCAUGUGGUUGCGAGCUUCAAUUCCCAUACUGUUGACAAUCUUGUCCAAUUUGAUGAGAAUUUCAGUUUUGAUGGGAAUCCAAUGUUGAUGCUUAUUUCUUGUUUGAGCCUGAGGAUACUGGAAGGCUUGAUCUUAGUCCCGAUUUUGGUAUUGCUAGCCCGCAUGCCUCUGGUUUAAAGAAAGGCUUCACAUUUGACACUGCUCGCAUGUAUAAUAAGCCGCACUCUAGGUAUUAGCUCAUCUUCUUAUAGUUUCUUUGUUAGAUUUUACCUUAGUUUGCUCUCUUUAGUUAAUUCUUUGUUAUUUAAUUGCUUUUGCUAUUUAUUUUGUUUUUGUUAGUAGUGUUUGUUCUUUGACUUAGUGGUUUUGGUCACAUCACUCUUCAAAUGUAUUUUCUUUUAUUUUAUUUAAUCUAUAGAUAAGGGGUCCCGCCUAACUUGGUUUCAAUUUUUUUUUUCUAAAAAGUUUGUCUUUUUUUUCUUAUGCAUAUGCAUGAAAAUGAAUUAUGAAAGACCACAUCGCGAUAUGAUAAAAGAGCAACAUAUAAUUGAUAAAACUAUUGUGACAUGAUUGAUUAAAGAAAUAAAAAGUAAUAAAAAGUAGAUGUUUGUUUACUCUCUAUAUUUUGAGAAAAAUACUCAUUUAAUCUCUAUAUUUUAAAGAAUAAUUUAAGAUAACUUUGCUAAUAAUUAUAUUACAAUCUUACCCUUAAUUUUCUUUUUGUUUAAAAUAAAAUCAUAGUAACAAUAUUCUUGAAAACAUUAAUGAAAAGGAAAAAAAUGUGAAUUUGUCAAAUCAACCUUAAAAGUAAAAUAAAAAUGAGUUAUUAUUAUUUUAGGAUUAAUUUGGUAAUUAAAUUAAUUUUAUACAAAAAACUAUUAGUAAGAUUGUUGCAAGGGUAUUAAACAUUACUUUAAAUUACUUGGUAUUCAUUUAUUUAUAAAUAUUAAUUAGCAAGAUUGUUACAAAAGUAUGAAAAAUAUCAAUUGUUUUAUACUUAUAUUUAUUUCUUAAUUUAUUAAUAAGUAAUUAUUGGUUAAUUUAUUAAUUAAUUUUUUUAUAGACUAAAAAAUUAAUGUAAAAUAUAUUGUUGUAAGAGUAUGUAAAAUAUAUUGUUUCAAGAGUAUUAUUGUAAACACAUAAAAAAGAAAAAAGAAAGGAUAGGAGUGUUAUAUAUUUAAUAAUAAAAAUGUCUUAAAGAAUUUUAAAAUACAAACAUUAAACGUAGAGUUAAGUUAAAUUUAGAGACUAAACAGCGAAACAAAUAAAGUAAUCUUGUUUUGCCAUUUCUCUUUGUCGUUAUUGUCAUAAAUAUUGUGACAAAAACAAGCACCAUGUAUAGUACAAUGAUAUGCCCGAGAAGCAUGUAUAAUUUAAUUAAUUAAUUACAGAGCAGCGUGGCCAGUGGAAAGUGAGCGGAUGGAUAAAUUCCCAAACGAUUGAUUUUGACGCAUGAAUGAAUUGAUUAUAUGGAGGUUGCCAUGUUACAGAUUCUGUAACAUACGCACCCAAUGCAUGCACCACACCUGUCCUGCAUAUGGACAAAAAGCAUGCAAUUGUUUUUGUUUAGUAUCUAGCUAACCAAUCAGGAGCUGGCCAAGUUGGAUCUGUAUGUUACAGAAUCUGUAACUUAGCCAGCUCCUUGAUUAUAUAUACCCAUGAGUAAUUAUUGUACGCACAUUUUCACUGUUUUUUCAUUCCACUCUGUCAGCUUACUAAAUUAACAUUUUGUUUGAUAUCAUAUAUCCCAUUCCCCAGGUGUCUUCUUUGCUUGCCUCUACUUUCAUAUCUCCUCUGCCUAUGCAUUCUUGAAGUGAGAAAUUAAUCUCUUGGGCUGAAACCCUAGCUAGAAGCUAUCCUCCUUGUUCAACUAAUCAAGCAAGAACUUCUCUCAAGGCCAAGUAAGUUUCCUCCUCUCUCUCUUUUAAGUUUCCUCCUCUCUCUUUUUCUCUAAAUAUUUCGGUCAACAGUGACAUGAAUCAGAGGGGAACUACGUGUAGAGUUCAAUAUAGUUUUUUGUUAUAUGUUUCAAGUUUUCUCUUAAUUAACUUCAUAAGUUUUUUUUGUUAAAGUUUUGAACGUAUGUGUUGUUGUAUUUGAUUCUUUUUCAAGAAAAUAAUUGAGAAAAUAACCCUACAACUUGGAACCCUUAAAACACAUGACAAAUGUGAUAAAGAAAUCAUGAUUCAUACUAGAAAAAGCUAACUCUCUUUACAUACAUACUAUGCGCAGCUGUUUUUGCAAUUAGGUUCCUUUUUUUUUCUUUCAAUGAAAGAUAUGAACAUUAAUCUCUUCUUUCAAUCUCUUAUUGUUUAAAUUAAUACAUAUAGAUUUUUUCUCCUUAAUACCUACCCGUGUACUUAGUCAUUUCCAAUUCAUUAAUACUUUCUUGAAUAAACUUUUUUUUUUAAAAUGUGGUGGUUGGACUGUAUUUUCUUUUAUUUCCUAUUUGUCCUUUAAGUAGUUUGUAUUAAUUACACUCACCCAUGAAUUCAGAUAAGUUGAGUGGAUUUGAUCGUAAGUUUUCUUUAUAUUUAAUCAAGUUUUUGUCUGAUUCAUAGCUCGAAAAGAUACAUUAUUAACAUGAUUUUUGCUGUUACAAUGCAUCUUACCAACAUCGUACAAGUGCACCUUAAAUAAACACUUCCUACCGGUGAGCUAACACCGAGACACACAAAAUCCACACACAAUGAGACGCAAAAUUCAAGAGAAAAAGCCACUAAGAUUUUUAAGAGAUUUGCUUUUGGACUGAAACGUGACACAGACGUGCAUCGGUUACAUAAUUUUUUUUUAAAGAUAAACUUUAGAGUUUGCACAACUAUUUUGAAAUUUAAAAAAAAAUUAUGAAACUAUUUUUAAAAUCAAAGAAUCUACAUAUUCAUUUAAACAAAUCUUAGACGUAUAGAUGAUUUUUCUAUUAAAAUUCAGACUCGAAUAAUAUCACUCAUAAUUAAACAAAGGUGUGUGUAUGCAAUAUAUCAACAAAUUAUGUGCCUAUUGGUUGCGCACAUGGCAGAUUUUUCUUUUUAAUUUUUGGUAUUGAUCAAAUUUAGAGGGGCCGGGAUUAAUUCUUUACUGGAUUAAAGCAGUCUAGGUAGAUUAAUUUGCUAUCUAUAUUUGCAUUUUUCAUAUGUAACAUUAUUUUCUCUAAACAAAACUGUGUUUCAGAUGGAGGAGAGACUCCUCGGUUCAGAAGCGAAAGAUAUUGAUGAUUUAAAAGGGAGGGUUUGGAAAGAAUCGAAAAAGCUAUGGAGGGUUGCAUUUCCCGCAAUGUUAGCUAGGGUUUCCCAGUAUGGUAUGUUUGUUAUCACACAAGGAUUUAUUGGUCAUCUUGGUGAGGUUGAGCUUGCAGCUUCCGCGCUCAUUCAAAUCAUAGCCGUCCGAUUUUCAAAUGGGAUUUUGGUAAGAUUUUGUGAUUGCUUUAUUAUCCUUAUCUCCCGUACUUUUUUCCUUUACUAUUACUUAAUUCUGAUGCUUAUGGUUACAAUACAAUAGGGAUCGACAAAAUAUGAGCACUACUAAUCUUAUCUGCCCUCACGAUUCCACUCGACCUUCUAUUUUAUUUUUCUUUUUCAGAAAGUUGGUCUUAUUCGUCCUGGUAAUUCCCCACUUUAGUGUCCUAAAGUUGAGCUACAUAUUGACGCCAUUAUUUAAUUUGCACCUUUAUCUAAAAAGCAAUCAUGCAAAAAUUUUACUUAUAUCUUUUUCUGGUAUUCUCAAUUUAUUUCAUCACCUACCUUUUCGACGUGAUUUUUUUUUUAUUCCUCUUUGGUUUGUCCUAUUUUGUUAGAUAGAAGAUAUUUGUUCAAACUCAAUUAUUGUAGCCACUGGGCGGCUGGCGCAGCCCUCAUCUGGUCAUGAAUUGCGUCGUGUUACUUGAGUUUGAAUAAUAAUUAAAGAUAAAAAUUGAUGUUUAGUGUCUGAAAUUUGUCCAUAUCAAAUGACGUAAAGAAUUUGGGGAGAAUUGACUUUGAGUUAGGUCCCAAUAUCUCUUACUUUUAUCACUUAGGCUCUAUUUUUUUUUCCCCUAAUACCCAUUACGUUCUUGAUUUUAUAAUUUCAAGGUUCAAAUUUUAUUGUUGAAGAUCAAAUGUAACUUUUUACCUACAAAACUUUGUAUUCAAAUUAUUUUUUUUUCUUUUAAUAUUUGAAUAUUAGAGACUUAAAUAGCAAGAGUUUAUUUGUUAAAUGUCUGAAGUCUGAAAUUUUUAUUAAUUUAAGAUACUUUUUAAGUUUACUUUUUUGUUUUUUUUAUAAUUUAUGUAUGAUUUUUAGAUAUUUAUAUGUAAAGAUGUUUAUAUUAACUUCUGUGACUUUUAUCUAAAUGGAAAGUAAAAACUAUAUCCAGAAAUAUCUCUAUCAAAUACACUUAUUUCUUAAAAUAUAAAACUAAAUAUCUUUAUUCGUUUUAACUUAUAAGGACAUAAACAUCAAAUAUCCAUGUUAGUUUUUUUAUUUCAAAAAAAUAAAUAAAAUGUACCUAUGUUUAGAUAUUAAAAAAUAAAUAAAUAAAUAGGUCAUCCAAAUAUUUGUAUUCAUAUUCAUUUAGACUUCUGUUAAAUUCAUACUUAUUUAUUUUUUCAAAAAAAAAAACUCUUGGUAAAAAAAAAAAAAAUUAAGGAUCUAACUGUCAUUCUUCUAGUAUUUCAAGGAUAGUACUUAUAAAUAUGUUUAACAAUAAACAUACGACAUGACUACAAAAUUUUUUUAUGUGCCAGGUUUUCUCCAUGCCUAUAACCUUCUAGCUAGCUUUAGCAGAAUUUUGUGUGAAUCACGUUGACUCUUUUUAUGAUAAGGGCAUCAGAUUCGCUUGUAACUUUGUUAGGUAUCAAGGAAAGUUACAAUGUAAAAUAAAAAUUAAUAGUAAUACAAUAAAUAUAAUUUUAAUAAAAUAUUAAAAAUAUUAUAUAUUUUUCGUCAUAUAAAUAAAAAAUAAAAAUAAUUUAAAUUUCAAACUCCAAUAUUAAAUAUUUAUUAAAAAUUUUAGCAUCAUCACUAAAAAUUUACAAGUGCAUGUCCAACUACGACACGUACAGGGACUCUGCGUAGACUCUGCGUAGAAGGGCACUGGCUUCUUCUUGAUUGUGCGUAAUGAUUACUUUAAGAAGUGGCAAACACUGAAGGGCCCGCAAUGAAGAAGCCUUCAGAGUGCAGAAUUUCUUUAGGGUUAUAAAAUCGAAUUAUUCCAUGAUGCGUGAAUCUCAAACGUAAAGUUUUAUUUUGUCCAUUUAAACUAUCUAUUUUUACUAUCCUUUCACGGCCCUUUUUGUGCUGAUUCGAUAUUAAUUUUAAGGGAUAAUAAAUUUUAGGUCCUUUAUAUUUUUUUACAUUUAUUAUUCAAGUCCGUAGUUUAUUAUUAAUUAUCCAUUAUAUAUCCAGGAUAUAUUGUAGUAGAUUGACAGUAAGGUUACCAUGGUAAAAGAGCUUAAAAUAGUUGAACUCAGGGGUGUCAAAUUGUGUCAUGCUGUUAGGAUCUCACCAUAAAAUUUAAGUUAUUUCGAUACGUCGUAUGGUAUUGUAUUAAGAUGUAUUAAUCAUGUAUCAUAAGGUUGUAUUAAAAAUCUCCGGAUUCAAAUUGAAUAAAUUGGCAAGGGCGCCACUGAUGAUGAACAAUGAAACUGCGUAAAACAAAAUUAUGGAGGUAGAAGAGAUCUUUGCAAAUUGAUAACGAUAUUCAGUUCUUAUAAAUCAAAACAAUCAGCUCUUACAAUCAUAAUGCAAUCGAAGUAAUUUUUUUUUUUCAAUCUUUUCAUUUUGCAUUUUGUAGAUCGGCAUGUCAAGCGCAACUGAAACUCUGUGCGGGCAAGCAUUUGGAGCAAAGCAAUACCACAUGAUGGGUAUCUACUUGCACAGAUCAUGGAUCAUAAAUCUUGCUACUGGAACAAUAUUGCUUCCUGCGUUUAUCUUCGCAGCAGAUAUUUUCAAACUGCUCGGAGAACAAACAUAGCAAACAGAGCCGGAGACAUCUCACUUUGGUUCAUUGGCAUUCUCUAUUUCUUUGUCUUCAGCUUAACGAUCCAAAAGUACUUGCAAGCACAGCUCAAGAACAUGUUUGUCGGAUGGCUUUCGGCUGUUGCAUUUGUUGUUCAUGUGGCCUUGUCAUGGAUCUUUGUGAGCAAAUUGAACUUGGGGAUUCCUGGUGCAAUGAGUGCAAUGAUAAUCGCAAGUUGGUUUAUAGUAAUUGGACAGUUUGUGUACUCUUUGGCGGUUGGUGUCCCAAUACAUGGAAAGGAUUCAGUUCUGCAGCUUUUGCUGAUUUGUAUCCUGUUUUGAAGCUCUCAAUAUCCUCAGGUGUAAUGAUUUGGUAAGAUAUCUAUUUCUAUUGUAUAUCUAUAGCCGAACAAUACAUAAUGUUUUAAUCUGUCCCCAUGAAGUUAGCGGUUAGCCCAAGAGUUUUCAAACAGUUAUUAUUAUUUUUUUUUGAGCUAAUCAUAUCUUUUUAUGUUCUUUUUUGGUGGCUUUUAACUUUAAUAGCUUAGAGUUUUGGUACAAUGCUCUUCUAGUCCUAUUAGCAGGAUAUAUGAAAAAUGCCACAAUUGAGAUUUCUUCCUUCUCCAUUUGGUAAGUUUUAAAUCUAUGCCAUAAUAUUUCUUUGUUUUCCUUUAAAGUUUUUUUAUACCCAAAACUACACUAAAUUGGAAUAUUUGAAUGUCAUUGUAGCCUCAAUAUCAUAUCUUGGGAAUUUAUGUUGGUCUUUGGCUUCCUAGCUGCCUCUGGGUAUGUCUCCAAAAAUGAUCAUUUCCUUUAAAAAUAACAUAGAAAAAAGAAAGAAUAGUAACAUCUUUUGGUAUGAUAAAUAGUCACAGAAAUUCUCUUAUUUAUAAAAAUGGUCACACAGACCCUUUUUUGGUAUAUAAAAUUAUCUUUUCUGUGCAUAAAAUUGUUAAACAAACUCCUAAAAUUUAUCCAAAAAAAAGUGGUCUGUGUGAUCAUUAUUCUGAAAUAAAUGAGUCCCUGUCACUAUUUCUCCAAAUCACGGGUGUCGCCAUCUUUUAUUAUAUUCAUAUCAUCUCUUAUAUCUUAUUUGGUUUUCUAGCGUGCGGGUUUCAAAUGAACUGGCGAGAGGAGAUGCUAAAGCUGCGAAAUUUUCUGUAAAAGUUGCAAUAGCUACCACAACUGUCAUUGGAUUUUUCUUUUCCUUAAUCUGCUUAGUCUUCAGCCGUAAGCUCGCACAUUUGUUCACAAGUAAUGAUGAAGUAAUAGAAUCCGUCACAAGCCUCUCAGUGCUGCUUGCUUUCUCGGUUUUACUCAAUGGCUUUCAGGCAGUACUCUCAGGCAUGUACUGAAUUUAAUAAAUAAGAUUGCGAUAGUUAAAAUGUUUCUAAUUCAUCAUUACAAUGGAUUAAUAUUUUCAAUGUAAGUUAUUUAUUGCAGGGGUGGCAGUAGGUGCUGGCCGGCAGGCUGUGGUUGCAUAUAUUAACAUCAUUUGCUAUUAUUUCAUUGGCUCACCUGUUGGCGUUCUUCUCGGAUAUGUGGCCGAUCUCAAAGUUAAGGUAAGAAUUAUUUUGCAUUUUGAUAUUUCAAUCUGAAUUUGGAUUAGAGUACUGAUUUGAGUUGGGGUGAUUCUAUAAAUAUCUUGUGUCAUAUGUACAAGAUUUAUUUGAAUUUAGAUCAUACGAUAAUUUUAAUUUUGCUCCUCUUUUAAUAAAUUUUUACCACGCAUGUAAUAAUCUAUAGUAGUGUACCGUUAACAUCUAAUUGCCUAUGUAUUAUUUUUCAAUAACUAUGGAUCACAAUUUACAAUUCUCUAAAAGAAAAAAAAUAAAAAUCAUAUCAACAAUAAACUUAAUCCAUAUUCUUAUGAACCAUGCUACCAAAUAUCUUUAUAAAUCUCAGAUCAAUACUAUGGUCAGGGGUUCGAAUCCCGAGUGCACUGAAAUUGAACCGGAUUUGUUUUAAUUAGAAACAUACAUUUAAGUUUAAAUUUUUUUCUUCAAAAACAAAAUUCCAUGAUGAUUAUUUCAAUGAAUGGUUUGAUAUUGCACAUCAUGAACAGUUUAACUUUUUUUUGAAAUUCGAUUGUAGUUCAUCUUCAGAAACAAGUUCCGAUUAUUCUUUUAAUUUGCACAGGGUAUUUGGACUGGAAUGCUGCUUGGGGUAGUAAUGCAAUCACUUGUGCUGGGGUAUGUCACCUGGAAAACCGAUUGGGACAAUGAGGUAAGUAAUUAAAAUAAAUUCACCAAUAUGUACACAUCAUCAUCAAUUGCAUGCCUCAUUGAUGCUCAAUCUCUCUAAACUUUUCAAAAAAAGAAGUGUCAUAUUUAAUUUGUAGACUUCAAUCAUACAUUGAUGACAACACUAUUUCCUCUCUCUAGGUGAAGAAAGCAUCAGAGAGGCUCAAUAAGUGGCUCUUGAAGCCUUCUGAAGAAGAAUCCAACGGCAAUUAAACUCAACAAGUUAAGGUCCAACAUUGCUUGAAGAUCCUAAUAAUCUCAAUCAUGCAUGUAUUUUCUCUGCCAAUAAACCGAUUACCGUUAACACCAAUAACAACUUCAGAUCAAAUUUCUUUCUUUUUGUCUGUUGGCAAGAAGAGCUUGAUAAUGAGCUUGCGCAAAUGCAAUCUAAUAUUCUGAGGUUAAUUAAUUCAAGAAGUUGUAUCUUCAUAAGAAGUAUAUUUAAUGUUGUGUUUAUUUGUUGGAGUGGGAGGAGAAAUGUGGAUUCCUUCCACUCUGUCAAAGCAACCACCUAAAAGUCAGCCCUAAAUUUGGUACUUGACUUUGGUGCCAGCAAAUCAAAGAAAAUGGAGGACAUAGCCCACAAACUUUGAAAGCUAGAUUAACAAAUUGAAGCCACGCAGAUUGACGAAAUUGAAGCCAUAAUUGGUGGGCUAAAAUCGUUGAUUUUCUUGGCCACUAUUUUGCUAUAAAUAGAAGUGCAGAUGAAGAGCUAAUUCAUUCCAUUAAGAGAAAGAGCAAUUUAGCAUUUUGAGAGAGAGUUUAGAGAGCUUGAAAUUAUAAGCUCUUGUUAUAGUGAUUUGAGAGUUUGGGUGUAUUGAGAUUUUGGGAAGUGAGCUAAAAUACUACAAUACUUGUAACUCUUUUUUACUAGUAAAAUAUUUCCUUCUGUCUUUGCCCGUGGACGUAGGCUAAAAGCCGAACCACGUAAUUUUCUAGUAUCCUCUUUAUGCUUGUUCUUUAUUUUUCUUCCAAUUUUAUUUUAGCUGCGUGUCUGCUUCACACACCAAUUUCCUAACAUUGGUAUCAGAGCUAUUGGUUGUAUUUUUGGAGUCGGGUACUGUUCACGUAAGGGGUACUAUUCACGUAUACGAUACUGUUCACGUAUACGGUACUAUUCACAAGAAACGGUGGGAGCGAUUGUGUGGUUUUGUACAUGUCUAGGAAAGUUCUGUCACAAAGGCGAUAAGAGCUUAAGGAGUCUGGGUUUUAAGUGGGACCAUUAUGACCCCUCCAGUCUUUCCUAAGAACUUUCCUGGUGUGAAUUCUCACACAUACUCACAACUAUUCAAGGUGGUAUACUAGCUUGUGUGAAGUAUUUAUUAACAAAAUGGCGGCAAAGUAUGAAAUUGAGAUAUUUAACGGAAAUAAUUUUUCGUUGUGGAAAAUGAAGAUGAAAGCUGUAUUGAGGAAAAAUAAUUGCUUGGCAGCAAUUGGAGAAAGGCCCAUGGAGAUAACUGAUGACAAGUGGGACGAGAUAGAUGGCAACGCCAUUUCUGAUCUUCACUUGGCACUUGCAGACGGAGUAUUAUCCAGUGUGGCAGAGAAAAAUACAACGAAGGAAAUUUGGGAUACUCUCACAAAAUUGUAUAAGGCCAAGUCAUUACACAACAAAAUCUUCUUGAAGAGGAAACUCUAUACUCUUCGAAUGGCGGAAUCUACAAUAGUGACCGACCACAUCAACACCUUGAAGACUCUAUUUUCAAAACUCACAACGUUGGGUCAUAAUAUAGAGGAAAAUGAACGUACAAAGCUUCUACUUCAAAGUCUACCAGAUUCAAAUGAUCAACUCAUCAUCAACCUGAUGAACAACAAUCCAGCGAACAGUCUAGUUUUCGAUGAUAUUGUAGCGUCCAUAUUAAAUGAGGAGAGCAAGUGGAAAAAAAAAAACAAGCAAGUUCGCAGCAAGCGGAGGUGCUAUCAGUGAUGAGAGGGAGAUCAACGGAACAUGGCCCCAGUGGGAGUCACAAUAAUGGUAGAUCAAAAUCCAGAAGUAAGAAGAAUGUUAAAUGCUACAACUGUGGCAAGAAAGGGCACGUCAAGAAAGAGUGUUGGAGUACCCAGAAGAGAAGAGAGGGCAAAGAACCUGAGUCAUCAAAUGCUCAUGGGUGUGUAGCAAGUACCUCAGAUGAUGGUGAAAUUCUCUACAGCGAGGCAACAACUAUUUCAGAAGGCAGAAAAUGACUAUUUGAUGUCUGGCUUAUAAACUCAGGAGCUACCUGGCACAUGACCUCUCGGAGAGAAUGGUUCCACAUAUAUGAACCUAUCUCAGGAGGAUCUAUAUAUAUGGGUAAUGAUCAUACCUUGGAGAUCGCUGGUAUUGGUACUAUCAAAAUAAAAAUGUUUGAUGGUACAAUUCGCACAAUUGGGGAGGUACGACAUGUCAACGGCCUGAAGAAAAAUCUAUUGUCUUUGGGACAAAUGGAUAGUCAUAGGUACAAAACUCAUAUGGAGAAUAAAAUUAUGAAGAUUGUUAAAGGCGCGCUUGUAUUGAUAAAGAUAGAAAAGAUCGGUGCUAAUUUAUUCAUGCUUAAAGAAGAAAUACUACAUGAGGCUGAUGCGUGUGUCGCGUCAAAUGGAGAAGAGUCAACGAUAAUGUGGCAUCUCAAACUUGGCCACAUGUCAGAACAAUGUUUGAAGAUUCUCUCUGAGCGAAAAUUGCUUCCAGGGCUCAAAUCGGUUAGUUUACCAUUUUGCUAGCAUUGUGUUAUAAGUAAGCAACAUAGAUUAAAAUUCAGUAGAUCUAUUGCUAGAAGUAAAUGCAUUCUAAACUUGAUUCAUUCUGAUGUUUGGGAAUCACCGGAUAUAUCCAUGAGAGGUGCAAAGUACAUGGUGACUUUCAUUGAUGAUUAUUCCAGAAGAUGUUGGGUGUAUCCAAUUAAGAAAAAGUCAGAUGCAUUUCUAGUGUUUAAAGAAUACAAAGCGUGGGUAGAACUUGAAUCUGGUAAAAAAAUCAAGUGCUUGAGGACGGAUAAUGGUGGAGAGUAUACAGACGGUGAUUUUCUUGCUUUCUGUAAGAAAGGAAGUAUUCAGAGACAGUUCACUGUAGCAUACACUCCUCAACAAAAUGGAGUGGCGGAGCGGAUGAACAGAACUCUUACAGAAAGAAUAAGAGUUAUGCUGAAGAUUGCUGGUCUACCCAAUUCCUUCUGGGUAGAAACAGCCAAAACUGCUUGUUAUAUAGUAAAUCGGUCGCCAUCUAUAACUAUUGGGCUGAAGACAGCGAUGGAGAUGUGGACUGGAAAGCCAGUUGAUUAUUCCUACUUACAUGCAUUUGGAUGUCCUGUGUACGUGAUGUACAAUAUCCAAGAAAGAAUAAGGCUAGAUCCAAAAUCUAGAAGAUGUAUCUUCUUGGGAUAUGCUGAUGGAGUAAAGGGGUAUCGUCUGUGGGACCCCACUGCCCACAAGAUAGUCAUCACCAGAGAUGUUAUCUUUAUAGAAGAUCAACUGCAAAGGAGAGAUGAAGAUGAUAACAGUGUAAAAGAAAAGUCAGAGACUAUACCGGUAUAUGUGGAAAAUAAUCAUAAAGAUUCAGAUUCUUCUGAAGCAGCACCAGAGCACGAGGAACAAGAACCAGUUGAAUCCGAGGCUCCAUAAGUUCGUCGGUCAACUCAUGAAAGACGACCGCCAACGUGGCACUCGGAGUAUAUCACAGAGAUCAACGUUGCGUACUGUCUUCUAACGGAGCAUGGAGAGCCUUAAACUUUCUAUGAAUCUUUAAACAACUCAGAUGUUGCUUUUUGGAUGACAGCAAUGCAGGAAGAAAUUGAGGCUCUACACAAGAACAAGACAUUGGAACUUGUAUCACUACCACGUAGAAGAAAAGCCAUUGGAAACAAAUGGGUCUACAAGAUCAAGCGUGAUGGCAAUGACCAAGUAGAGCGGUAUCGUGCAAGAUUGGUGGUAAAAGGAUAUACUCAUAAAGAAGGUAUUGACUUCAAUGAGAUAUUUUCUCUGGUGGUUCGACUUACAACAAUCAGAGUAGUCUUGGCAAUGUGUGCUACAUUUGACUUACAUAUUGAACAGUUAGAUGUGAAAACUGCAUUUCUUCAUGGAGAACUUGAAGAAGAAAUAUAUAUGCUCCAGCCAGAAGGUUUUACAGAAACAGGAGAGGAGAACUUGGUUUGCAGGUUGAACAAAUUUCUAUACGGUCUUAAACAGACGCCGAGGUGUUGGUAUAAGAGAUUUGAUUCCUUCAUCAUGAGCUUUGGAUACAACAGACUCGUUCAGACCAUUGUGCAUAUUACAAGAGGUUUGAAGAUAAUGAUUUCAUCAUUUUGUUGUUGUACAUGGAUGACAUGUUGGUAGCGGGCCCCAACAAAGAUCGAGUCCAAGAAUUGAAGGCACAGUUGGCUAGGGAGUUUGAAAUGAAGGACUUGGGACCAGCAAAUAAGAUUCUAGAGAUGCAAAUUCACCGAGACAGAAAUAACAUGAAGAUUUGACUUUCACAGAAGAAUUACUUAAAGAAAAUCUUACGGCGCUUCAACAUGAAAGAUUGUAAGUCAAUUUCUACCCCACUUCCUGUUAAUUUUAAAUUAUCCUCAAAUAUGUGUUCUAGCAAUGAAGCAGAGAGGAAGAAGAUGUCUCGAGUACCGUAUGCAUCAGCAGUGGGAAGUUUAAUGUUCGCUAUGAUAUGUACUAGACCAGACAUUGCACAAGCAGUGGGAGCAGUCAGUCGAUACAUGGCAAAUCCCGGUGAAGAGCAUUGGAUAAUUGUGAAGAGGAUUUUGAGAUACAUCAAAGGAACCUCAGAUGUUGCAUUAUGUUAUGGAGGGUCAGAGUUUACUGUCAGGGGCUAUGUGGAUUCAGAUUUUGCAGGAGAUCUUGAUAAAAGAAAAUCCACUACUGGUUAUGUGUUUACACUUGCGGGAGCAGCUGUAAGCUGGGUUUUGAAACUGCAGACCUUUGUGGCUUUAUCUACAAUAGAAGCAGAGUACAUGACAGCUACACAAGCUUGCAAGGAAGCUAUUUGGAUACAAAGGUUAUUGGAGGAGCUCGGGCACAAACAACAGAAAAUUCCUGUAUUUUGUGACAGUCAGAGUGCCUUGCACAUUGCAAGGAAUUCAGCCUUUCAUUCCAGAACAAAGCAUAUAGGAGUUCAGUAUCACUUCGUUCGAGAAGUAGUGGAAGACGGAAGUGUGGAUUUACAGAAAAUCCAUACGAAGGAGAACCUAGCAGAUGUUUUGACUAAGCCAAUCAACACUGACAAGUUUGUCUCGAGUAGAUCCUCUUGUGGCCUAGCAGAAACGUAGGCAACAUGAUUAUGGCGAAGCAGAAAGGAUGGUGUGGAGAUUGAUUGCUUUUCAAUCUAAUCUCUAAGUGGGAGAAUGUCAAAGCAAGGACCUAAAAGUCAGCACCAAAUUUGGUACUUGACUUUGGUGCUAGCAAAUCAAAGAAAAUGGAGGACAUAGCCCACAAACUUUGAAAGCUAGAUUGACAAAUUGAAGCCACGCGGAUUGACGAAAUUGAAACCAUAAUUGGUGGGCUAAAAUCGUUGAUUUUCUUGGCUAAUAUUUUGCUAUAAAUAGAAGUAUAUAUGAAGAGCUAAUUCAUUCCAUUAAGAGAGUUUAGAGAGCUUGAAAUUAUAAGCUCUUGUUAUAGUGAUUUGAGAGUUUGGGUGUAUUGAGAUUUUGGGAAGUGAGCUAAAAUACUACAAUACUCGUAACUCAUUUUUACUAGUAAAAUAUUUCCUUCUGUCUUCGCCCGUGGACGUAGUCUAAAAGCCGAACCACGUAAUUUUCUAGUAUCGUCUUUGUGCUUGUUCUUUAUUUUUCUUCUAAUUUUAUUUUAACUGCGUGUCUGCUUCACCCACCAAUUUCCUAAUACACUCUAAUAUUUACUUGUUUAUUUAAGAAGGGGGGUGGAAGUUCCACUCCAUGGAUUCCACUCAUUUUUGGAGUGUGCAGUGGGAUUCCUACUCCCACCUUUUUUUUUUUUUUAGCAUUUCUUUAUUAAAUAUAAUAUAAUUAUAUUUAUUAAAAUAAAGUAAUGUCACAGUUACUUAAAAAUAUUAAUAUUAAACUUAUUUGAAUAUAAUAUUAUUAUAUUUAGUGAAAAAUAAUAAUUUAUUUAAUCUAAGUUAAAUUAUUUUUAAAUAUUAUUAUUAUACUUGUGGAGAACUAAUAAUAUUACUUUUCAUUUAUUUAAUUUUAAUAGUAUUAUAUUUAUUUAAUGUUAAUAAUUAAUAGUAAUAAAUAAUUAUUCUAAAAAAAUAUAAUUUUGUACUAUAUUAUUAAUAAUAAUGUUUCAUGUAUUGCUAUUAUCAGGAAUUUGUAACUUACAUAAUUAAAAUUAAAAUUAAUAAAAACAAUUGUGAUUUAAAUAAUUAAGAAUAUUAUAAUAAUUAUCAAUUUAUAUAAUUAAAAUUAAUAAUAAAAUAAAUAGUUUAUUUUACAAAUAUUUUUUUAUUCGCUUUGUAAUUACAAACCAAUUCUUUAAAUAUGAGUAAAACUGUAAUUUGAAACAAUUUGCUCCUAACCCAAGACAAAAUAAAUACAUAAUGAGAUUCUAAUUCAUAUUCCACACUUUCAUUUCAGUAUAAGUAAACAACAUAUUCAAACUCCUACUUCAUACUCGCAAUCCUAGAUUUCCACUUCUUAGAAUUUUCAAUUCAAUCCGAGAAUUAAAUGCUACCUUAAACAUAAAGACAACAAAGAGUACUUAUUAGUUUGCUAUUAUUCUCAAUUUUGGUUAUAAAUUUUAGAGACUGCAUUUGAUUAAAACGUUGGACACGGCUAUAUUUGAAUUUUAAAGCACUAACUUGAAGUAUGAAUUGGCUUUUGGAUUAAAAUUCACACACUUAAUAUAUAUAUUAGCUUUCCAAUUAGAGAUAUCUGACUUUAAUAAAGUCAGGGAUAAGUUAAAAGACAAAAUAAACACAGACUCAAAUACAAUGUAUUUGGUCUUGUAAUGUAUUGAUUUUUUUUUUAAUCUUUUAAUUAAUCUAUGAUUUUAUUAAAGUUAGAGAUUCAUAAUUAGAAAACCACUAUUUAUUUAUAUAUGAUCUAGUGAAUAAUAUAAUUCUCACCUUAUGGUGAACAAUACUGUCGCUACUCAAUAUAUACUAGCGCACCUGUGCAUGGUAAAAUAGUAAAUAAUAAAUUUUCCAUCCCCACUAGCUAAUUAAUCAGCAACUUAUUGAAAAAUUGGCGUCAUAUACAACAUUGCUUGCGUCGCAAAUAAAUAUAUAUGUCUGCAAUAAAAUUAAUACUUGAUCGUAGCUCAUGUUUGGCUGCGUAUUGCCAGUUAAAUAUACGAGAGACAAACAAUAUGUCGGUUUUGGUCAAACAAAUAUUUGAACAUAUCUUAACAUUAACUAGUUUGCACUUUGUAGCUCUAAUUUUGCUCUUUAAUUUCUAUGAUUAAUGUGUUGGGUAUCUCAUUCGACAUGUGUGAUGAUUUUAAUUAAUCCGAUGAGCUAGCACGUGUAGCUAGAUAUAUUAAAGUUCUACUUGAUUAAUUUGUAAAAAUAAAUGGAAAUUAAUAUACAUAUUACAAGAGAGAGCUGAUUAACGAUCAGUAUGCCAUUGAUCAAUUAAAUGUAUAUAUAUCUGGCUUCUCUUACUGAGCAGCAUUCCAAUACUCAUUUUAAUUUUGAUUAUAAUUUCAAUUUAUUUAGUGGAUAAUACAUCUUAUUACAGCAACAAUAUUGCUUCCUGGGUUUAUCGUCUCAAGUUCAAUCUUCAAAUUUCUUGGCCAAGGCAAAGACAUAGCAAAUAGGGCAGGACAUUUCUUGCCCAUGGUUCAUUGCCGUUAUUUGUUUUUGGCACUUUCACUUGACCAUACAAAGGCACCUACGCUCACAGCUUGAAAACUCAAAUUAUUUAUGUCACUGGUGGUUGAUGCCCUAAUACCUGGAGAGGAUUCAAUUUAGAUUCUUUUGCUGAUUUAUUUCCUCUAAUUAAACUCUCGACAUCUUUGAACGUAUGAUAUGGUACAUAAGUGCAACCGAGCAUUCUUAAUAAAAACUAAUUACUCAUUAAAUUUAUGAAAAAAUGCAGAGUUGAGAUAUCUGCCAUCUCCAUAUGGUAACUCUAUGUUGGUUCUAUUUUUUUUCUUUCUUACCCCGAAAUUGGAUUUUCAAUGCGCUGCAAGCUACAUUACAGAACGAUAUAUAUAUAUGUAUACUACAUAACUGUCUAAUGUUUUUUGCUUCGCUUUUAUUGUUUCGGUCCCUAUAAUUUUUUUUCCUUCUUUCGAAUUACCCAUUAUAUCUCUUAAGUUAAAAUUUUGAUAUUCAAAUUUACUGUACAAAAGAUAAUAAUAAUUUUAACAAGUAAAAUCUAUCACAUCUUUUGACAAACACAUUAGAUUAGACUAUCAAAAGUAUAUAUGAUAGUAAUAAAAAUAAGAAAAAUGUGUUUUUUUUCUCUGGUCAUUUACUUGUUUUAAGACUAUGGAUAUAAUGGGUUAUUGAAAACUACAUACAUCCAUAAAUAUAUUUUAGUGAUCAUUAGGGUCUACCAUAUAGAAAGCAUCUAAAAACGUAGCAGGACUGUGAGACAUCCUAUAAAUAGUAUUUAAAUUGUGGAUUAAUAAGAUAAUGUCACGUGACACUGUCGCUCAUCAUUAGGUAAUUACUGCCGCCCAUUAUAUCAUUACUUCCCCAUAUACUAUGGAUAUAAUGGGUUAUUGAAAAAUACAUACAUACAUAAAUAUAAUUUAGUGGUUAUUAGCGUCUACCAUGUAGUAAGCACCUGAAAACAUAGCAGAACUUUGAGACAUCAUGUAAAUAAUAUUUAAAUUGUGGAUUUAUAAGACAACGUCAUGUGACACUGUCACUCACCAUUAAGUUAUUAUUGUCGCCCAUUAUAUCAUUACUUCCUCAUAUGCAUAUAUUAAGAGUGUCAUAGGCAUAUACAGAGAGUGAUCAAGUAACGUUGAGAAUAAGAGGACAGAGAGUGAUCUUGUAACAGUAUAGUAGCAUAUAUUAACAUUUGCUGCUAUUAUGUGAUUGGUACCUGUACGAGCUUUUCAUGUACGUGGCCAAUCUCAAAGUCAAGAUAUCAAUUCAUCUUUGUAUUUCUUACUUUUCAUCUUUUUCCCUCUUGAUAAAGAACUUCAUAGAUUUAAAUUUAGCAUCUUUUACAGAGGAUAUAUAAUUUGAUAUUUAUCGUUAAUAUAGCUCUUAUGUUUUUUUAAUCGGUAAAUGUUCCUUUAAUCGCGACUGUUUGAGCAAAUUAUCAUUUCGUUAGUUCGUUCACUAUUUUAAAAUUGCCCAAAAAUUAAAGUCCUCUCAUAUAAUCUAUUUUUUACUUAUUACCUCUUGCUUUAUUUGAAUUUUUAAGUUAUAUCAAAAUGAAGUAUUAUUUUAUUAGGCCCCUUUGAGAUUACUUUUGAGAGAGUUAAAAAUAAUUUUGAAAAGUUAAAAGCUAAUUUUGGUGUUUGAUAAUUUUUUUAAACUACUUUAAAAAAUUACCUCAUCCCAUAGCAGAGUUUGAAUAGUAGGAAAGAUUAGCUUCAUAAUAUUUAAUUUUGAAAAUGAGUUUUGUACUUAAUGCAAUUUCAUAUAUAUCCUCACAUAUAUAAAAAUCCAAAAUUAUCCUUAUUUAAUUGUGAAAUAAAAUCAUUAAAUUUAAAGAGAUUACUAUUAUUAUCAAUUAUAUUGAAUAACAAAAUACAAAAUACAAAAAAAAUAUUUUUUAUUAAUUAUUAUAUAUACACAAUAAAAAUAAUAUAUAAAAAUGACAAUAAAUUUAUGAAAAAACAAUUAUUGAACAUAAUAUCUAUUUGAGUCAUUUGCAUGUAUUCUUGCAGUAAUUUAAUAGUAAGAUUUACCAAAAAUAUAUGAUUAGUUUUAAAACUCAUAACACUUUUAAAAAUAAUUUUUUCUAUAUAUUAAACGAUUGCCUACACAACUGAUUAUUUUUAAAGCACAACUAAUAUUAAUUAUUUUAAAAGCUGCACUUAUUACCAAAUUAGCGUAAUCCAACAGUUAUAAAAGUAAUGAUAGAGAAUUUUGGAUAAAUUUUAAAAAUACAGGAACUAACUAGGUAAUUAACCCAAUCCAAAAGUACUAAAGAAGCUUUUACCCUAUUUUGAUCAUGAUGCCUUACUUUGGAGUACAUGGAAUGGCUUGUUGUAGUUCAUUUUUCAAAAACUAGAUGAAUAUCUUCAUUCAAUUAAUUUGCGCAUGGUAUAUGGAUUGGAAUGCUGCUUGGAGUAGUAAACCAAUCAUCGUGCUUGGCUAUGUUCCAAGAAAACCGACUGGGACAAUGAGGUAAAUAUUUAAAUUAAAUGAAGUUUCAUUCUAUGAAGCAUUAAUAUUGUAAUUAAACAUGAAUUGUGUAAAUGAUACAUAAGACAUAUAAAUUCAAUAGAAAAAUUAUAAAUCAAUAAUAAGCAUAAAUAAAACAUAAAUAAUGUAAAUGCAACAUAAGACUUAGAAAUGAAAGGUAAAACAAGUAAAUUAACAUAAGAAUGGUAAAUUGGUGUUCCACUAGCAAACAAAACAAAAACUUUCAAAUGAAACAUAAAAUUUAUAAAUCAACAAUAAGUGUAAAAUAGAACAUAAAUUGUCUAAAUAAAACAUAAGAUUUCUAAAUAAAAGGUAAAACAAGUAAAUCAACAUGAAAAUGAUAAAUUAGUGUAUCAAUAGUAAACAAAAGAAACUUACAAAUAUAAUAUAAAACUUAAAAAUUAAUAAUAAGUGUAAAAUAAAACAUAAAAUUAAAUAAAUAAAACAUAAGACUUAUAAAUGAAAGGUAAAAUAAAUAAAUUGAUAUAGGGAUGACAAAUUGGUGUAUUAUUGGGAAACAAAAUAAAAAAUUACAAAUGUAUUAGAUCCAAUUUUAUUGAUAUAUCAUAUAUGUCUAAUAAGAAUUCUUUUUAUUUUAUUUUACCUUGAUCCACAUCAAGAAAAAUGAUUUUACAUAAUUAACAUGUAUAGUAAAUAAAUACUUUAUAUGAUAGAAAAUUAAAAAAAAAGUUUAUAAAGUCCUAAGACGAAUAUAGAAUUGAAUGCCAAUUGCUUUCAAUACAAUUUUUUUUUUAAAAUUUCAAUUGACAGGUGAUUUUUUUAUUUGCUUAAUUACACUAAAUGAAUAAAUUAUUGUUUUUGGAGAUAAAAUAAAAAUAGUAGGACAACUUUCGAAGUUUUUCUUCGUUAGCUUGGCUGUAAAGAAACAAUUGUUCCCCUUUUUUACACACACACCAAAAAAAAAAAAAAAUUGAAAACAUAACUGUUUGAACGUGUUAAAUCUCUAAAAGUUCGGCUCUAAAUUGCAUAAAAACGCUAAAUUUGUGAGACCUAAAAUACCGUUCACGUAAACAAAACGAUAUUAUUAAUCAUGCAAAAUCAUUUAUUCAUGAACAGGAUCUCCGCCAUGUGAUACACGCCCAUUUCAUCUUGUACCUAUAAAAUCUUAAAUAUAUGCAUAUAUAAAAAUUUGUGGAAGGGUUUACUGAAGGAUUGACUGACAGUAUGAUGAGCUGCCAAAUACUAUUAGACAAGGAACAAAAUUCUGUGCUUCAUGAAAAUUAAGAAGUAGAUUUUUAGAAAGAUUCUAACUAGCUCAUCAUUUUUAUCUGUAUUCUCAAAACAAUCAUUUUUCACGAACUCAGUUGUAAAUAAAUAAAUGGAAUAAGAGAAUGAUCCAACAGAUUUACUGAUUGGAACUAAUUAAUGAUGAUUUUGGCUUAAAUGCAAACCGAAUGGCUUUGCCUACUCAUUGAAGUUCAAGAGAAUAAAGAAUACGAGAAACUGAACAAUACAAAUAUAUACGAACAAAGGAUUAAAGUACAUGGGGAAAAGUUGUUACAGUUACAAUACAAAUCGAAGUCAUAAUCCAAUUAUUUAUGACAAGAGAUCAUCCAAGUCCAGCAUCAAGCCGAAUGAACAGCGCACAUCCCCUAUUGGUUCUUCAGCAUCAUCAUGAAGUAAGUCUUCCAGAAAAGAAUAGUCUUCCUCAAUUAACUCAGGUAGUCCAUCACUGUCUUCGUGUUGCACCAAUGAUUCAGGCACCGCCAUGGGCACUUCAACAAUACUCUCCGAAUGACAAUGAUAAUUCUCUCCAGUUUCUCUACCCUGAAGCAUGUUGUUCCCGGAGUCAUAUUGUUGGUUACAUAUCAUCUGAUCAAAAUGACUCAUCAUCAUCUCCAUGGAUGGCUCGUAAACACUGCUUGCAAGCCCAGCUAAGCUCUGCUCACUCAUCAUGCCAGCACUGCUGCAACUUACUUCUUGAUAAUCCAUAUAGUUCUGUUGCUGAUUCUGCUGGUGGGUGAACGGCCUAUCCAUCUCAAUAUCUGCUACUUGUUCGGAUUGAUUGCUGUUGUCUUGAAAAUCCUUCAGCUUUCUUUUCUUUGCAGAACCGUACUUCAUAAUAUCAUGGCCAGUUGGUUGAUUCUUUCGGAGCCUGCAAAGCACAUAACUGGUAGCUUGAUUCUUGGGCAAAUGUAGAGUGUACUCGUGCAUGAUCCAAGCCCCGUGAUCCUCACAGCCUUGUUUUUCGUAACGAAACCGCUUCUUGGAGCCGAUUUUGAUUUUGGAUUGGCCGCUUACUAUAUCUUUACCAGCAUCCUCCCCUUGCCAAGUACCGCCGGAAGAUCCCACUUUGCGGUCGAUUCUGGAACCCUUGGAAGACUUUUUCUUCAACUGGGUGAAGAAAUAAAGAUCCUCAUCAGCAUUUAAAAAGGGUCCUCCAUGAGAAUCCCAAAUCUCAGAGGGUUUUUCCUCGUAAAGAUUACAAUCCCUGAUGAAAUACUCAGCAAGGUGAAUGAAUAUUCCCGAAACUUUCUUCUUGAGAUAAUGUUCGAUGAGUUCUUCAUCGGAUGGUCUGAACUGAAAGCCAUGGGGAAGAAAGGGUCUGUGUUCUUGCAUUUUGUUUGAGGAGAAGAUGGUUAAUUCAAUGGUGGGUUGGUUGAUUGAUUGAUGAUUGAUGGAGGAAAUUUUUUCGGUGAAUUAUUGAAAACAAAGAACACAGAAGCUGAGAGAGAAGCAAAGACAGAGUCAGAGAAUUAGAGAAGUGGUGAGAAGUGCGGGUGUUAAAGUUUCCUUAUAACAUAUGGACGAGUGAAGUGACGUAGCUUGGAUUACAAGUAACAAUUUCCUAAGGCAACUCCGAGAAACGCGGGUGAACUUGCGAGUUGGGUAAGAAGUCCUGACAUUUAAUAACCUUCCUAAAUCGGACAAAUCCAAGAAGCCGUUGAGCUUGAGGCUGACGCCAAGUCGGUCUUUAGAAAAAAAAAUCUAUUUUUUUUAAUAUUUCGUGAGUAUUAGAUAUUAUUAUUAUUGUGAAAAAAUAAAAGAAAACUCAGAAGUCCCCGAAAUCAUAAAAUGCAAAAAUGUUAAAAUGCGGUUCUUCCUUUGCUAAUUGCUAAACCCUAACCCUAACCCUAAUCCCCAUUUUGUCUCCACUUGAGAUUAGAUAUUUGGUGUUCUCAGAAGUUCUGUGAGUGGCAUUAGCUAAUCAUGCAACUAUGGGAUUUUAAUUCCCCUAUACUGUAGUGCUGAAUUUUCGGUCUUGUGCACCUCUCCAACUAAUUACCACGUCUGUAUUGUAAAUAGACGGUUACGAAUAAUCCCGCCAAAAUAAUAGGAAUUAGACAUAUGGCCAUUCCAAAUAGAAAGAAUCAUUUGUUUUUAAUUCUUUUUUCCAUUACUAUUGUGAAAUAAAAUUACUAGAUUUCAGAUAAGAUUUCAAAUAAUAAUGGAUUGGUGUUAAUUAAAUACUAUUUAUAUAUCUAGAUUAUUUAAAGCUAAUUUGAAAAUGUUCGUAACCUAAUUUUUGUUCUUUUUAAGGGAAAAAAAAGUCAAACUUUUUAAAGUAUUAUUUGGAAUUUUUUAUUUGUAUAAUGUGAGUAAUAAAUAAUUUUAAAUGUUGUAAAAUUUAUCCAUAAUAUUUAAAACAUAUAGUAUUAUCCUUUAAAACAUUAAAUGAUUAUUUACAAAUGAAUAUUUUUAUACCCAAAACUACACUAAAUUGGAAUAUUUGAAUGUCAUUGUAGCCUCAAUGUCAUAUCUUGGGAAUUUAUGUUGGUCUUUGGCUUCAUGGCUGCCUCUGGGUAUGUCUCUAAAAAUGAUCAUCUCCUUCAAAUAAUAACAUAGAAAAAAGAAAGAAUAGUAACAUCUUUUGGUAUGGUAAAUAGUCACAAAAAUUCUCUUAUUUAUAGAAAUGGUGACACAGACCCUUUUUUAGUAUAUAAAACUAUCUUUUCUGUGCAUAAAAUUGUUAAACAAACUCCAAAAAAUUAUCCAAAAAAGGUGUUCUGUGUGAUCAUUAUUCUGAAAUAAAUGAAUCCCUGUCACUAUUUCUCCAAAUCACGGGUGUCGCCAUCUUUUAUUAUAUUCAUAUCAUCUCUUGUAUGUUAUUUGGUUUUCUAGUGUGCGGCUUUCAAAUGAACUGGGGAGAGAUGCUAAAGCUGCGAAAUUUUCCAUAUUCUUAUGAACCAUGCCACCAAAUAUCUUUAUAAAUCUCAGAUCAAUUCUAUGGUCAAGGGUUCGAAUCCCGAGUGCACUAAAAUUGAACCGGAUUUGUUUUAAUUAGAAACAUACAUUUAAGUUUAAAUUUUUUUCUUCAAAAAAAAAAAAAAUUCCAUGAUGAUUAUUUGAAUGAAUGGUUUGAUAUUGCACAUCAUGAACAGUUUAACUUUUUUUGAAAUUCGAUUGUAGUUCAUCUUCAGAAACAAGUUCCGAUUAUUCUUUUAAUUUGCACAGGGUAUUUGGACUGGAAUGCUGCUUGGGGUAGUAAUGCAAUCACUUCUGCUGGGGUAUGUCACCUGGAAAACCGAUUGGGACAAUGAGGUAAGUAAUUAAAAUAAAUUCACCAAUAUGUACACAUCAUCAUCAAUUGCAUGCCUCAUUUUUUUUUUUUUGUGAAAAGAAAGUAAAGCUUUCUAAAAUAUAAAAUUUGAGAGUAACAUCAUGAUCUGGACUAGAAACUCUUCCAGCCAUAUAACAGAAUUCUCAAAAUCGAGAGCCACUUUUGGUAUAGCAUGAGCUAUGGCAUUACACUUCCUUGGAACAUACUGUAAUGAAAAUGCAUUCGAGAUCUGCAGCUGUUGUUUUAUUUCUUCUACUGUCCAAGAAACUUCAGUCAAGCUACUUUUCCUUCUCCAGACCAGCUCCACCACUUCUGUUGAAUCUGAUUCAAUAAUCAUAGGCAAAUAUUCUACUUGUUGGGCAACUUGAAUGCCAAAAAGGACUGCUUCAGCCUCCAUGCUCGCCACUGUCACUACUAGAAAAAUGGUCUUUACUGACUUUAGAAUAGUGUCAGAAAUUACUUUCACUGACACUUGUUAAUUGUGUCAGUAAUCUGGGAGUCAAAAAAAUAGUGACACUUGUAAGUGGUGUCAGUGAUUACUAUUACUAUAGUAUCACCGAUAUUAUGACACCAUAGUGUUAGUAGUUAUUGAUAUUUUAUUAGUGUCUAUGAUUACUGUUACCAUGGUAUCACUAGUUAAUUUAUUUUAAAAAAAAUAAAAAAUUAAAUUGGAUCAUUGCCUAUUGAUUUAUUUGUAAAAUUAAAAGCACCACAAAAUAACAAAAAGAAAUUUAUUUAUAUCACAAAAUCUUUCAUUUCACAUUUAAAUAUUAUUACCAUAUAUUACAAAUUGAACUUCAAUAGCCAAAAUAUGAGAUAUCCUACUCUCAUAACUAAAUAAUCCAAAUUCAAUAUAUAAAAAUUAGUCUCUAUCCCUAUCUAACCAACUUCCAUCAGAAUUAGCCUCAUCACUUCUGCUUUCACUGUGAUAAUUGGAGCGCCUCCGACUCCAAGUUGUUUCAUGAACUUGACGUUCAUCAUCAUGGCUUCUGCCAGAACCACUUUUCACACGAUCAGCCUCCCUUGAUCUAGACCUUCUGUAAUGAUGCCUGCAUAAGAAAUUACAAAACCAUAAAUAACCAGAAGAUUUCUAACAUCAGCAAUAAAUACAUUAAAUAAUGAAAUUUGAUCAUAGUUUGGAUCAUCACCCCUUGUACAUAAGAUUGCAAUGCUACAUCACCAAUAGACCAAAAAACCAACAGAAGAACUUUCUUUAAAUCUUGCAUUGUGAGAACAUCUUUUCAUUAUUCAUUGCUUCUAAGAAAACCGAGUUAGGAGACUUGAAGAAAACACAAAUGAAGAGAACGAUACAAUGAAGAAACCUCUCAAAAUCAUCGGUCAAACAUGGAAGUUUAAACUAAAAAAUUCAAAUAACAGAAAGUGAAUUAAAUAAACAAGAGUUCAUAUAUACCAAGUACAGUUUUUAGUGUCUAUGACUAGUAAUAAAAGCAUACCUGUCAGCAUUAGUUGAAUCUAUCUUGUUCCUCGUUUGUCCUGAGCAUUCUUGAUUCCAGGUCCCAGAUUCAUUAGAAUAACCAAAUAAAGCAGCCAUCUUUUUCACCCAAUAUCUCGGAGGUGGUUUAUCCCAAUCAGCCCAUUCAUAGUCUCCCCCAGGGUUGCGGAAACAGUGGAUAAAAUUGCAAGCCAUUCCACGAGAGCAUGUCUGUUAAAAUAUGCCCAACGAAGAUAAUAAGAGUGUAAAGAAAAGAAGAAAAGAAACAAACUCAUUUCAUAUCAAAAGCAAAAUGGCAAAGAAAAAAGCAAGUGUAUAAGCCGCACAAUUAUAACUCUAAAAAAUGAGACAAUUGGCUGUACCUUUAGUCUUGACUUCAUAUAUUCCCCACAUAUGGCAAUCUUCCAUCUAGUCCUAUUAAUAUAUUCACAUGUGAUAUGUCAAGAAACACACAAAUAAAUAAACCAUCACCAUCCAGAAAAUGACAAGCUGUAAAAUUCAGUAAACAGUAAUGUGUUGAUUACAAUUUAAGCAUGGAGAAAAAUUUCAGAUUAGCCUAUGUCAACAGUGUCCACAGAUAGUUAAAAGAUGGGAGAAUGUGCUGGCGUUCACUAAGCAUAUAAUUUUUCACAGCUUAACCCAUUGCAAUUUUACCAGUGUCAAGUCUAAAGGAAACUAGUCAGGAAUCUUCUGUAAAGUAAAUAAAUAUUGAAACAACUGUUCUCAUAGCAAUAAAAUGAAAUUAUUUUAAUAAUUUUCUUCAACUUUCAGACCAAUUAAACAAGUAAAGCAAUUUUAGUACAAUGCACAGCAAUUUAAGCUGAAUGGACAAUUGGAACAAUUACGGAACAACUAGACCCCAACGAAUACUGUAAAAACAACCCUUAAACAAUGACUUAAGAAAGUAGAAGCUUCUCUUAAGAAAGUAGAAGCUUCUCCUAGUUCAUGCCUUUUCAAUCUCCCUUUGCUAAGAAAGUUGCCCUGGUAUUUAAGACUAUCCAAAUCCUGUCAAUAUGUUGGGACAUUCAAAUACAGCCUCCAAGAAGACACGCUGUAAGAUUUACAACUGAAGUCUGUCGGAUAAACCAAAUCUUAUACCCAAUGCCAAGAGCUUUAAUUUAAUCCAUUUUAACAGGCACCAAUUACCAGGAAUGCAGGCAGACAAAGAGGAUCAAAAUGACAGGAUAUCAGUAUUCUGAAAUUUCUAUCAGAAAAAUGAAAAGUGGCAAGGCCUAUUCACUGAGAGCCAAAAUUUUUUUAAAUAGUAUUUACUUUAUAUAAAACAAAUAAAUAUAAAGUAGAAAGUAAGCUCCAACAAUUCUUCACAAAGACCUGUUUCCCAGCAAAGUAACGACCAUUGACAGAAUGGUAAGCGAGAACAGCUGAUUCCAGCGACUUAUAGAGAACAUAAACAUUUCCUCUCAAGUGGGAAGAACCAUUUCUACACACCUGCACAUAUUUGUUAGUUAGUAUAAGCAGAAAAGGAAGAAACCCAUGCCUAAAUCUUACAGAAUACCGAGUCUACAAGAAAUGCUAAAUAAUGUCCAUAGAGUUUCAAUUAAUCUGGGAGGCCAGAGAAUGAUUAAAGAAAGAGUAAUGAAAGAACCACAACCAUCUUGUACAAACAAGGGCAUACAAACUAAUAUGGCAUGAGGAGAUUGAUUGUAUGAAACCAUCCUAGGUCUACAUAGUUGAAAAAAAUAACUGUUAUCACUUUUCAGCCAAGCUCUUCAUACCACAUCAGUUGGUACACACUAAGCUGUAAAAAUUUGUUUGUGGCUCUGUCAUUAUUGUCAAAGAAAAUGGUGACAGCUAGUUUUCUUCAUAUUUAUCAUUUUUGCUAAUCUCAAAAUUGCGAUAUUUGAAAAACCUAAGAAAAGGGUAAUAGAAAUAAAGAAACUUGAGAAACUCCAAGACAACAAGUACAUUUACAGAAAAUAGUUAACAACAUUGAAAUUGACAAUUUCACCAAACUUCAGGAACUCCGUAUGAACAUCCUCAUAAAAUUCUUCAUAAGAGCGUUCAACUUCUUCAUCUGUAUACUGAAAAGAAAGAAAGCAAAUCAACCAAAAUUUUUUUUUGCGUAUGUUAACAUCAAAAGCAUAAAAUCAAAAGAAAAGUAUGAAAGUAUAGUCUGUAAAGAACAACUUAAAGUUAUAGGUGAAUGAAGUAAAAUGGAAAAAAAUGAAUGCAGCUAGAACAACAACACUAGGUAGUAUGACUGCAGCUAGUGGUGCCAUAUCAAAGCCACUGCUCCGCUUGCUGCAGAUAAAAUAGAAAAGGUAAAAGAAAUAAUGAACAAAGACAUAAACGCCAUACUUAUCCUAAUUUUAUCUGUUUACAGAAUGAAGAUAACAUAUCUCAAAAGUUGAACAUGUAAAGCCUUUCCCCAUAUAAUAAUUAACAAGGAACUUUCACAGUUUCACCACCUCAAUGACCACAUUUAAAUUAAUUUGUUCUAUACCUUUUGGAAAGAGCACGGGAAGGAGAGAGUGAUUUUGGCCGAUUCCUCAAUCUGUCACUUGAAUGGGAACACGAUCUAUGUCUACGCCUUCUUUCUUUGCCUCUAUUAUACUCACGAUACCUACAAAAAAAAAGUGAUUAAUUUUAAUUAUUGAGCAUCAAAGAUGCAUUUCACACUUGUAAAUAAAGUUUAGGGUUUUUGUUUUCUAAUUUAUUUGGUUCUUUCAUCAAUCAUUUAAUCAAUUUUCUAUAGAUCUGAUCUAAAAAUAUAAAAAUCAAGAAAUUAAUCACUCUUUUUUUUAAUAAAAAAAUUAAAUUACAACCUGAUUCCCUCAUUUUCUAAAAUUCACGAAAUAAAGAGAUAACACAUGUUAAAAAUUUUCAAAUCUAAUAUGAAAAUAGCCAUCUAUCGCACAUACCUCGCUUCUUAUCUUUUAUCUUUAUUAUGAAUGAAAAGAACAACGGCUGAUGGUCGCCUAGACGAUGAUGACAAGCAACGAUGAGAGCCGAAGCGAAAUGACCGCGACAAAUGAGAGGCGAUACCGCCAUGACGAAUGAGAGACAACGAUCAUGAAGACUGGAUGACGAUCGCAAGGGGAGGCAAAGCGACGACCGCGAAGACUAGAUGACGGUAGUUUGGGCAAGGCAGUGAGAUAGGAGAUCGUGUUUUGAGAGUUAGAAAAUUAGGGUUCUUUCAUUUCUACUUACAAGUUCUUUUUCUAAUUGGUUUUUUGUGUUUAUAUAAAUGUUUUUUUGGCUAAUACCUUAAAACACAGUUACAAUGGUUUUUUUCUUAAAUUUAAAAGUUUGACUGUUGGAAGUCUUGGGUUCGAGUUGUAUGUGGAACAAGAUUAGAAUUAUUAUAUUUUUUCAACUGAUACUUUGGUGUCAGAGAUCUCUGAUGUCUAACUUACAGACACCAUCGUAUCAGUAAUUUGUGAUACUUAAAUGUUAAAUACGGAAAAUGGUCCACAUGUAUGUAAAUACUGAUACUUUUUAAAAAAGUGUCACGAGUUAAGCAUCAGUAAAGACCAUUUUUCUAGUAGUGUGUUCCCUGAAAGCACACCUUCUUAACAGCUGCAGCAAUGAUUUUUCCAUUGGAAUUCCUAACCACUGCCUCCAACCCUGCCUUUAGACCUGCCAUUUGAAUCGCAACAUCCACAUUGACUUUAUACUUCCCCUCUGGAGGAGGUGUCCAAAUUUGUUGGUUAUUUUGAUAAUGAAGUGAUCUAGCUGGACCGUUUUGGGUUUUGAUUCUCUUAUAUGACUCCACAAUAGCUGAUGCUCUAGCUGCUGUCAGUUUUGGCUCUUCCUGCUUUCCUUCAAUUACAAAGCGGUUCCUCGCAUACCAAAUGGCCCAACAUAUUGCAAGAAUCUACUCAAUCUCUUUCUUCAUUCUUCUUGAUGCUAGUUCUUGGAGCAUACUCAGUAUGUCAUGCUGAGACAACAACUUCAUAUCUUCGUAAAAAUCUGUCAACUUCCAGACUUUCCGAGCAGUCUUACACUCCAUUAACACAUGAGUGACAUUCUCACUUUUACAAUGACAUCUUUGACAGGCUGGAUUCCCCACCACAUUUUUCCUCCAUAGAUUAUUGGCUAUUGGUAAUAGAUUCUGAGCAGCUCUCCACAUGAAAAUUUUUAUUUUUUCUGGAAUUUCAUUUGACUAAAUUACCUUCCAUUGAGUUUUAGAGCUAUCAGAGCACUCCGGAUUAUCUGAGAAUUUCAUUCUAACUGCCACCUGGUAUCCACUUCUUACUGAGUAACAGCCAUACUUAUCAAAGUGCCAAAUCAUCAGGUCUUCCUGGGGAGUUCUUGGCAGAGGGGUUCUUAGAAUCCUUUGUGCCACCUCUUCGGGAAAACAUUGCACAACCUUCUCCUCCAUCCACUGAUUUUUGUCAUCAAUAAAAUCAGCAACAACAACAUUUUCUGCUAAAUUUUGGUGAGGAACGUAGCUGGAACAUUCGAGUUUUUGCAUCCAAUUCCUGCUGGACACUGAGACCCGGUUUCCAUUACCUAUUCUCCAUCUUAAGCCUUUGUGCAACACUUGUCUCUCCCAUAAUAUACUUCUCCAAACAAAAGAGGGAUUUGACCCCAAUUUUGCCUCCAUAAAGUCAAUAUGCUUGAAGUACUUGGCUGUUAAAAUUUUUGACAUUAAAGCAUCAGGAUUAUGUAGGAUCCUCCACCCCUGUUUGGCGACAAGGGCUUGAUUAAAGCUUGAAAAGUCCCUAAAACCCAGACCACCCUUAAUCUUGGCCUGACACAAUUUCUCCCACCUUGCCCAAUGAAUCCUUCUAUGAGUUUCGGAUGAUCCCCACCAGAACCUUGCUACAGCCUUUUGUAUAUCAUCACACAGCCCUUGAGGAAUUUUAAAUACGCUCAUCGCAUAGGCAGGCACAGCUUUGAUGAGAAUUUCUUUUCCCCCACUUAAGAAACACUUAUUUUGCCAACUUGAUAGCUUGCUUAGCACUCUCAGUUUUAUGUCGUUGAAAAAACUAGUCUUUUUCCUCCCUAUCAUCGAUGGAAGUCCCAGAUACUUUUCAUGUUUUGAAACGAUAUUCAAAUCGAAAAUACUUUUGAUUUCCUCCCUUUGACCUGAACUUGUGCUGCUGCUAAAGAACAUAGAGGACUUCUCAAAAUUAAACACCUGUCCUGAGGCUGCUGCAUAGUUGUCAAAGAUCUUUCUUAAAUUUCUACAAUCGUUAAUUGAUGCCUUUGUAAAGACCAGACUAUCGUCGGCAAAGAGAAGGUGUGUGACUGAUAGAUCUCUGCUGAAUUUCAGACCAUUUAUGAGCUUUUGAUUUUCUACAUUCACUAUUAAGUUUGAAAACACCUUUGCACACAUAAUAAAAAGAUAAGGGGAGAGUGGGCAGCCUUGUCUCAAUCCUCUUUGAGGAUGGAUUAGGUCUUUUGCCACUCCAUUGAUUAACACUGAAAAACUUGUUGUAGUGAUACAAUUCAUGAUCAACUUCACCCAUUUUUCUAAAAAUCCAAGUUUUUGCAUUGUGCAUUUUACAAAUUCCCACUCAACCCUAUCAUAGGCUUUACUAAUAUCAAGUUUAAGAGCUACCAGCCCAUUUCUUUUACUCUUGCUUUGUCUAAUCUUAUUAAGACACUCGUAUCCUAUAAUAAGAUUAUUAGUAAUGAGCCUAUUGGGUACAAAAGCGCUUUGGGUCGGGGAGAUGAUAACAUGCAGAAUCUUCUUAAGCCUAUUAGCUAGCGUUUUAGCAAUAAUUCUAUAUAUAACAUUACACAAGCUAAUAGGUCUGAAAUCAGUCACUUUUCUAGGCUUUUGCACUUUGGGGAUCAAAGCUAAGUAUGUAUGAUUCAGGGGUGCAAUGUUACUGAUGGGUGUCGAAGCCAACAAAAAUAAAUUCCUACUCUAAAUAAAUUGUGUAUAGUAAUUGAGCAGGGUCGUGUCCACAGAGAUCGGUAGUUAUUUAAAUCCUUUUAAAACGUAAAACAUAAAAUGGGGGUUUUGUUGACAAUAAUAAAAAUCAAAUUAAAAUAACAAGAAUGCAAAUUAAAGUUGUAAUUCAAAUUGGAGAAAGCUCUGGUUGAAGGAAUUAACUCAGCUUGAUUCGACUACUGAUCAUUGAUUCAAAUAUAGAUUAUUAUUUCUCAUGAAUAGACCAGUUAUAGCUACCGAGACCCUCUAAUAGCCAAUCUCUCCUUAACUAGUCGAUAACCAAGGUACGACCGUUAGUUAUUUCCCUAAUCAAUAGACAACCCUAGAUACGAUCAUAGAAUUUAAUCAAUUGACAACCUGAAAAACCAGAGAGACCCAAAUCCUAAUCAACACAUAUGAUGAUUCAUUUAAAUUAGAUUGUUUAUUCUCACAACACAACUCUCUGUUAUGUUAUUUGUCACAAACAUUAAAUUCUUCAUACGAUGAAUCCUUUAAUUGACAAUAGAUUAAGUUGAUAAUUAAAUAGUGGCCAAUUACCUAAUUAACAAACAUAAUCAUGAAAAUAAUUCAGAGAAUAAACAAAUACCCAAAAAGCAAUAAAACAAUUAAAGCACAAGAAAGAUCUCACAGUAGUGAUGAAUCAAAGCUUCAUUAUCCUUCAACCAGAAAAAUAGGUUUAGUUCUUCAUAGAGAGAAGAGAAAAAUUAGAUCUAGGGUUUUCUUUCUUUUUCUUCAAUCUAAAAAUCCUUUUUUUCAUAAUAGAUUCCUCCCUUAAAUACUCUCUCUCUCUUCUCUUUUAGAAUUCUAUUUAAAAUAAAAUACUAAUAUUUGAAAUAUUAAAUUCUUAAUUACAAAAAUAACCAAAAAUACAAAACACGUUAAACUAAAAACUGCAGGUCCGCAGUUGACAGCACGCGCCCACGCCUUAUCAACAAAGUUCUUCUGACGCUCAUAAUUUCUCUAAGAGAACAAUCAUCCUUAAACAUCAUCUUAUAGCUCAAUUUUAUCACCAAUCAAUAGAAUUGCACCUACAAAAGUAAAACACAAAUAAAUCACUAUUAUUAAGUGCAAAACAUCGAUAUUAAGGGAAGUAAACAAUGCAAAACUAGUGCAUAAAUUGCACUCUAACAAAUUCCCCCACACCAAGAUGAUGCUUGUCCUCAAGCAUAUAACUCAAGACUAAUCCCAAAUCUCCACUCAAUUCUCAUCUCAACUCAUCCAAAAACAAUUUUAAGCAAGCAUACCUCAAGAAAUUAAGUCGUUCAACAUUCGAGAGACAAGGAUUUUAAAGCACAGAAUCUCAUAAGCUAGAAUAAAAACAUUCAAUCACCAAGAAGAUCCAUUCAAAAUUCAAGUGUAACAAGAUUUAAUAACCCUCUCAUUAACUUCACUCCAUGCACUCAAAGUGUUUAGGGUGUCAUUUAUCCACUCAAAUCAAAUCAAAGAAUGCUAUUACCAUAAGCUUGCUCAUAUAUCACAUCUCAAUCCACAAAACAUGAAUAAAAUGCAAAAAUCUAAGGGUCUUAAAAGGGUUGUAAUGGGGUUAAAUUGGUUAAAUGAAAAAGAAAGGUUUACGAAAGAAAAAGAGAUCAAAACGAGAAGAAUAAACUCAUUGAAUGAACUUAUGAUAUCAAAAUGCUUAUUUCUACUCAAGUCACCAAGAAUGUAAACACAUUUUUUUUUGUUUUUUUUUUGUGAUUUUUCUUUUUCUUCUUUUCUUUUUUUCUUCUUUUUUUUUCUUUUUUUUUCUUUUUUUUUUGUUCUUUUUUGUUUGUUUUUGAAUCAAACAAAAGAAACGAACCUUGCACAAUUUAAUUCAAGCAUAAUGCUUGUUGAUCUAAUUGAGAAACUUUAAUACAAGGUAGAAAAAGCAACAAAAUAUAUCCACACAAUGAGUCCAAAAAUCUCCUUAAAUUGAGGCUCAAAAAGAAGAAAAAUGGUUAAGUAGACGGAGAGAAUUAGAUGGGUAAUGGUUAAGGCUCAAACAAAGAUAGCAAAUAAAGGUGUUCGGGUAGAGAAAAAGGAAAAUGCGAGAAUAGAAAAAUGGUAAAUGGUUUGCCCUUAUCAUUUUAAUGUAUAAAAUCCCGUAAUGUGGCUUCAACAUGCAUAAUAAAGCAAGUUCUAGAAUAAACAAACUAGGAUUGAUAUUCACAUAACAAAAAUAAUUAGAGCAAAGUGGUUGCUCAUAGGCUCAAAUCCUCACAAAGUUGGUAAAUUUGCCAUAAAAUCAUGUACACUCUUCAAAUGAAUCAACCAUCAAUAGUGGUGUAGAAUGAGAAGAAGGCAUGAAUGAGAUAUAAAAGGAAAGGUAAGAAUGAUAAUAAGCGAGAAAGAUGUAUGUAGUAAAAAAUGAAAGAUAAAAUGUGAGUGAUGAAGGAGUAUGAAAAAAAAAUAGAUAUAAAUAAUUUGAGAUAGAUGGGAAAAGAGUAGUGAGAGAGAAAGGAAAAGAAAAUUAAUAAUAUAUGAAGCAUACUAACUCCAAAAUCAUUUAAGGAUGAGUAGAGUGAAAAAAAAAAAUAAGUAGAGUGAAAACAAUAAUUAUAGACAUCAAUAAUGCAAAAAUCCCUCCCCCACACUAAGAACUUACAUUGUCCCCAAUGUAAGAUAAUCAAAACUCAUAUAAAAAUUAAAGCGUAAGGAUAAAAGAUUAAAGGCAAAAACUUUCCUGAAUUGUGAGCUUUGAUCCUCAUAACGUCUAUGGGCUUGGCGGGAAUGGUGGGAUAAAUCCUACACUCUUGAAGUAUGCGGCCAAAUUCUGCUCCAUCUUGUCACGGAUUUCGAUUCACGCGGCUGGAAUGUAGGUCGUAGGCUGGUUGCGGACUAUUGCUGCUCGACUGGAGCUUGUGGGUACACGGCUGCUGGUUCAGUUGCGCGCGGAUGGGACUGAUGCUGUGAACUGGUGACGCUGGAUCUGCGUGCUGCGACUGUUGCUGCGCGCUGGGGGAUUGCUGGUGCACGCGCUGGUGACGCUUGUUGCGUUGCGUGCUCGGCUGGAGCUUGCUGCGUGGCUGUGUUGCUGCGGGACUGUUGCACGCGAGAGCUGGUUCUGAGUUGCGUUGCGGGGCGUGCUCGUUGCUGGUGCUUGCGCUGCCCGCGACUGAUGCUGCAUUCUCCGGCUGGCUGGUUUCCUGCUGGCGUGCUGCAAACGGCUAGAGAAGAAAACAAUUUCUGGAAAAUUAGGGAUUUUGUGAACAGUAAAAAUUUUUUUUUCAACAAUGAUUUUUUUUUGAUUUUUUUAAAUAAAUAAAAAAUAAAUAUAUAAAAGAAAGAAAUAAAUAAAAUUAAUUAAAAUUAAUUAAUUUUUUUUUUUUAGUGAUGAAUCACUUUGAGACAUUAAAAAUUUCAGAAGUACUUUUCUAAUAAGCACGUGGGCACGCCUUAAAACUAUUUUACUUUAAAAAUUACAGAAGUACUUAUUAGUUAAGACGUGGGCACGCCUUAUCAAAAAUUUUCUUCUGACCAAAAUAAGCAAACACAUUAUUUAAAAAAAAUCUGAAUCAAAAUUAAAAGAAGAUAUAACAAAAACCAAAAUAAAUAAAUCACUUGGGUUGCCUCCCAAAAAGCGCCUUUGUUUUAUGUCUUUGGCUAGACACAUUUAUGCAUCAAUCUCCAUAAUUUGGACUCUCGAGAGCCACAUCCUCCACAAUAUUCACCGAAAAACCUUCAUAAAAAGGUUUUAAGCGAUGACCAUUAACCUUAAGAACUCUGUCAGAGGUCGGACUCCGAAUCUUAACUGCACCAUGAGGAAAAACAUUAGUAACAAUAAAAGGUCCAACCCAGCAAGAACGUAAUUUACCCGGAAAAAGUUUAAGCUUAGAAUGAAAAAGAAGAACUUUUUGACCAACAGAGAACUCCUUUCUCAAAAUCAUUCUAUCAUGAAAUGUCUUCGUCUUUUCCCUGUAAAAAAUUUCCUGCGCUAUAGGGUUAAUAACAUCCACAGAAAAUACCGAAUCUUCCUCACUAGGAUAUUUCAUGGCAUCAUUCAUAUUGAAUUCUAUAACCUCUCCAUCAAACUCCAUAGUGAGAGUCCCUUUAUGUAUAUCCAUUUUAGUCCUAGCAGUCUUAAGAAAAGGUCUUCCUAGCAAAAUUGGGACAGAAUUAGAGGAGUUAUCAUCUUCCAUAUCAAGUACAUAAAAAUCAGCAGGAAAAACCAACUCAUUAACUUGUACUAAGACAUCUUCUAAUACCCCAUCAGGAUAUGCAUUAGACCUAUCAGCUAGUUGAAUUAUCACACCAGUUUCUUUUAAUGGACCAAUAUUCAAAGAUGAAUAAAUGGAACGAGGCAUGACAUUAAUAGAAGCUCCUAGAUCUAACAAAGCCUUUUCAACUCUAACACUACCAAUUUUACAAGGGAUAGUAAACAUACCUGGAUCCUUGCACUUAGGAGGUAGUUUCUUUUGGAGAACUGCUGAAACAUUCUCCCCCAUGUGAACUUUUUCAUCUCCUUUUAAUUUUCUCUUGGAGGUGCACAGUUCCUUAAGGACUUUAGCAUAUCGAGGUAUUUUUUUUAUAGCAUCUAAUAAAGGAAUAUUUACCUCAACCUUGCGAAAUGUCUCAAGGAUGUCUUUCUCUUGUUCCUCCUUCUUGGAUUUUGCAAAUCGGCUUGGAAAAGGAGGAGGUAUCACAAUAGGUAGGGGUUUCGCUUUGGUGGGUUGUGCAUCUUGAGAUUGAGGCAUCAAUUCAUUCUUCUCAAGCUCAUCUUCUACAUGCUUUGUCACUUUCUUACUAGGCUCUUGCAACUCCGUCCCACUUCUAAGGAUGACAACACUAACGUUUUGCUUUGGAUUCACCUCAGAUUGUGAAGGCAAUCUCCCUAAUACUUGAGACUCCAGACGGCUCACUGUAGUCGCCAAUUGACUCAUUUGGUUCUCCAAGUUCUGAAUGCUUGCUGUAGUUGCCUGCUGAAAUUGUUGAGUGUUAAUCGCAAGUGAUUUAACAAUUUCUUCAAGAGAUAUACCUGACUUGGAGUUUGGCUGUGGAGGUGCUGGUUGUCUUUGUGGAUACUGUUGUGGGAAUCCUGACGGCCUAACUCCAUAGCUGAAGUUGGGAUGAUCCUUCCAUCCCGGAUUGUAUGUUUGUGCAUAAGGAUCAUACCUCCUCUGAGGCAUGCCUGGAAAUCCUCCAACUGUAUUGGCUUGUUCAAUGGGUUCUUCUUGAAGUGUAGGACACAUAUCAGUUGAAUGACCCAUAUUGUAACAUAUACCACAAGUCUUCACCUGCUGCACAUUACCUACAACAAACUUUUCCACAAGAGAAGUAAGUUUAUCUAAACGUUGUUCAACAGAAGAAAUAUUUACCUCAUUCACCUUCCUUGAAGUGAGCUCUUGCCUGCUGCUAAAUUGUUGUUCAUUGGCAGCCAUAUUUGAUAUCAACUCCCUUGCUUGAGUAGGGGUCUUGUUCACCAACACGCCUCCACUAGAAGCAUCUAUCAUACUCCUAUCCAUCAAUGACAGUCAUUCGUAAAAAUAUUGAAUAAGAAGUUGAUCAGAAAUUUGAUGCUGAGGACAGCUGGCACACAAUUGUUUGAAUCGCUCCCAAUACUCAUAUAAAGUCUCCCCAGGAAGUUGUCUGAUCCCACAAAUAUCUUUUCUGAUGUUGGCAGCUCUUGAAGCAGGAAAGUACUUCUCAAGGAACUGCUUCUUCAAACCAUUCCACGUUGUAAUCGAUCCAGGAGGCAAGUAAUACAACCAGUCUUUAGCUAGCCCAUCUACAGAGAACGGAAAAGCACGCAACUUAAUCUGCUCUUCAGUCACACCUUGUGGUCUCAUACUUGAACACACAACAUGAAACUCCUUAAGAUGUUUAUGAGGAUCUUCACCUGCAAAACCAUGAAACUUGGGUAAUAAAUGAAUAAGACCAGACUUUAAUUCAAAAUUUACCUCCAAGUCUACAUAUUGAAUGCAGAGUGGUUGUUGAUUCAAGUCUGGUUCAGCUAACUCUCUAAGAGUUCUUUCUACAGGUGCAGGUCUAUCCAUCACUUGUUCUUCUGAAUCGCUAGAUGAUUCAACUAAAUUAGGCACCGUAUCUGUUUCAGAAAGCAAAGGUGACGAGGAUCGUUGCUUAGCUCGCUUCGUCUGCUGUCUCAGCUGGCGAGCUGUCUUCUCAAUUUCAGGAUCAAACGAAAGUGUACCUGUACGAGAAGAACGAACCAUACACCAAGUAAAACGUAAAAAGGAUUAAAUAAAUGACACCAAUCCCCGGCAACGGCGCCAAAAUUUGAUGGGUGUCGAAGCCAACAAAAAUAAAUUCCUACUCUAAAUAAAUUGUGUAUAGUAAUUGAGCAGGGUCGUGUCCACAGAGAUCGGUAGUUAUUUAAAUCAUUUUAAAACGUAAAACAUAAAAUGGGGGUUUUGUUGACAAUAAUAAAAAUCAAAUUAAAAUAACAAGAAUGCAAAUUAAAGUUGUAAUUCAAAUUGGAGAAAGCUCUGGUUGAAGGAAUUAACUCAGCUUGAUUCGACUACUGAUCAUUGAUUCAAAUAUAGAUUAUUAUUACUCAUGAAUAGACCGGUUAUAGCUACCGAGACCCUCUAAUAGCCAAUCUCUCCUUAACUAGUCGAUAACCAAGGUACGACCGUUAGUUAUUUCCCUAAUCAAUAGACAACCCUAGAUACGAUCAUAGAAUUUAAUCAAUUGACAACCUGAAAAACCAGAGAGACCCAAAUCCUAAUCAACACAUAUGAUGAUUCAUUUAAAUUAGAUUGUUUAUUCUCACAACACAACUCUCUGUUAUGUUAUUUGUCACAAACAUUAAAUUCUUCAUACGAUGAAUCAUUUAAUUGACAAUAGAUUAAGUUGAUAAUUAAAUAGUGGCCAAUUACCUAAUUAACAAACAUAAUCAUGAAAAUAAUUCAGAGAAUAAACAAAUACCCAAAAAGCAAUAAAACAAUUAAAGCACAAGAAAGAUCUCACAAUAGUGAUGAAUCAAAGCUUCAUUAUCCUUCAACCAGAAAAAUAAGUUUAGUUCUUCAUAGAGAGAAGAGAAAAAUUAGAUCUAGGGUUUUCUUUCUUUUUCUUCAAUCCAAAAAUCCUUUUUUUCAUAAUAGAUUCCUCCCUUAAAUACUCUCUCUCUCUUCUCUUUUAGAAUUCUAUUUAAAAUAAAAUACUAAUAUCUGAAAUAUUAAAUUCGUAAUUACAAAAAUAACCAAAAAUACAAAACACGUUAAACUAAAAACUGCAGGUCCGCAGUUGACAGCACGCGCCCACGCCUUAUCAACAAAGUUCUUCUGACGCUCAUAAUUUCUCUAAGAGAACAAUCAUCCUUAAACAUCAUCUUAUAGCUCAAUUUUAUCACCAAUCAAUAGAAUUGCACCUACAAAAGUAAAACACAAAUAAAUCACUAUUAUUAAGUGCAAAACAUCGAUAUUAAGGGAAGUAAACAAUGCAAAACUAGUGCAUAAAUUGCACUCUAACAGUUACCUCCCUCAUUUAAAACAUGUAGGCAUGUGGUGAUAACAUCUUGCUGCACAAAACCCCAAUGUUUCUGGAAGAAAGCUGCUAGAAGCCCGUCUGGUCCUGGUGCUUUUGUGGGGCACAUUUGAGCUAAGGCAUCAGCUACAUCUUCUUUUAUAAACGGCUGGUCCAUGAAACUCCUCAUCUCCCUUGUAACCUUGGUUGGCAGGUUUGAUAAAGCUAUGCUUAUCUGGCCUGAUGAUGGGUUUGUUGUAGUGAAGAUAUUAGUGAAAUAUUCACAUACCAUCCGCUCUACAUCAUCAACUUCUUCAAGCCAUUUGCCAUUCUCAUCUUCCAGCCCACUUAUCCGGUUCUUUUUCCUUCUCGCAGAGGCUUUCGAAUGAAAAAAUUUUGUGUUCUUAUCCCCCUCCCUCAACCAAUCCGCCCUCGAUCUUUGCCUCCAAUAAACUUCCUUGUCAAUAAGGAUAUUAUCAAUUUGAUUUUCUACUUUUGUAAUCUCCUCUCCAUUAACAGCAUGAUUGUACCCGAUUUUAAUGUCCUUCAGCUUGUUUUGCAACUGCUCCAGCUUCUUUUCUCUCCCACUAAAUUCUUCAUUGCUCCAAUUCUUUAAUUCAACCAAUGACAUCUUUGAUUUUUUCUUGAAGAUUUCAAUUGGAUUGCUACCAUUCUCAUAACUCACCUCCCUUCAUUCUUGCCUCACUAUCUCUCUGCACUUCUCGUACGAGCUCCACAUAUCUUCGUAAUGGACUCUUGGGAAAGUUCUUUUCAUAAAACGUUUUCCUUUCCUCUUUUCUACCACCUCCAUCAAGAUUGGACUAUGAUCUGAGCUCCAAGAAAUUAAAUUCCGCCCAGCCUUUUCAAGAUUGGACUAUGAUCUGAGUUCCAAGAAAUUAAAUUCCGCCCAGCCUUUUCUUGGAAGCUGUUUCCCCAAUUGCUGUUGCACAAAAAUCUGUCGAGCUUUUCUUCUAUAAUGUGAGGGCCAAACCGUCUAUUGGACCAAGUAAACAGGUACCCAAUACUUCCUAAAUCCUUUAAAUCACAAUCCCUAAUAGCUUCUUUAAACUCAUUCACCAUAUUAACCCUCUUAUCUCUUCCUCAUAAUUUCUCAUUUAAGUUCAACACCUCAUUGAAAUCUCCGAAACAAAGCCACGGCAGCAAAGAUAAAGUAGCUAACCUUCUUAAUAGCUCCCAAGUAUGUCUCUUCUAAUCUGAUUCUAGAAGGCCAUACACUCCCGUACACCUCCAAUAAUUGCCAUUUUCGUUACAAACCAUUACAUCCACAUGAUGUUUACUAAAAGACUUUAUCUCUACUGUUGUCCCUGGAUUCUACAACAUUGCCAACCCACCUCCCAAUCCUUCACGGCUAACUGAAAAACAAUUCUGAAAUUUCAUCUUACUUGCUUUCUCUUGCAUUUACUUCGACGUCAUCUUUGUUUCGCAAAGAAAUAAAAGUUGAGGCCUAUGCUCCUGCAAGAUUUGCUGGGCUUCUCGGAACGUUCGGUCUUGCCCCAGCCCCCGAACGUUCCAGCUUAUUAGCUUUAUGGCUGUCGGCGGGGCUGUCUUCCAGCCUCCGCCGAUAUCUUAGGAGCAGCAUUCUGAACCCCCUUUGAAGCAUCCCCGACUUCAUUUUUGAAAACUAGCUGAGUAACUGUUGUAGUAACUUCCUGAUGCUGUGAUGAAUGUUCAACGCCCUGCCAGCUAUUUAUUUUGCAUUUUUUUGUUUCCGGGUUCCCCACUCCAUAACACUGCUGGGCCUUUUUAAGUUUAUGAUUGCUUCAUUUAUCCUUGCUUUAUCUUCCAUUUUUCGGACUUAUAACUUCCAUUUCUUUUUCCUGGGCUUCAUUUUGUCCAAGCAAUUCCCAUUGUCCACUUUCUCAGCUUCAGUUUCCACAUGGGCCGAGCCCACCAUUACCUUUUGUUUGCCUCCCCAUUUUUUCCCAUCCCCCAAGUCAUCAACUUCUUCCCUCUCAAAAGUUCCCGCGUUUGCCAUUCCAGGAAACUUUGCUUUUUCUGAUUUAAGGCUUGCCUCUCUCUGCUCUUUCCCCUUUCCCCUCAUUUCUACUUGCCCAUUCGUAUCCCGAGGUACUGUAUCCCCAGCAUCUAGGCUGAAUUGCAUGCCUCAUUAAUGCUCAAUGUCUCUAAACUUUUCAAAAAAGAAGUGUCAUAUUUAAUUUGUAGACUUCAUUCAUACAUUUGAUGACAACACUAUUUCCUCUCUCUAGGUGAAGAAAGCAUCAGAACGACUCAAUAAGUGGCUCUUGAAGCCUUCUGAAGAAGAAUCCAACGGCAAUUAAACUCAACAAGUUAAGGUCCAAUAUUGCUUGAUGAUCCUAAUAAUCUCAAUCAUGCAUGUAUUUUCUCUGCCAAUAAACCGAUUACCGUUAACACCAAUAACAACUUCAGAUAAAAAUUUCUUUCUUUUUGUCUGUUGGCAAGAAGAGCCUGAUAAUGAGUCUGUGCAAAUGCAAUCUAAUAUUCUGAGGUUAAUUAAUUCAAGAAGUUGCAUCUUCAUAAGAAGUACAUUUAAUGUUGUGUUUAUUUGCUGGAGUGGGAGGAGAAGUGUGGAUUCCUUCCACUCCACUAUUUACUUGUUUAUUUAAGAAGGGGAGUAGGAGUUCCACUCCGUGGAUUCUACUCAUUUUUUGAGUGUGCAGUGAGAUUCCUACUCCCACUUCUUUUUUUUAGCAUUUCUUUAUUAAAUAUAAUAUAAUUAUAUUUAUUAAAAUAAAGUAAUGUCACAGUUACUUAAAAAUAUUAAUAUUAAAUUUAUUUGAAUAUAAUAUUAUUAUAUUUAGUGAAAAAUAAUAAUUUAUUUAAUCUAAGUUAAAUUAUUUUUAAAUAUUAUUAUUAUAUUCGUGGAGAACUAAUAAUAUUACUUUUCAUUUAUUUAAUUUUAAUAGUAUUAUAUUUAUUUAAUGUUAAUAAUUAAUAGUAAUAAAUAGUUAUUCUAAGAAAAUAUUAAUUUUGUACUAUAUUAUUAAUAAUAAUGUUUCAUGUAUUGCUCUUAUCAGGAAUUUGUAACUUACAUAAUUAAAAUUAAAAUUAAUAAAAAAAUUGUGAUUUAAAUAAUUAAGAAUAUUAUAAUAAUUAUCAAUUUACAUAAAUAAAAUUAAUAAUAAAAUAAACAGUUUAUUUUACAAGUAUUUUUUUAUUCACUUUGUAAUUACAAACCAACUCUUUAAAUAUGAGUAAAACUGUAAUUUGAAACAAUUUACUCACAACCCAAGACAAAAUAAAUACAUAAUGAGAUUCUAAUUCAUAUUCCACACUCUCAUUUUAGUAUAAGUAAACAACAAUAUUGCUCCCUGGGUUUAUCGUCUCAAGUUCAAUCUUCAAAUUUCUUGGCCAAGGCAAAGACAUAGCAAAUAGUAAGGGCAGGACAUUUCUUGCCCAUGGUUCAUUGCCGUUAUUUGUUUUUGGCACUUUCACUUGACCAUAAAAAGGCACCUACGCUCACAGCUUAAAAACUCAAAUUAUUUGUAUGUCACUGGUGGUUGAUGCCCUAAUACUUGGAGAGGAUUCAAUUUAAAUCCUUUUGCUGAGUUAUUUCCUCUAAUUAAACUCUCGACAUCUUCGAGCGUAUGAUAUGGUACAUAAGUGCAACCGAGCAUUCUUAAUAAACACUAAUUACUCAUUAAAUUUAUGGAAAAAUGCCAGAGUUGAGAUAUUUGCCAUCUCCAUAUGAUAAGUCUAUGUUGGUUCUAUUUUCUUUUUUUCUUUUUUACCCUAAAAUUGGAUUUUCAAUGCGCUGCAAGCUACAUUACAGAAUGAUGUACUACAUAACUGUCUAAUGUUUUUCGCUUCGCUUUUAUUAUUUCGGUCCCUAUAAUUUUUUCUUUCUUUCUUUCGAAUUACCCAUUAUGUCUCUUAAAGUUAAAUUUUGAUAUUUAAAUUUACUGUAAAAAAAUAAAUUAUAAUUUUAACAGGUAAAAUCUGUCACAUCUUUUGACAAACACAUUAGAUUAGACUAUCAAAAGUAUAUAUGAUAAUAAUAAAAAUAAGAAAAAUGUGUUUUUUUUUUCUAUGGUUAUUUACUUGUUUUAAGACUAUGGAUAUAAUGGGUUAUUGAAAAAUACUUACAUACAUAAGUAUAAUUUAGUGGUCAUUAGCGUUUACCAUAUAGUAAGCACCUGAAAAUGUAGCAGGACUUUGGGACAUCCUGUAAAAAGUAUUUAAAUUAUGAAUUAAUCAGACAAUGUCACCUAACACUGUCGCUCAUCAUUAGGUAAUUACUGCCUCCCAUUAUAUCAUUACUUCUCCAUAUAUAUUAAGAGUGUCAUAGGCAUAUACUAAUGAAAUCAAAUGUACUAUUUUGUAGCCUUAACAUCAUAGCUUGGGAGUUCAUGUUAGAUAUGCUUUGGCCUCGUAGCCUCAAUUGGGUAUGAAAGAUUUUGAAACAUUGAGUUUCUAAUGGCGUAUAUGCUUGGCAAACUCAAAUACUGAUGCUUUAUUGCAUACGCGCGAGCGCACACACACAAAACGUAUGUAUUUAUGUCCAGAGUUCGGGUUUGAAAUGAAUUGGGGAGAGGAAAUGCUAAAGCUGCAAAAUUUCCAUCAAAGUUGCCUUAAUUGCUUCCAUGUGUAGCAGAGUUUUCUAUUCGAUAAUUAAUAGGGUCCGCUUGUAAUACAGCGUUUGUAUCUCAUACAGCUGAAUUCAAUAUUUUAUUAAAAAAAAUGACAACCGUUAGAUAGAAGUAAAUACAUCCAAUGGUUAAUAUGUGUGAUAACUCAUUUUGGCGACCGAAUGUGGCAGUUAUUAUUUCAUCAAUUAACUUAACUAAAAAAUCACAGCCGUUGGAUUGUCUCUCUCUCCAUCAUAAUAAAAGCCUUUGCAUUCUCCCUCCUAUUGUUUUCUCCCACAUCCAGAAUUUUGGAUGAUAAGAACUUGUUAUUCAAGAGUAUUCACCACCCAUCACAGCAAAGAGCAAAGAUGUAGCCGAAGGAGUGCCGUUUAUUCAAGCUUACUCGAUCUGUCACUCUCACUUCAAUUCGUCGCUCAACUUCUCGAGGGCAUCUUCAGUUCGUCACUCACAGCUUCAAAUUUUCACUCUCGUCAAUCACCUCUCUUGCUGUACCUCUCUCUUAUGUCUCCCAACAAUUUCGGUGAGCUCUCUCUCUAAUUUAAUAUAUGAUAAAAAAUCUUAUCAUGUCAUUUAAAUAUGCUUGAAGUUUCAGUUUAGUUUAUUAUUAUUACUUGAAAUUUUGAGAUGAUUUCCAGGGAUUGAUAAUUGAAAGAUAAUUGGUAGGGCUUUUGUUUUUUUUGUUUUUUUAUCUUGAGAUUAUGUUUUUCACAAAAAGGAAAAAAAAAAUAGAGGUUGCACUAUCUAGCAUCAAGCAACUGCAAGUAAUGGGGUUUGUUUUGAUGAGCUACGAAUUGGGGCUUCUCAUUUUCUUGAAUUAUCUUCAAUAUAAGUGGAAAGGGAUUUCUUCUCUCCAAAAAAUUAUUGUAUAUUUCCUUUUAAAUUCUAGAUUGACAUGUAGCCGAUUUUUGAUGUUUGAAGGAUUUUAUUAAAGAAUGUGCUGCUGCCAGUGGCAUGAAUUAAUGUAGUCUCGCUAGUAUUCCUGAUUUGGGGUAAUGAUGUAAUUGAACAAUCAUAUUUCUAUUAUUCUUAUAUUUGAAUCCAGUGAUAUUGUGGUGGUUUUAUGAUAAUAUUCUAUCGUUUUGUGCCGCAAAUCAGCCAAUGAGUUGGGUAUGUGCUGGGUAUACGCUGUAUGGGGUUGUUGUUGAAUUUACUAGACCUUGGAUGUGAUUCUUGCCGUGUUUAUAAGAAAUAGACAAAUGUCUUUCUAUGGUAAUAGAAUUGUCUAAGUUGCGUUACGAUAAAUGUUAAGUAACUAUGCUUUGUAACCUUAAACCUUUAUUUGUAAGACUUGGUGUACUUGAUUGUGAAAGAAUGUUAAAUGUUGACUUAUUUUCAUUGGUGAAGAUAAGUGAAGUUAGGAAAGGUUUGUAAUCACUAUAACCGUAACAAUUUCUUGGGUAGACUUGUAAUAAUUUUAUUCAUGGCAUGUAAUUUGUUUUUAUCAGAGGGCAUGUUUGCUUGUAGUCUCAAAUCUAGGGUAAUAUUUAAAAUAAGUUCUGCAAUAUAUGCUUUGCUAUUUUUUAUUUUUUGUUUUUAUUUUAAUUGGUUUUAGUAUUACUUGGAGGGGAAUUCUGAUCUGCUGAAGUUUAUGAAGCUGAUGCAGCAAGCAGGCCUUUAUCUUAAUCUUACAAUUGGCCCUCACGAUUGUGGUAAGUGGAAUUUUGUGUAAGUUACAACAAUAUAAUUUUUUGAAAAGAGCCGACAAGACACUCUAUUUUCUUCUGUUUUUUUGGAAUGUUGAGCAAAACUUUUCUUUAUUCUCAGGGGCCCUGUUUUGCUGAAGUAUAUUCCAGGUAUCAAUCCCUCUGAUAUACCAUCCCUUUAUUAGGUGUUUAUAAUAAUUCAUGGGUUUUGUCAUAUUGGUUUCAAUGCAUUGGUUUUGAUAUUGGUUACAGCCCAUCAGCCCCUACUCCUCUUUCCCAGCAGCCUUCAAUGCUUUUUUUUUAUAAUUUUUUUUAAGCAUUGUACUUUGAUUCACUGUGAAAUUUGUUUGUAUGAUGCUAAGUUGAGGACACGAUAAUAGUCAUGAUUUUAUUGUAUGCAGCAAAGAUAAAUGUCCAUAAAAUUUUAUUUUGUUGAAAUAAUAAGAUUUUGCUAAUUUUGUAGUAAGAAAUGAGGGCUAUUGAUCCCUUCCGUUUAUUAUAUUCAAUUUUUUUUUCACUCUUUCAUUCAUUUAUUGUGAAGUGUGUUUAGGUAUUAGUCAUGGGCAAAGGUAAAGAUCUUUACUUUGGUAUUUUUGUCUUCUUGUGCUUCAUUGGUAUAAAUGAGGAAAAAAAGCCAAAAAUAAAAUAAAACUAUAAUAUUUGCAUGAAUUCCAUCAUCUAUGGUAUGUUGAAUAGAUUAAAAAGCAAGGAGUACAGUGAUGGAAUAGCAGGCGGGGGAACUAUUUUUUUUAAAAAAAAUAUAAUACAUAUUGAUGGAAUAAUUAUCCUUCCCUUAAUUAUCUAAAUUUUUUCUUUUGGAAGAAUACAAAUGGACAGUCAGCAACGAAAGCGUAAACGACAACCAGGGGGCUUACAGAAAAAAGGUGCUCCUAUUCUAAGAGCAAAUGGUCAGGACGCAGUUCCAACGUCUUCAACUUAUGGAUUUGUCUUACUUGUAAGUAGUCAUUGUGACUUACCUAUCGGUAAAUAAACACGCCGAUACCAGAUAACACUAAUUAGAUGUUAUGGUUUUGCAGCAUUGAAGAAGUUAAGCGGUUGAGAAGUGAAAAUUCAGAUUUGUCCGUUACGCUUGGGGUUAGUAUAUUCAUUAAAUGUAGCAUGUACAUCUAUUAUUUUGUAGGUUUUUUAUGUUUUAAAACAUAUGCAUUACCUUUUUUACAGUUACGAAAACAUAUUGGGAAAACCUACAAAGAACUUCCUCCCGAACAAAAGGCAAGGUACAAAAAGAGAGAUGAAAGGAUGGGUAAUUCGGGUAAUUCAAACUCACAUUCUGGUGACAAUGAAAUAGUGGAAACUAAGUGUGUACCUGAGCGGUUUUGUGCGCUGGUUAAGAGUUUAUCAGAAGAGAAGAAAAAAGCAAUAAGAGAAAUAGGAUUUGAAAGCCUGCUUGAACUCAGAUGUGGCAAGCUGAAGAGGAAGUUACGCCAUUGGUUAGUUAAUCAGUUUAAACCUGAAAGGAAUAUAAUUGAACUUCAUGGUCAGAAAUUAGAACUUUGUCCCAAAAUGUUUUCGAAAAUCAUGGGCGUAAAAGAUGGAGGUAUGGCCAUUAAGAUUAAUGGUACAAGUGAUCAUAUUGCUGAAGUGCGACGUAUUUUCCAACCAACAGUUAAAGGGAUUCGCAUCCGCACGCUCGAGGAACUAAUAGAGCAAUUAGAUGAAGCCAACAAGAUUUUCAAGGUUUGUGGAUAACUCAAUUACAGCACUUGUAAUUGCUUACAAUUGAUUGUGUUUUAAAUUAUGAAUCUUUGUGCAUAACCCCCGUUUAAUCUAUAGUAUUUGUAAUUGUAGUUGUAUGAAACACUUGAACUUAUUUUUAAAAAUGUGCACACUUAAGCUAUUUAUGUAGCUUAUUAAUGCUUGCAACCGUUCACGAUGUUGAUAUUCUUACAUAAAGUUUUUUGCAGGUUGCAUUUACCUUAUUUGCUAUAGCGACAUUGUUAUGUCCAAUAGGCAGUUAUAUUUCAACUUUGUUUCUUCAUCCCAUCAUGUUGUUCAUGCAGAUCUUUUAUCUCCAUAAUGUUGCAUAUGACAACAUUCAGCCCAAUAGGAAUAUACUUCCCAUCACAUUCUGGAACGAAUCAAGGAUCAAGAAGUUCAUGAAGUGGCUUAGAUCCAAAGGAGGGAUUGGAAGCGAUAAGGUAAUCUCUUCUUGUAGGGUGCUUAGUUGAAUUGAAAACAGAAUUAGUUGCAUCAUGCAGUAUAGGCAUAAAUUCAUUAUCUAUGUCAAUUCAUUCAUAAUUUGACUCCAAAUGGAGUAAUAGAUCACCAUUAAUUUUUGGUAAUCGAUUCACUUUUUUAAAUUUUCAAAUCUGUCGUCAAGCUGGUCUACCACAACAGCCAAAUGGUUUUGAUUGCGGCUACUAUGUGAUGAAGUAUAUGGAUAGUCCUUGUAUUGUUGUCCAUGACUCUUAUCAGGUUUGUACAGUUGUAUCUUAUUGGUGUAUAAUAUCUUUUCUGUAUUAGAUUAACAAAUAAGGAUUUAUAUCAGCAGGAUGAGGAUCGACUUUUUAAAAAAGGUUUUUUUUUUUUAACUUUUUCAGCAUGACUCGGAUCACACUCGCCUUCUUCUAGCUCUUUAUUUGGUGCAAUCUCCGCUUAACAAGAUUAGGUGUCGACUUAUUCAAGAAGCGCGCAAGUUAUAGGUUGACUGUGCAGUCUUUUUUUUUUUUUGUUUGCCGAACCAUUUUGUAGCAUUGUAGCAACGUUAGGGUAAAAGGUUGGCAAAUUUUUUGUGAUGCCACCCCAUUUGUUGGUAUUUUGUAUAGCAACUACUGUUGUUGUAGAAUCCGCGAGUUCACUAACCUGGGUUAGCUGAUGGGUGGCCCUCUUAUUUUUUGGCUGAGGGUGCUUAUUUUACAAACAUGUGUGUUCCGGCAAGAUUACAAUUACUGCGCAGGCGUACAGCAACUGUGAUGGCCCUAUUAUUUUUUGUAUGUGUGAGGGUGUUUAUUGAGUAAGAAAUUGUACAUGUAAUGGUUAAUCAAUUGAUGUGUACGCUUCUGUACAAGUUUUCUGUUUUUCUUGAUUUCAGUUUUUUCUUUUUGCUUGAUUUCAGUUUUUUCUUUUUUAAGUGCAAGAUUAAAUGGUGGACGGUUUGGAAUUGUUGUUUGGCUGUUGGGAAAUGAGAAAGGACAAUGAAAAACUAAACUCGACACCAAUUGGUUAUGUGGAAUAAAAUGAGUAUUACGUGUUUGUCCAACUAAAGGCCCCUUCGGUUUCUGAUCUUGAAAACCUUGUUCAAGAAUUUGAAAACAAGAUGGGAGAACAAUAUGUUCUUGUUAAACAAAUAAGCCUUUGGAUAGAUAGAUUUAAAGCACAUGUCAAAUAGUUUACCAUUUUUUAAAUGCUCGUUUUCUACACACCAAAGACUACAAUGUAUGUUUUUCGAAACUUAAGAAUUCUUCUCAAUUUUACGUUAAAUUAGCAUAAUUUUUCAUAAAUAAAUAUAACUAAAAAUAUUUUUCGUUCUGUUCAUUUGACCAAAAAUGCCUCAUUUGAUGCCUGGAGGGGUUGGAGACAACAGUGAAAUGGCUUAAAAUUUUUAGUUUUUUACUGGUUUUUAUAUUAAAUAGUUUGAAUAGAAAAUAUUGUUUAACAAUUUAAGUGUUGGUUCUUUCCUUCUCUUAAAAUUGUUGGCCUAAAUGGUUUUGAUGAUAACAAUUACAUGAAAAAACGAUAAUUUAGUAUAUUUAUAAUCUCAUAUUUAUUUAAAGGUAAACUUUCUACCCUAACUAAAAUCAAGCUCAAGGCAUAAAUGAUCAAUGAGAGCUAUAAAAAGGGUACGGCGAGUUAUAAAGAGGGUACCAACUCGAAUAAUUCACUUUUCCAUAUUCCUAAUGCUAAUACACUUUACUGUGUCCACGACUUUGUAUCUUAAAAGCUCAAGGCUUCCUUUCAUAAUCUCUAUAACAAAUUAUCAAUUUUCAUUGUAAAAGUUGUAUAUUUUACAAGGCAAAUUAUUUAAUCAAAAGGAGUAUUUGAAAAUUUACGGACCACAUCAACAAGAUUUCAGUUUUUUAGCUCCUUACGUGUUAUUUUUAAACGCUCAAAAAGGACCUAUACGAAAAUAAUUGAAUAUACUCGUUCAAAGUAUAAUUACAGAAAUUAGUGCUCAUGGGCACAAAGUUUGCAGCUUACCUCUUCCUGUGAAGCGGCUAACCGCUUGAAUUCACUUGCAUGCCAGAAACAUAGCAGCAACCCGCCUUCCAUACGCAGCUAGCCGCAUGUACAUCACUUUUUGUAACCCAUUCCAGAAACAUAGCGGCUACCCGCCUUCAUUUCGCGGCUAGCCGCAUGUGCUACGCUUUUGAUAACCCAUUCCCAAACAUAGCGGCUACCCUCCUUCCACUGUCUUCCUCUUCAAUUUUUUAGCGGCCUCUCUCCCCUCUCACUCUCGCUGAAAAUUGUGCACUGCUUACACAUUUUGUCUCCAAAUUCACUCUCCGAAACCAUUUUCCAUCCAUUUUACCUCAAUUAUCAACUCCCAAACUCUCAUUGCAUAUACACGCACGACUGCCUUGUGGGAGAAAAUGGAACGAAAGCUUCGAAUUAAUCCAACGAAGAAUUCAAAUUACUUGGAAUCUCAAUACAAAUAUUGGUACAUGUAGGCAUUUAGUAGGAAUAUUGAAUGCAAAAUCAGUGGACCAAUAAGUUGAAACAAGCAAACCAAAAACUGAGACAACUGAACUGAACCAAGAAAAUAUUUUAGAUAUUUAACCUACAUCAUUCAAUUUUAAUCCAAUUACUAGGAACACGGAACGCAAAACAUUUGCAACUGCAAUUGAAAAUACAUCAACCGAAAAAUGGAGAAACCACAACCGAAAAUAGUGAUCCACUUAACCAAAAAAAAAUUCUAAAAAACCUAGUAUGUAACCUUAUUAACUGGAAAUUUGACGACCGAAUAUGAAUAAUUAACGUAAAACUAGAGAAAACGCUAGUUCAAACACAUUUACCAUUAAAAAACCUGAUAUGUAACCUUAUUAAUUGGUAAUUUGAAAAUGGAAUAGGAAUAAUUAACGUAAAACUAGAGAAAACGUUACUUGAAACGCAUUAACCAUUAAUAGAGAAAUUAGAACGAAAACUUGGAACAGAUCCAAGGAAAAAUUCAAAUUACUUGGAAUAUGACAUUAUAUAUUGGUACUCGACGAACUUAGUAGGAAUACCAAAUGCAAAAUUUCUGAAUUAAUAAGUUGAAACUAUGAACCAAAAAAUGAAACAUAUUAACCAAAAUCCGAGACAAUCAAACCAAGAUAUAGGUUAAUGAUAUUUAACGCACGUAGUUGAAAUUUUACUGAAUUAACUGAAAUCAAGAACGCAAAGCCCGUGUAACUAUAAUUGAAAUACAGCAACCAAAAAUGGAGAAAGACCAACCAAAAUUGGUUACCAACGUAACCAAAAUAAAUUCCUACAAACCUCUAACCUACUACUUAACCUUCAGAACUAGAAUUUAAACGUAUUAGUUGGAAUAUUUAACGUAAAACAUAGGAGAAAACUUUAGCUGAAACACACUAACCAUUAAAAGAGAAAGUAGAACGUGAACUUGGAACGAUCCAACGAAAAAUUCAAAAUGACUUGGAAUAUCACAACAGAUUUUGGUACCUGACGAACUUACUACGAAUAUUAAACACAAAAUAAUUGAACCAAUAAGUUGAAACAUGUUAACAAAAAUGUGAGAAUUAUUUACCCCAAACCGAGACAAAUCAAACCAAGAAAAAUGUUAAUAAUAUUUAACCCAUGCAAUUGAAAUUUCGGCAAAUUAACUGAAAUCCAGAAUGUAAAACCUAUGAAAUUUUAAUUGAAAUACGACAACCACAAUUGGAGAAAGAGAAACCAAAAUUGGUGAUCCACAUAACCAAAAUAAAUUUCUAAAAACCAAACCUGGUACCAAACCUUAAUAACUGGAAUCUCAACGAGUUAAUUGGAAUAUUUAACGUAAAAUUUGAGAUAAUAUUAGUUGAAAUAUAUGAACGAUUGAGGGAGAAAGUAGAACGCAAAGUUGGAACAUAUCCAACAAAAAAUUCAAAUGACUUGGAAUCUAACAACAAAUAUUGGUACUUGAUGAAUUUACCAGAAAUAGCGAACGCAAAAUUAGUGAACCGAUAAGUUGAAACAUGUUAACCAAAAAGUGAAAAUUAUGAACCAAAACCGACACAAAUCUCACCAAGAAAAUUGUUAAUGAUAUUUAACCAAAAUAUUUAUAAAUUUGCCGAAUUAACUGGAAUAAGGAACGCAAACCCUGUGAAACAAUAAUUGAAAUAUAGCAACCAAAAAUGGAGAAAGACUAACCAAAAUUGGUUACCAACGUAACCACAAUAAAUAUCUACAAACCAAACCUGGUACUUAACCUUGGGAACUGGAAUUUAAACGCGUUAAUUAGAAUAUUUAACGUAAAACAGGAGAAAACGUUAGCUGAAACCCACUAACCAUUAAAAGAGAAAGUUGAACGCGAACUUAGAACAAAAAAUUCAAAAUGACUUGAAAUAUCACAACAGAUGUUGGCACCCGACGAAGUUACUAGGAAUAUUAAACGCAAAAUAAGUGAAUCAAUAAGUUGCAACAUGUUAACAAAAAUGUGAGAAUUAUUUACCUCAAACCGAGACAAAUCAAACCAAGAAAAAUGUUAAUGAUAUUUAACCCAUGCAAUUGAAAUUUUGGCAAAUUAACUGAAAUCCAGAACGUAAAACCUGUGAAAUUUUAAUUGAAAUACGGCAACCACCAUUGGAGAAAGAGCAACCAAAAUUGGUGAUCCACAUAACCAAAAUAAAUUUCUAGAAACCAAACCUGGUACCAAACCUUAAUAACUGAAAUCUCAACUAUUUAAUUGGAAUAUUUAACGUAAAACUUGAGAUAAUUUAGUUGAAAUAUAUGAACUAUUAAGAGAGAAAGUAGAACGAAAACUUGGAACAGUUCCAACGAAAAAUUCAAAUGACUUAGAAUCUAACAACAAAAAUUGGUACUUGAUGAAUUUAGCGGAAAUAACGAACGCAAAAGUAAGGGACCAAUAAGUUGAAAAAUAUGAAGCUAUUAAUGGAGAAUCAUUACCAAAACUUGGAACUGAUCAAACAAAAAAAUUAAUAUCGUUAUCUAACCUAUAAAAUUGGAAGCUUCACAAAUUAGUUGAAAUGUUAGACGUACAACUAGUGAAAUAAUAGUUGAAAUAUUAAAACCAAAUGUGGAGAAAGUUUUACCCAUUUUUGAAAUUAAUCUAAUAAGAAAUGAUUUUAUUUCGAAUUUAACCCAAAAUAUGCGUAUUGUACGACUUUAGUGAGAAUACUCAACGUAAAACUAGUGGAUCAAAAAGUGGAGAUAAGCAAACCAAUUUGUGAGAAAGUGUAAUCAAAAUUAGGUACGUGUUAAAUUAACUUGGAAUGUCACCAAAUAUAUUGAUAUUUAACCAAAAAAAUCGAGACAUACUUAUUUUAAUUGUUUUAACUUUUAUUCAAGCAAAAUAUAAUUUUUUUUCCCCUUAAAUAUUGUUUGUGUUCAAUAUUUACUAAAUUUCCUUGACUUUUUCCAUUUUAUUUUAUUUUUUCCGCAUUAAAAACUUUGUUUUUUAAAUUAUUAAAUAAACAACCGGUAAAAUACCGGUUGUUCAAGUUUUCUCAUUACUGUUGAGGCGGCUGUAUCACAAACAGCACUGUAUUAUAGGAAGACUCUCGAUAAUAAUGUGCUUAACGUUCCAUCAGAAAAAUUGUUUAUUUAUUUACAACCGAUGAAGUAUCGGAAUCUGUUGCAAGAUCACUCUCUGUCCCCUUAGCUUUCUCAAUGUUACUUAGCGGUGUCCAGCCUGUACUCUCACGUAAGUUGAUAAUGUAUGAUAUAUAACAUAUUUUUCAUAAUGAUUAUUUCGACAAGAAUAGUGAAAGUAUUGUCGAUUUAUUACAAAUAAGUCACCUUAUUUUUUAUUAUUUACAAAUUAACACUUAAGAGUUGAUGAAGACACAUCUCCCAACAAUAAUAGCAAACGGAGCCUUAGGUGGCGUUUGUUUUUUAACUUAAUAACUUAAAGUGACUUAACUUAAUUAAUUAAGUUAAUUAGAUGUGUUUGUUUUUAUAACUUAAUGAGACUUAUUAAAUAAUUUUGACUUAAUAAAAUAAGCUAAUUUUUUUGGCUUUUUACUUAAUGGAGAAAUCUAAAUUAAGUCAAUUACUUACUAAUGUCAAAAAUAUCUCUACUUUAUAAUUUAUUUUUCAUGUCUAUCCCAAAACUCACCCAUAGACAUUUACCCCACAUAAAAAUAUCCAUGUUUUUUCUUUCUUAUAUUAUAUACGAUAAAAUUUGAAAUUUAUGGUAUUUUAUAUAUUAAAAUUCUAAAAUAAUUAUGUAUUCACUUGAAUAUAGUUUUACUUAUAAAUGUUAAAAUAUUGUGGUAUUUAAUAUAUUAUUUAUUUGACAUUUAAAUUUAAUAAGGAUACAAAUGUAAAAGUAUAUAUUUUCAGCUUUUUAAGUUGAAAAAAACAAAUAAUUUAAUACUUAUUUUUCGAGAUUCAGACGAAAAAACAAACAUAUUAUUCAGAUUCAAAUAUUCAGAUCUAUUCAGAAUUCAUAUUAAUUCAGGUCUAUUCAGAUUAAAAAAAUAAUAAUAAUAAACGUCACCUUAGUCUAUUGUAUCAUGCAUAUAUUGAAUUAAUUUGCCAAUGUAUUUAGUAGGGGCUGCUAUUGGUGCCGGUUGGCAAAGUAUAGUAGAAUAUAUUAACAUUUGCUGCUAUUAUGUGAUUGGUACCUGUAGGAGUUUUUCAUGUACGUGGCCAAUGUCAAAGUUAAGGUAUCAAUUCAUCUUUGUAUUUCUUACUUUUCAUCUUUUUCCCUCUUGAUAAAGAACUUCAUAGAUUUAAAUUUAGCAUCUUUUACGGUGGAUAUGUAAUUUGAUAUUUAUGGUUAAUAUAGCUCUUAUGUUUUUUUUAAUUAUUUUUUUAUGGGUAAAUGCUUUUUUAGUCGCGACUGUUUGAGCUAAUUAAAUUUUACUUAUUGCCUGUUAGGUUUGUUUGAAUUUUUAAGUUAUAUCAAAAUGAAAUAUUAUUUUAUCAGACCCUUUUGAGAUUACUUUAGAGAGACUUAAAAAUAAUUUUGAAAAGAUAGAAACUAAUUUUGGUGUUUGAUAAUUUUUUUUAAACUACUUUUGAAAAACUUACUUUACCCCAUAGCAGAGUUUGAAAAGUAGGGAAGAGUAACUUUUUAAAAUUUAAUUUUGAAAAUGAGUUUUAUAUUUAAUGUGAUUCCAUAUAUAUCCUCACAUAUAUAAAAAUCGAAAACUAUCUUUAUUCAAUUGCGAAAUAAAAUCAUUAAAUUUAAAGAGAUUAUUAUUAUUAUUAUUAUCAAUUAUAUUGAAUAACAAAAUAAAAAAAUAAUUAAUACAAAAAAAUAUUUAUUUUUGUUAUUAAUUAUUAUAUAUACAAAAUAAAUAUAUAUAUAUACAUGACAAUAAAUUUAUAAAAAAAAAUUAUUGAACAUAAUAUCUAUUUGAGUCAUUUGCAUGUAUUUUUAUAGCAGUUUAAUUGUAAGAUUCAUCGAACAUAUAUGAUUGGUUUAAAAACUCAUAACACCUUUAAAAAUAAAUUUUGCCAAGUAUUAAAAUGAUGAUCUAUACAACUGAUUAUUUUUACAGCACAACUAGCAUUAAUUAUUUUAAAAGGUACACUUAUUACUAAACUAGCCCUAAAUCCAACAAUUAUGAAAGUAAUGAUAGAGAAUUUUGGAUAAAUUUUAAAAAUACAGGAAUUAACUAGGUAAUUAACCCAAUCCAAAAAGACUAAACAAACUUUUACCCUAUUUUGAUCAUGUUGCCUUACUUUGGAGUACAUGGCACGGCUUGUUGUAGUUCAUUUUUCAAAAACUAGAUGAAUAUCUUCAUUCAAUUAAUUUGCACAUGGUAUAUGGAUUGGAAUGCUGCUUGGAGUAGUAAACCAAUCAUCGUGCUUGGCUAUGUUCCAAGAAAACCGACUGGGACAAUGAGGUAAAUAUUUAAAUUAAAUGAAGUUUCAUUCUAUGAUACAUUAAUACUGUAAUUAAACAUGAAUUGUCCAAAUGAUACAUAAGAUAUAUAAAUUCAACAGAAAAAUUAUAAAUCAAAAUAAGUAUAAAAUAAAACAUAAAUUAUGUAAAUGUAAUAUAAGACUUAUAAAUGAAAGGUAAAACAAGUAAAUUAAUAUAAGAAUGGUAAAUUGGUGUUCUACUAGUAAACAAAAUAAAAACUUACAAAUGAAACAUAAAAUUUGUAAAUCAACGUUAAGUGUAAAAUAGAACAUAAAUUGUCUAAAUAAAACAUAAGAUUUCUAAAUAAAAGGUAAAACAAGUAAAUCAACAUGAAAAUGAUAAAUUAAUGUAUCAAUAGUAAACAAAAGAAACUUACAAAUAUAACAUAAAACUUAAAAAUUAAUAAUAAGUGUAAAAUAAAACAUAAGACUUAUAAAUGAAAAGUAAAAUAAGUAAACUGAUAUAGGAAUGGCAAAUUGGUGUAUUAUUGGUAAACAAAAUAAAAAAUUACAAGUCUAUUAGAUCUAAUUUUAUUGAUAUAUCGUAUAUGUCUAAUAAGAAUUCUUUUUAUUUUGUUUUGCCUUGAUCCACAUCAAGAAAAAUGAUUUUACAUAAUUAACCUAUAUAGUAAACAAAUACUUUAUAUGAUAGAAAAUUGAAAAAAAAGUUUAUAAAGUCACGAAUAUAGAAUUGAAUUCCAAUUGCUUUCGAUACAGUUUUUUUUUUCAAUUGAUAGGUGAUUUUUUUUUAUUUGCCUAAGUACACUAAAUGAAUAAAUUACUGUUUUUGGAGAUAAAAUAAAAAUAGUAGGACAACAAAAAAAAAUGAACUACUGACAACAAAAAAUAAAUUACUGUUUUUUUUUUCAAUUGACAGUUUUUUUUUAUUUGCUUAAUUGUUCCCUUUUUUUACACACACACACACAAAAUUGAAAACAUAACUGUUCGAACGUGUUAAAUCUCAAAAUGUUCGGCUCUAAAUUGCAUAAAAAAUCUAAAUUUGCGAGACCUAAAAUACCGUUCACGUAAACAAAACGAUAUUAUUAAUAAUGCAAAAUCAUUUAUUCAUGAACAGGAUCUCAGCCAUGUGAUACAAGCCCAUUUCAUCUUGUACCUAUAAAAUCUUAAAUAUAUAUGCAUAUAUAAAAAAUUGUGGAAGGGUUAACUGAAGGAUUGACUGGCGGUAUGAUGAGCUGCCAAAUACUAUUAGACAAGGAACAAAAUUCUGUGUUUCAUGAAAAUUAAGAAGUAGAUUUUUAGAAAGAUUCUAACUAGCUUAUCAUUUUUAUCUGUAAUCUCAAAACAAUCAUUUUUUGUGAACUCAGUUGUGAAUAAAUAAAUGAAAUAAGAGAAUGAACCAUCAGAUUUACUGAUUGGAACUAAUUAAUGAUGAUUUUGGCUUAAAUGCAAACCGAAUGCCUUUGCCCAUUAUCAACUUGCAGAAAACAUACUCAUUGAAGUUCAAGAGAAUAAAGAACACGAGAAACUGAACAAUACAAAUAUAUACGAAUAAAGGAUUAAAGUAAAUGGAGAAAAGUUGUUACAGUUACAAUACAAAUCGAAGUCGUAAUCCAAUUAUUUAUGACAAGAGAUCAUCCAAGUCCAGCAUCAAGCCGAAUGAACCGCGCACAUCCCCUAUUGGUUCUUGAAGUAAGUCUUCCAGAAAAGAAUAGUCUUCCUCAGUUAACUCAGGUAGUCCAUCACUGUCUUCGUGUUGCACCAAUGAUUCAGGCACCGCCAUGGGCACUUCAACGAUACUCUCCGAAUGACAAUGAUAAUUCUCUCCAGUUUCUCUACCCUGAAGCAUGUUGUUCCCGGAGUCAUAUUGUUGGUUACAUAUCAUCUGAUCAAAAUGACUCAUCAUCAUCUCCAUGGAUGGCUCGUAAACACUGCUUGCAAGCCCCAUUCCACCAGCUAAGCUCUGCUCACUCAUCAUGUCAGAACUGCUGCAGCUUACUUCUUGAUAAUCCAUAUAGUUCUGGUGUUGAUUCUGUUGGUGGGUCAACAGCCUAUCCAUCUCAAUAUCUGCUACUUGUUCGGAUUGAUUGCUGUUGUCUUGAAAACCCUUCAGCUUUCUUUUCUUUGCAGAACCGUAAUUCAUAAUAUCAUGGCCAGUUGGUUGAUUCUUUCGGAGCCUGCAAAGCACAUAAUUGGUAGCUUGAUUCUUGGGCAUAUGUAGAGUGUACUCGUGCAUGAUCCAAGCCCCGUGAUCCUCACAACCUUGUUUCUCGUAACGAAACCUCUUCUUGGAGCCGAUUUUGAUUUUGGAUUGGCCGAUUACUAUAUCUUUACCAGCAUCCUCCCCUUGCCAAGUACCGCCAGAAGAUCCCACUUUGCGGUCGAUUCUGGAACCCUUGGAAGACUUUUUCUUCAACUGGGUGAAGAAAUAAAGAUCCUCAUCAGCAUUUAAAAAGGGUCCUCCAUGAGAAUCCCAAAUCUCAGAGGGUUUUUCCUCGUAAAGAUUACAAUCCAUGAUGAAAUACUCAGCAAGAGGGAUGAAUAUUCCCGAAACUUUCUUCUUGAGAUAAUGUUCGAUGAGUUCUUCAUCGGAUGGUCUGAACUGGAAGCCAUGGGGAAGAAAGGGUCCGUGUUCUUGCAUUUUGUUUGAGGAGAAGAGGGUUAAUUGAAUGGUGGGUUGGUUGAUUGAUGAUUGAUGGAGGAAAGUUUUUCGGCGAAUUAUUGAAAACAAAGAACACGGAAGCCGAGAGAGAAGCAAAGAUAGGUUUAGAGAAUUAGAGCAGAAGUGGUAAGAAGCGGGGGUGUUAAAGCUUCCUUAUAACAUAUGGAGGAGUGAAGUGACGUAGCUUGGAUUACAAGUAACAAUUUCCUAGAGGAGUGAAGUGACCUAGCUUGGAUUACAAGUAACAAUUUCCUAAGGCAACUCCGAGAAACGCGGGUGAAUUUGCGAGUUGGGUAAAAAGUCCUUACAUUUAAUAACCUUCCUAAAUCGGACAAAUUCAAGAAGUCGUUGAGCUUGAGGCUGACGCCAAGUCGGUCUUUAGAAAAAAAAAAAUCUCUUUUUUUUUAAUAUUUCGUGAUUAUUAUUAUUAUUAUUAUUAUUAUUCUGAAAAAAUAAUGAAAACUCAGAAGUCCCCUAUGAAAUCAUAAAAUGCACAAAUGUUAAAAUGCGGUUCUUCCUUUGCUAUUUGCUAAACCCUAACCCUAACCCUAACCCCCAGUUUGUUUCCACUCGAGAUUAGAUAUUUGGUGUUGUAAGAAGUUCUGUGAGUGGAAUUAGCUAAUCAUGCAACUAUAGGAUUUUAAUUCCCCCGUGUAGUGCUGAAAUUUCGGUCUUGUGCACCUCUCCAACUAAUCACCACGUCUGUAUUGUAAAUAGACGCUUACGAAUAAUCCAGCCAAAAUAAUAGGAAUUAGACAUAUGGCCAUUCCAAAUAGAAAGAAUCAUAUUUUUUUUAACUCUUUUUUCCAUUGCUACUGUGAAAUAAAAUUACUAGAUUUCAGAUAAGAUUUCAAAUAAUAAUGGAUUGGUGUUAAUUAAAUACUAUUUAUAUAUCAAGAUUAUUUAAAGCUAAUUUGAAAAUAUUCGUAACCUAAUUUUUGUUUUUUUUAAAGGAAAAAAAAGGUCAAACUUUUUAAGUAUUAUUUGGAAUUUUUUAUUUAUAUAAUGUGAGUAAUAAAUAAUUUUAAAUGUUGUAAAAUUUAUCCAUAAUAUUUAAGACAUAUAGUAUUAGUCUUUAAAACAUUAAAUGAUUAUUUACAAAUGAGAUCUAAAAGAGAUUUCGGAUCUUGAUAAUUGAAAAAAAAUGAUCCUGAAACCAAAUUAGUUCAACAAACAUAUAACUUUCUAUGAUACCAACUAUAUAAUUUGCAAUGUUACAGAGAUUAUGGCAGCAACAGUUCAAAUAAACAACCUCUACAGCUGAUGUUUUUACUUCACAAUUCAAAAUAUGCAAAUUUGAUCAUCUACUUAUCUAUCUAUGCAACAGAUUGUAUGCGGGUAAAUCUUGUACACAAGAAAUAUCUUCGAGUUUAAGCUCGCGCUCUAAUUGUGCUCUUGUAGACUUCAAUACAUCCUGAAAAAAAAAAUCAUAUAACAACAAUUAAGCCUAAAUCAUGGUUCAUGAAUAUAUAUAUAUAUAUAAAGCGGAGGAUGCUAGGUUAAGUUUACGUUAAAUUCCAUAUAUGAAGCCCGUUUUGCAAGCCAUUGAGCAUCCAUCAUUUGAAAGGCUACACAAUAAAGGUUGUCGAAUGCCAUUUCAUCUUUCUCAAGCAGUUCUAGAAAGCGGAUACCAGCUGAAGAAGAUGGCUUUCCUGCACGUAAAAUUGAACAAUAUGAAGACACCAAGUGGAAAUGCAGAAUGUAGCACAAAGUUAAGCGUGUUUAAUAAAAUAUGGCUGGACAGAUGUUGGAUGAGCAAGUUGAUUUCUUAAGGGGACGCUUGGAACCAAGGCUCCUCAUGGUUGACUGGGGUGGCUUUGCCGUUUCCCAGCUUUUCAGGAUCGAGGAGUGAACCGCAACGAUUACAAUAAAUGUUACUUAGUCAGAACUUUAAUUACCUGAUUGAAGAUCCAACAUCUGUAUUAACAUAAAAGAAAUGUUGAUGCCAGCAACAGCAAAGGGAUACUCCCAUUCUGCUCUUGUGCCGUCUUGUUUGUGUAACAAUCUCUGAAAAGAGUCCUGUUGAAUAAGACCAAAUUACUAACGAUCAAAUUUAAUUUCCUUGUAAGGGCAACCACCACCAAAGUCCUCACUUUCCUCUUGGUUAAUGUAAAUAACAAUAGAAAAGUUCAGAAACCAAAAAUGGGAACAAGUACAACCCCAUACAAUUAAUAGGCUUCUACAAGUAUUGAACAUUAGCAGAAUAUUAGGUAUGAUUCCAAAAUAAAAAAAUAAGCAUUCACAAAGUUUAACAGAAUCUUAGAAAUUAAAACAUGACUACAACUUUUGCUGUAACCCUAUUGGUGGCAAUGCUUUACCGAACUUUUAAAGCUGAUACAAGAAGAUGGGGAGAAAGGACAAGGAAAAGAAAAAUUCUUUACCAGAUCAAAAUAUUUGAGUGUAGCUACCAAAUAUAAAUAUCUUCUCAUAGCUAGCAAAGUGAAGGCAAAAGUAUAUUUACCAGAAUUUGCUGGCAGCCAAACCAAUGAACCUUCUUUAAUGACACAAGGGUUAACACCAAUCAAUAUAAUUUGAAUUUCAAUCAGGAUAUCUGAACUUUCGCCACUCAAAAAUGUCUACUGCUAUUUUUUUUAGUGUUUCGAAAAAAUUUUCAUGCAGUCAUAUUCCCCAAUCACAUAAUCUGAGAACUGUAAUGGCUGACCAAGAGCUUCAGAGAAAGAAUGUUUCUUUUCCAUUGCAGUUCAGUUUUUUUAAUGAGUUUCAAUGCUUUCCAGUCACUCUCUAGCUUCUAUAAGAAGAUGUGUUAUAAUGCAUGGUGUCAUCUGUUCACAAGGAAUAUAAUUCUCUAAAUCUAUAAAUAGUUGCUUCAGUCUUCUCUUGUUCUGAUAUCUGAAUUUGAAAGUGCAGUUGGGCAUGGCUAGUGCAUUAGAGACUCUCUGUGGGCAAGCUUAUGGGGUGAAACAAUACCACAUGCUAGUAAUAUAUCUUCAAAGAUCGUGGAUAGUCUUAACCAUUUGUGCUAUCCUUCUCUUACCUCUGUUCUUCUUCACUACACCAAUUUUGGUGGCUUUGGGCCAAGAAGAAAAUAUUGCUGAAGUGGCGGGAACUAUUUCUCUCAUUCUAAUCCCUGUGUUGUUCGCCUUCAUCGUAUCCUUUACCUGCCAAAUGUACCUACAAGCCCAGAGCAGAAACAUGAUUAUCUCCUACUUGGCGGCAUGUUCAUUUUUGCUUCAUCUCUUUCUUUCGUGGCUUUUUACCAUGAAAUUGAAUUUUGGACUCCCUGGAGCAUUGGGAUCAACAAUUCUGGCAUACUGGAUUCCAAACUAGGGUCAACUUCUGUUUGUUAUAUGUGGAGGGUGCCCUCAAACAUGGAAGGGUUUCUCAUUUGCCGCUUUCAAGGAUCUCUGGCCUGUAGUAAAACUUUCCUUGUCGUCUGGUGCCAUGCUAUGGUGAGGUUCUUGUCUAAUUGUGGCCUUGCAUAAAUUUAGGCAGUAAAAGAUUGUGCAUUUUAUAAAUUCUAAUUGGCUUAACUGGGAAUCGGCAGAUAAGAGUCUAGGGCUUACAUCUGAAUCUAUAUCAUUUCAUAUGUGUUUGUUACUAUUAUUAGUUUCGAGUGGGAUCUUUCCUCAUUUUGUUUUUGGCCAUGUUUCAGCCUUUCUUGGUUCUUCCCUUUUGUUAAGAUCAUUGAUUGCUUCAGUUUGUGUUACUGAGUGGCAAUAUCAUAUAUUCUUUCUUUAAUUGGGUUGUGGGGGCAGGGAAAUGGUGAAUUUUAUAUUAUGAUAUGAAUCCCUGAUAAAAAGUACUUGUUUGUGGUCUACAGACAACAAUGAUGUUAAUAUAACAUCGCUGAGGAACAAUGAUGUUAAUCUAGUAUUUGCUGAUUAACUGCCAUAUUUAUGCUUUCCUGUAACUCAACUAUGUGGGGAUUUUAACUCAGCAUUAUGUUAUACUUGACAGUCUCGAGCUCCGGUACAACACAGUCUUGGUUCUUUUNNNNNNNNNNNNNNNNNNNNNNNNNNNNNNNNNNNNNNNNNNNNNNNNNNNNNNNNNNNNNNNNNNNNNNNNNNNNNNNNNNNNNNNNNNNNNNNNNNNNUAUAUGUACGAUAAAAUUGUAUUGGACCCAUAAAAUAUUCAAUAUUUUAUAAGGUUUUUCUUUUAGAUUUUUUUUAGAAAUGAAAUAAUAAAGAAAGUUUGAAGAGAGGAAUACGAUUAUUAAGACUAAAAGAGUGAGAAAGUUAUUAAAAAUUAUAAAAUUUAUAAAUGAUAAUAGCAUUUAUUUAAAAAAAAUACUUUUUACAUUAAAUAAAUUAUAAUUAAAAAAAAGAUUUUAAAAGAAUUUUGGAGGGGUGCUAAUAGUCCCACUCCUUUGUUUUAUGCUUCAGCGUCUCUUACACAAUGUGAAAGGAAAAUCGUCCUAAUUUCAUUUAAAAAAAAAAAAAGCGGAAAAAAGUGGAAAAAUAAACUAUUUGGAAAAAUGAGACGUGGCAUUUGAAAAUGGGAACCCUUAUCUUUCAAGUUUCAAACCUAGUUAAUUAAUACUUGAGGAUGAGUUUUUGUCCUGCACGGCUGGACCCCAAGUCAAUCUGUACGACAUCAAUUCUCGUGACGUCUGAUUUGAUGACAAAUGAAUAACAAGAGCUCCUGAUAGCUUGCACAAAAAGUGGGGUACCCUGAUUUCGUUAUCAAACUUAUUAUGUCACCUUAAUUCUGGUACGAAUUGUCGUCCCCAGUGAGUUAACUAGUUCGUUACCCAGCGAACCCACUCUCUUGUUCUUAAUCGCACAAGUUUUUGUCUUAAAAUGUAUAUCUAUAACUACAAAUGUAGAGAGAGAGAGAGAGAGAGACGUGUCAAAUUAUCAAUAAGAGAGAAACGUGUCAAAUUAUUCUUCAGAGCUUAUGGGCUCCACUUCCCCAAUAACAAUUUGACACGUGUGUAAUUGCCCCAACUACAUACUAUUCAAUUCUAUGUGAUGUAUCCAUAUAAUAAUUUUAUAACACUAGUUAUAAAUAAUUUUUCGGUUCUAUAAAAUAAAACUAUUGUGACUCCACGUAAUAAAAAAAAAGAUUAUUAUUACUUUUCAGAUAAUUUUUCUGUAGCAUAUCAAUUUGCACAUUAUAUUAGAUUAGAGUGUAUAAAUUAAUUUCCAUAAAAUUAUUUGUAACUCUAUCGUUAUUGUUUUAUGAUAAGAAAAAAAUAAUAAAUAAUUUUCUUAUUACGAAUGGAUUUUUUCAAUCAGGAAUUCUUAAACUUUAAUUUUAAGUUAUGAUCUGUAAUUUAAUAUUGCAUAAAUUUAUAAAUAAUGCGCUGGCGCUACCACAUUCAAUUUUGAAUAUUUUAUUAUGAAUCAAAUAGGACCAAUAACUCAAGACUUUAUUAAAACUUGCAGUUAAAUUAGCCCCAUCGGUCUGUUAUUAAACCAACACCAUUAAUUUCUUGAUUAGGAAAGAUCACAAUUAACAAAAAAAUAAUUUUUUUUUCAUGACUUGUGAAUAUGGUCGUCGUGAGUCGUGACCAAGGGUACCGCUACCCACGCUUUGGGUAAUGUCGGGCGGGAUGAUAAAUUUUAUUUAUUUUUAGUGCAUACUAUUUUGUGGACCCGAGGACACCUCACAAAGGCCAAACACGUGUAAAUUUCUUGUCAAAAUUAAUAUUUGAAAAAGAUGGCACCCAAAGGUCGUCUGACUUUAUGACGGUCCCAAUAAAGAGAAAAAAAACAAGGAACUUUUUUUGACAAAAGAUUGUAAAAGAAAAAGAGUGAAAAAAAAAGAUUAUUUAUGUAAUUCAUUUUUUUCUAUUAAUAAAAAGAAGUGGCAACAAAAAAGAAAAAUUGGAAAUUUUUUUUUGAGCUUAUGAUAAUUUUACAAAUAUAUUAUAAUUUGAAAUCCGGCAAGAUGAGUUAAUAAAAAAAAAAUUAUUUAUUUUUUGGUUUGAAGCACGAGGUGGUCCUGAGUGGGCUCCAACUGUGGGAAACACCUUUAAGCCCGUACCACAAUUCAGACUAAUUCGCGCUCGCACCGGGUCGGCCCAUAAGGGGUAAAGUACUAGCCAAAGUGGUGACUCCAUACGAGAGCGGGACUUGAACCCCUGACCUCUCUUAAGGAGUGAGAGUGCCGAACCACUCACACCAACCAACUUUGGUUAAUAAAAAAAAAAUUAUUGAUAAUUCACGUGUGAGACAAUUUCAGAAUUUUAUAAUUUUUAUGAAUAGUUUUCUAAAUUAUGGAUUCGUUAAGGAGUAUCAAUCAGGGUAUUAUUACAUUAUUGUCUUAAAACAAUUUUGUUGUCUGAUUGAUGAAGGGUUGCAGCAUUCACAAAGCUACGUGGAGUUAGAUGAAACCAAUGGUUUCAACUACCCCUGCAACUUGGAUCCUGCUGACUGCUGAGCAUUGGAAAAUGGCAAAAUACAAAAGCAUUAACAACAUGUAGAGUGGCUGAAUAACAUGUGCGUGCAAUGAAUCCACUUGGUUUACUUAUUUUAGCUUAGCUGGCUGACCAGUUUUCUGUUUCUUAUAUUUUCUUUGCGGAAGAAAAGCAAGGCCUUUUGAGAGCUCCCUUUGCACUAUUUCUUCUCUCUCUCUCUCUCUCUCUCUCUCUCUCUCUCUCCUGCUAGCUCUCAUCUGUCACUGUGAGUCUUCGUCUUCUUCUUCUUCUUCUUCUUCUUCUUCUUCUUCUUGUAAUGCGCAAUAUUUUAUAUGUUCUGUAUUCUUUCUUGUGUUUCCAUGUUGAACCAGAAUUUAAUUCUUUUCUAUUUGUUUUUUUUUUUUAAAUCUUCUUAAAAAAUCUGGUGAUUUCAAGAAGAAGAAGAAGCUGCACUUGUUUUAUGAAUACAACUGAGUUAAUUUGUGUACUUUUAUAAUGUUUUAAGCUUAUGUUGGUCAUUUUGUAUUUUGUUUUUGCAUUUUCAUAAGUUUCUCUAGGAUCCCUUUUCUCAAGUGUGGUCCUUAUCUGUCCAUUCUGAGUUAAAGUGGAGGUGUGGUUAGGUUUCUGAUAGAUGAUUUUAUUAGUAAUCUUCAUUAUAUGUCAAGGUAAUGGGAUAAAGUUUGGUGCAUAAUCAUUUCAUAAUCUUGCAAGUUUUAGUAACUUUCAAUAACUCUGUUUCUUGUAAUUGCAGUGUUUAUUGGUUUAUUGAGGGAAUUUUGUAGGAUUCACAAUGUUUAUUCAUUAUUCACCCAUUUAGGGGUUUUGAUUUUUUUUUUUCCUUCAUGUUAUAGUUUGUAAUCACAAAAUAUUAGGCAUUAAAAAUGUGAAAUAAUUACAUUGGUAGCUGUUCUCCUUUAGAUAAUCCGUUGACAUGUAUAUCAUUUUGUAGAAGUACUACUGGUUCUAGGCUUGUAUCUGUAAUUGAAAUUUUAUUGGCAGCUGUUAUUGAACCAUUGAUUUAAGGGACCGCAAUUCAGAUGCAUAUGUCCUUAUUAGUUGAACUCCUUUUUGUUCUGGCACCAUUCAUCUUUCCUUUCAUUGGAUCCUUUCUAAGAUGAGAAUCAUUACUGUAUAUUUUUUGUAGCAGCGGGUGAAUGAUUAGAAGAUGUCUUUAAUCAUAACUAAUAUAAGGGUUCUAUUCAUGUGUGCCUUAACUAUUGACAGUAAAUGUAAAAUUUCUUUUAACUGUGUGAUUGAAGGGAUAAUUUAAUUUUCUGUUUGAUGAUAAAUUGAUUUCUAUUGUAACUUGGAUGACGAUGUUUGAUGCUUGCAAAACAGCAAAAGUAGUUUAAAAAAUGAUCAGUUACACAUCACAUUAUGAUAUAUGGAAUAAAUAUGUGGCCAGCCAGAAAGGAAUGAAAAUGGUAAACGAGUAAAGGCAUUUGUGCCAAUUAUGCUGUUCAGGAUUGUGGGGAAUCAUCUACUGCUUUAUUGGAACAAGCAGCUAUAUCCCUCUUUAUUCUAAAGUCAUAGCAAGGAAAAUAGACAACAUAGUGCACGAUUAAAAUUCUUUCAUUGGUGGAAAGAAAAAAUUUGUCAACUUCUGUGCCGUCUUGGCAUUCUUCUCUGUAUUUGAAUGUGCUCUUUUCCCAUAUAUGCCUAAUUUUAAUUCUUUCCUCAAUUUCUACAAACAUUGACAGUGAAAGAAAAGCUUUUUUUCUGGAGGUGAGAAUGGUGGGAGAGAUCAAAGAGAAGCUAUUAGGAAACACGGAGGAAAAUGAUGUUGAUGGGCAAGUGAAAUUCAGGCAAAAGCUGUGGGUGGAAUCCAAAAAGUUAUGGAUUGUAGCAGCUCCCGCUAUUUUCACAAGAUUUUCUUCAUUUGGGCUCAACGUAGUUAGUCAGGCAUUUAUUGGGCACAUUGGCGCGACCCAACUAGCUGCCUACUCACUUGUGUUUACUGUUCUCUUGAGGUUUGCAAAUGGCAUCCUGGUAAGCACUCUCUAUCUGUUUCUUACUUGAGUUGUCAUUUAUUGAAUAGGUUUUUGUUUUGGCCUUGAUUACUACGGCCAGCUUUAGAGUAUCUGAGGUCUUAAGCGGAUUUAUUUUACGAGGUCUCUUUUUACUCAGCAAUGUCAAUACUCAAAAAAACAUAAAAGAACCCAAAAUUCAUUUCAUCUUUAGUUCUUGAAUUUCAACAAAAAAUCAAGAAGAUCCUAAAAAAUUUUGAAAACAAAACCUAAAAUUUACUUUCUUCAAAACAUUUACAAAAAUAAACAAACAAAUAAAUGAGAACAAUACUAUUUUCAAAUCGAAUGUUUAGAAUGGUAGCACAUGAAAAGUUGGGAUUAUGAUUUGAUAAUCAGAAAAUGGAUAUGGACUUUGUAUUUCAAGAAACUAAUUUUUGAUCUUUUUGAAUGAACUAGCAUGUAAUAAUUUUUUUUUUAAGAGAAGAAAGCAAGAAAUUUUUUCAUCAAUGAUUUUUUAUAUUAUAAGUUUCUUAAUAAAAAUUAAAAGGAAUGUUACAAAUCAAAGAUUCUAAUGUUAAAUAAUUAAGCUUUUUUAAGAAACUGAAAAUGUAAAAAAUUUAUUUAUUUCUCCUGAAAAAAUAAUAAUGAAUAAAUUAAUGGUUAGACAAUAUUAUUAAUUAUAUCUCUUCAACAAUAAGAUUACUAAAUAUAGAUUUUUUAUGAAAAAAUAAUUCUUAAUUAUAGGAUAAUUAGUGAUCAGAGAGAUGUCUAAUAGGCUUUACUACCAUACAUAAUAUUUUGAAAAAAAAUCUUUAUUAAUUAGAGAAUUAUUAAUGAAAUACUUAAAAAAUGAGGCAUUUCUAAAAUUUGGGGCUUAGGCGACUGUCUAGUUUGCCUAUAUUUAAAGCUACCUCUGUUGAUUACUGUUUUUUUUUUCGUGUGUGUAGUAUUUGUGCUAUUUUUAGUGGAGAAAGCUGCAAAAAGAUAUGUAUCAUAAAUUAUGUUCUGUUCAGGGUUGUGGUUGUGAGAUUUAAUAGCUUAAAACAUGACUACAACUUUUGCUGUAACCCUAUUGGUGGCAAUGCUUUACUGAACUUUUAAAGCAGACACAAGAAGAAGGGGAGAAAGGACAAGGAAAAGAAAAAUUCUUUACCAGAUCAAAAUAUUUGAGUGUAGCUACCAAAUAUAAAUGUCUUCUCAUAGCUAGCAAAGUGAAGGCAAAAGUAUAUUUACCAGAAUUUGCUGGCAGCCAAACCAAUGAACCUUCUUUAAUGAUGCAAGGGUUAACACCAAUCAAUAUAAUUUGAAUUUCAAUCAGGAUAUCUGAACUUUCGCCACUCAAAAAUGUCUACUGCUAUUUUUUUUAGUGUUUCGACAAAUUUUUCAUGCAGUCAUAUUCCCCAAUCACAUAAUCUGAGAACUGUAAUGGCUGACCAAGAGCUUCAGAAAAAGAAUGUUUCUUUUCCAUUGCAGUUCAGUUUUUUUAAUGAGUUUCAAUGCUUUCCAGUCACUGUCUAGCUUCUAUAAGAAGAUGUGUUAUAAUGCAUGGUGUUAUAAGUCAUCUGUUCACAAGGAAUAUAAUUCUCUAAAUCUAUAAAUAGUUGCUUCAGUUUUCUCUUGUUCUGAUAUCUGAAUUUGAAAGUGCAGUUGGGCAUGGCUAGUGCAUUAGAGACGCUCUGUGGGCAAGCUUUUGGGGCGAAACAAUACCACAUGCUAGGAAUAUAUCUUCAAAGAUCAUGGAUAGUCUUAACCAUUUGUGCUAUCCUUCUCUUACCUCUGUUCUUCUUCACUACACCAAUUUUGGUGGCUUUGGGCCAAGAAGAAAAUAUUGCUGAAGUGGCAGGAACUAUUUCUUUCAUGCUAAUCCCUGUGUUGUUCGCCUUCAUCAUAUCCUUUACCUGCCAAAUGUACCUACAAGCCCAGAGCAGAAACAUGAUUAUCUCCUACUUGGCGGCAUGUUCAUUUUUGCUUCAUCUCUUUCUUUCGUGGCUUUUUACCAUGAAAUUGAAUUUUGGACUCCCUGGAGCAUUGGGAUCAACAAUUCUGGCAUACUGGAUUCCAAACUUGGGUCAACUUCUGUUUGUUAUAUGUGGAGGGUGCCCUCAAACAUGGAAGGGUUUCUCAUUUGCCGCUUUCAAGGAUCUCUGGCCUGUAGUAAAACUUUCCUUGUCGUCUGGUGCCAUGCUAUGGUGAGGUUCUUGUCUAAUUGUGGCCUUGCAUGAAUUUAGGCAGUCAAAGAUUAUGCAUUUUAUAAAUUCUAAUUGGCUUAACUGGGAAUCGGCAGAUAAGAGUCUAGGGCUUACAUCUGAAUCUAUAUCAUUUCAUAUGUGUUUGUUACUAUUAUUAGUUUCGAGUGGGAUCUUUCCUCAUUUUGUUUGUGGCCAUGUUUCAGCCUUUCUUGGUUCUUCCCUUUUGUUUAGAUCAUUGAUUGCUUCAGUUUGUGUUACUGUGUGGCAAUAUCAUAUAUUCUUUCUUUCAUUGGGUUGUGGGGGCAGGGAAAUGGUGAAUUUUAUAUUAUGAUAUGAAUCCCUGAUAAAAAGUACUUGUUUGUGGUCUACAGACAACAUAUAAUAUCGCUGAGGAACAAUGAUGUUAAUCUAGUAUUUGCUGAUUAACUGCCAUAUUUAUGCUUUCCUGUAACUCAACCAUGUGGGGAUUUUAACUCAGCAUUAUGUUAUACUUGACAGUCUCGAGCUCUGGUACAACACAGUCUUGGUUCUUUUAACAGGAAACAUGAAAAAUGCUGAGGUUGCCAUUGAUGCUCUUGCGAUAUGGUACCAAAUUCAUAGGCUCCUUCCCAUUAUCAUCAUUUUGGAUUUUGUUUUCCUCUUCUUUUAUAUGGGGCCAGUUAUCUAUUUGGUUUAAAUUAUUCUUAUUUGCAGCAUCAACAUCAAUGGGCUAGAAAUGAUGAUCUCGCUUGGUUUCUUGGUUGCAGUAGGGUAUAAUCCUCUUCUUUUUCUUCUAUUUUUUUUAUUUUUUUAUAUCUUUAUUCUGUUCUUUUAAACAAACUUACUAGAUUUAAAGAAUGAAAAUCUGAUUAUGAAACUCAGUUAACUACAAUCCCGACUGCCUUAUCCAUUUGCAGGGAAAAAAAAACUUAUUUUUUGCCUUCAGCCUUGACCAAUAAUUUCAGCCAUAUCUUGCGUGAACUUCGGAUAGAAGUCAAUCUAAUUAUAUUUCUGUAUUCUAACAAAAACUGCUCGAUCUCCUGGAAACAUUUCUGUGCAUAAUGCAUGAUCCUCAAGGCGAAGUGUUGUAGAAAAUGGAAUUAUCUAUUCCCUUAACAAUGUUUCACGUUAAUAUUGAAUAUUACUUCUCUAUUACCCUUUUCUUUGGAAGGUUGAUAUAUGUGCUGAAUAAACUCAGUUUAGUUGGAAAAAUGUUCAGUGUUAGGGUGUCAAAUGAGCUUGGCCGAGGAAGCGCAAAUGCUACGAAAUUUGCUAUUAAGGUGGCAGUUUCCACAUCCUUUUUGAUUGGAUGUGCACUCUUUAUCAUUUUCCUCUUCCUCAGAGGACGCGUAGCAUACAUUUUCUCCGACAAUUAAGAUGUGAUUGACACAGUUGCAGAUCUAUCACCACUACUCUCUUUCUCUAUACUUUUGAACAGUGUGCAGCCAGUGCUCUCCGGUAAUGCUUCCCUUUCUUGUCAGUGUCUUUCUAUAUUCUCCAAGUCACCAAUUGAAUGGGAGGGUCCAAGAUAAAAAGGAAAAUAUGUUGUUAAAUUCGUAACCAAAAAUCAUGCCUGAACAGGAGUUGCUGUCGGGGCUGGAUGGCAGAGUAUCGUAGCAUAUGUUAACAUCGCUUGCUACUACCUGAUUGGGAUUCCUAUCGGAGUCGUGCUUGGUUAUUUAACCCAUUUGGAAGUCAAAGUGAGUUUUCUUUUUCCCAUUCUGCUGUAUCUUUGCGUUUUACUUAGACUUGGCAGUAUUUGUAUUGUUACUGUUGUCUCCAAAUAAAUAUAACUCAGUUCGGUUCCAUUUUAAUUUGGCUCAAAUCAUCAUAUCCUAAUUCUCUGGUCCUGAAAGUACGAAUAUAAUGAACAACCGGUCUCCUCAUUGUAUAAUGCAGAUACCUUGCAGCUUGGUUUGUCAUCAUGUUAUUGAUUAGGAGUGCCGCAGCAGUUUUUUGUUAAGGAGUUGCUUUUCAUGAGUGCACACACAUCAUUCUUUUCUUCAAAAUUCUUAGGCACAGAAUACAAAUUGUUCCACAAUUAAGUAGUUUAAUUUUCUUUUUGUACUGGCUCUAUUUUGUCCUCUCUCUUUUUGCAGGGUGUUUGGACCAGAUAAGUGGUUCAUUCCCAAAUCACCGGAACAAUCGCCUAACGAACAAGCAGAUGUCGCAGCUUGACAUCAAACUUCUUCAAUUUCCAAAAUCUUUUUUGCUUGGUGUAAAGCUUUUGCCAAUUAAUUGCUUACAGUUUUGUUUUUGCUUUCAAGAGUACAAUCAAGCAUUCAAUCUGCCUCAUGGGACUUGAUGUUCAAGUACAUUGCUCAUGUAGAUGGAGAAUCAAAAAGUGGAAUUUCUUUUUUUUGUCCUGUUUUUGGUGUUUCAACAUCACCAUUGUGAGAUUCAUUCGUAUUGGCUUAAUUGUAGCAUUGGACAUGAUAAAUUUCGGAUUUGUUCAUUAGAUAGUUGUAGAAAAUGAGCAUGUGCUCACUUAAUACAGUGUUCAUACUCAUGCAUUAGUUUUGUAAAUAGUGUGUACAAUAGUUUAUAUCCUAGCGUGAUUAGUAAAGAUUAAUUGCUUGUGUCAUCAAAUUACUGGAUUAGCAAUAAUGUCUGCAACAUUUCAAAUAAAUAAAAAAAAGUUUGCAAGGUGCUUACAAAACAACUUCUCUUCUGUGUCUCCAUUUGUUGGAUGAAAUGAUGUUUAACUCAUACUUUGAAACAACAUCAUCCAGGUCUGCUAUGCCAAAGGUAUUUUACAUACCUUCACAAGACAACCAAUCAAAUUGGUUCAAAAAUUUUGGAAGAAUCAAUUUGGUGGACCAACCGCGAGAUGAAGACUGGUACCGAUUAAGUAGAAAGAAUGAUUGGUUAUAUAAACCAAAAAGAACGAAAAAGAGCAUGAAGACAAGCUGCAUAGGUCAUUGAUGACUUAAAUGAUCUUCAAUUAUAUAAGCAAUCGUACAGGACAGUUUUUUCUCCCUAUUUCAGCAUAUGUCCAGUGAUGAUUUGUCACGUAACAUAAUAUUAAAUUUAAUUAUGCCAAUUUUUUCUGCUCAAAUAAUCGUUACCUGAAAAAGUAGAUUGGCAACAAUAAGGACAAAGCCAACAUGAUUAUUGUGGUAAAGUGUUGACCAUCACUCAAAUCUUAUCGCAGGUUCAUUCACUUAUAAUAAAAAAACAAUCAAGCUUUGAAUUACAAAAUAAUAAAGAUAUUCUUAACGGACGGACAUUAGCCACCCACAAUCUAUAUAUAUAUAUAUAGUGAAAACAAAGUUCAAUUUGUGUUUUGAGUUUAACACUCGCGAUCAUAAAUAUUAUUAUUAUUACUUUGUGCUUGUGCGCAGAAUCCAUGAACAACGCUGCAGUGUAAAUUAGGCAGCUAACAAGGCCAAAAAAGAGUAAGUUCAAUUUCCUUGCUCCACUACUAUCUCUUGUUUUCAUUUCUCUUUUGCUUUGUGAUUUGUGCCCAAUCCUGGAAUUUGUAAAUUUCAUCUCAGAACACACUGCAUGUUGUUCCUGAUUGAGGGUACCUUUUUCCCUCUUCGCAAAGGGGGAUGUUAAGUUGUUUUGGACUCUCUUUAUUACAGCAAAAGCUGGAGGCUAAAGCGCUGGGUUUCUGAAACACCCAAUUUUUGAUGGAAUCAAUUUAAUUUUACAGAGAGAAUGAGGUGUUGGCUUUAAAAGAGUAACCAAAUGUUCAAUAAUGCUUUUCAGCUUUUGGUAUUGAUAGGUACACCUGCUAUUAUGGUGUUUGGUUUCAUCUACCAGUCAAACUCAAACAUAUUACAACAACUAACGGACAAGUACACUUCGAAAUAAAUACACUACCACCACCAGAUGCGCAUACAUCGAUGUAUUAUUCCAAUCACCAUAUGCAUCACUAUCUUUACAUUUUAGAAUUUUUUUUUUGUUUUCUUUUGGGGCGGGGGGGGGGGGGGGGUGUUGAGGAUAAAUAUUGAAUAAUACCACUUGGACAGAAAAGCAAGAUGACAGAAAUGAUAAACUGGAGGGUAUUUUUUACUUACGUUAACUAUUUGGUUACAAGUGAGAAAUUGAGUUCCAACUUUAUUGCCCUGUUUCAUAAUGACAAAAAUAAAAAUCACAUGAUUCUCAUUUCGCUUUCUAUCACUUUGCUUUCCUGUCAAGAUGUCAUUUCUUGUAAACAAUCGUGGCUCAAUUUGGGAGAGUGUGAAUCGUACAAUCUAAUUUGAGCGCGUUCACGGUCCCAAGUGGAUGGCAUAAUCACACAUUUAUAUGCCAUCAACCAUGAGUUUUUUACAGUUCCUUAAUUUGCAUGCACCAGCUUUCUUUCACUAACAUGAGACAAAACCUUGUGGGGGCAUUACUACAGUAUUUUACACAUAGUGUACCCCACAGUUGAAAUACCGUCACCAAUGCAGCUUAGAGAUAGUGUCCAAAUUGUAAAGUACAAUGUCUUUAUAAUUUCGACUCUUACAACAGGUCAUAUGCUAAAAAAUGUGGUUAAUUUUUGUGCCACAGUAUCCCCUCUGUUUAGAUAAGACUGUCUAUAUAUUUUAUAGAUAGUGAAAUUAAAAGGGCUUUCACAUUCAUGACAUUUAACAUGUUAAAAUCUUGGAAGCUCAAGCUGAAGGCAAUUACAUAAGUUAGCAUUUGUUUAUUAAACACUUCAGAAUAACAAUGGACAACGGAUUGGAAGAGCGAGAGAGGCUUCUGGGAUUCGAGGAACAGGAGAGGAAUGAUCUGAAACAGAGGAUUUGGAAGGAAAUGAAGCUGACGUGGAGGAUUGCAUUUCCUUCUAUACUUUCCAGGAUUGCUUCAUUUGGACAAAUUUUGGUGACACAGAGUUUUCUUGGACAUGUUGGGGAAAUUGAACUCGCCUCAUUUGCACUCGUUCAAAGCAUCUUUUUGCGCUUUGUUAACGGAAUACUGGUAAGCAUCGUCAAUUUGAAUCAUAUACAUGUUUGUGUGUGCGUACGUUUGUGAAUGUGUAGACCACUGGAUUGAAGAAAGACAGUAACCUGAAUGAUUUUCUCUGAUCCUGUACUAAACUGCAAUCUGCUUUAUGUGAUGCCUUUUACAAAUGUCUUUAUAUAUAUAUAUAUAUAUAUCUUUUUAAAGAUCUAGUGACGAGCUGUUGUUUGCCUCUAAAUGUUCUAUGGUUCGUUUCAUUUACUUGUUCAUUCAUUUGAAGCUGGGAAUGUCAAGUGCAACAGAGACAUUAUGUGGACAAGCAUUUGGAGCAGGGCAUUAUCAUAUGAUGGGAAUUUACUUGCAACGAUCGUGGCUAGUUGAUUGUGUAACUGCUACAAUAAUGCUCCCCGUCUUCAUCUUUGGAACACCGAUCAUGAAUCUGCUUGGCCAGCAAAAGGAUAUAGCAGAAACAGGGGGGGUGAUUUCUCUGUGGUUGAUUCCCUUUGUUUAUAACUUCGUCUUCUCCUUGACAAUCCAAAUGUUCUUACAAGCACAGCUCAAGAACAUGAUUAUCGGGUGGCUAUCUACUGCUUCUUUCCUGCUUCACGUGCUUAUGUCCUGGAUCUUUGUGAGUGAACUUGACUUAGGUAUUGCUGGUGCAAUGGGCUCAUUAAACAUUUCUGCUUGGCUAAAUAUCAUUGGAUUGUUUGUUUACAUCUUCUGUGGUUGGUGCCCUGAUACUUGGAAAGGUUUCACCAACGCUGCCUUUACUGACAUUCUUCCUGUAAUAAAGCUGUCGAUAUCCUCCGGGGUCAUGAUAUGGUAAAUAUUGAAUGUUCUUCCUCGGAAAUUAUAACCUGCAUGUCAUGAUGCAUCUCCUGGGUGCUAAUUAAUUUAGCUUGUAAAAUCCUACGAUAGUACAUGAUCUGCUGUUCAAACCUCGCUCAUUUUUAUGCUAUGCUUUAAAAAAUAAGCAAACAAAUAAAUAUUGGAACGCUCUCUAAAUCUGUCUCAUAAGAUUCCGUUUUGACACUUUUUUUUCUUUUUUGGUUUCAUAAUCAAUUAUCUUACUUAAUUUUGAAUUGUGAUAGCUUGGAGCUCUGGUACAAUUCCAUUCUAGUCUUAUUGGCUGGGUACAUGAAAAAUGCAACCGUUGCCAUAUCUGCUUUCUCUAUUUGGUAAGGUCUUAGCUAUUAUUAAAACCUUAUUUCACAUUUAUUACUUCCAGUUCCAGUUGAUUUUCCUAAAUAAUCUUUUUAAGAAUUUGGCUUAAAGCUAAUUAAUUACAUUGUUGUUGCAGCCUCAAUGUCAGUGCAUUUCAAUUAAUGAUCUUCCUUGGCUUCCUUGGUGCCUCAUGGUAUAGAUAUACAUUGCUUCAACAAAUACCCUCUCUGGCUCCUUAUACUUGAAAUUCACAAGCUCUAAUGUUGUAAUAUCAUUUGUUGAUCAGCGUGCGAGUGUCGAAUGAACUCGGGAGAGGAAAUGCGAAAGCCACAAAAUUUUCCAUUAAAGUCAUACUCACUAUUUCAGCCUGUCUUGGAGUGAUCUGUUGGAUUUUAUGUUUAAUCUUUGGCCGUCAGAUUUCAUACCUGUUUACAACUAGUGAGGAAAUUGCAGAAGAAGUAUCGAAACUAUCUGUUCUGCUUUCUUUCUCCCUUUUGCUUAACAGCGUUCAGCCAGUACUCUCAGGCAAGUGUUAUUUCUUCGAAAACUUGGAAAAAAAAAUAAUAAUGCUAUGAUUACUAAGUGUGCGUUUGAUAUUAAGGUGUUACAGCUUAAAAGCUACAUUGGUUGUGGAAAAAAAAUGUAUCUAUAAAAUAAAAGUUAGUAAUACGUAAUAAAUAUAAAUUUUAAAUAAUAAUUUUGAUAAAAUUAUUAAAGAUAUAAUAGAUUUUUCAUCACACAAGUGAAAAAUUGUAUCAGUAUAACUUUUAAGUUACAGUAGUUAGUGUUUACCAAACACUUUAGUGCUGUACCUUUUAAGUUACAGUUGACCAACUUCAAUUCCAAACGCACCCUAAGUAUGAUACUUUGUUGGGAUACUCAUUGAUGCCUCGCAAAUCAAUUUUUCAGGGGUAGCUGUAGGUGCUGGAAUGCAAAGCACGGUUGCAUUUGUUAACUUGGGAAGCUAUUACUUUGUUGGAGUUCCUACAGGAGUUUUGCUUGCAUAUGUGGCCAAUCUCGGAGUUACGGUAAGAAAUAUAGUUUAUGUUUAAUUAAUAAUAACGAUCAAAUGUACUCUGGUUAAUUGAAUACAAUUUUAAUUAAAUAGAUAUGGUGUUUUGUAAAAAUUGUACCAUUGACUCUCUCACGAGUUGAUUGAUGUUGGUUUAAUUUGACAGGGUUUAUGGAUUGGAUUGUUGGGUGGAAUUGUUAUUCAAACCAUUAUUCUUUCCUUCAUCAUAUGGAGGACCGAUUGGGAUGAUCAGGUAAAUUAGGAUUGAUUGCAGGGCACGUGUUGUGAUUACUGCAAAUUUUUAUGAGAUUAAUUAUUGAGUGGUUUUCUUUAGAACACACUCUUUGAAAGGUUUUUUUGGUCCACAAUGGGUGUUUAUUUAGGUUAUAAAAAUUUAAAAAAUAAAUAAAGAUCAAAAGUUGGCUAAAAUUUAUAGAUAUUGCUCUCAUUCUUGCAGGUGAACAAGGCAUCCCAACGUCUCAACAAAUGGUUGCUGAAACCAUCUGAAAAAUCUGAUCGAAGCUCUCUAAAUAUGUAGAGUUGUGUAAUUCAUUACUUGCACAAGAAUAUUUGUCGGUUGGGCCUAUCAGUAGAAUAAUAAUAAAUCUGAAUGAGUUGAAUCCAAAGUUAUUCUUUUUUUUUUUUUUAGAAGGAAUCCAAAGUUAUUCAAUUGAAUGUAAAAUGGAUUUUCCAUCUUCUUUUGUCACCCCUGGAAAAUCCAUCUUAAAAUCUCUUCUUUAAUUAUAUAUUCCACUUAAUGUCAAUUUUUUAAAAUAAAUAUUCUUUUUAUUUUUGAAUCUAUGUGUUCCUGUAAUUUUCUCACUUUUAAAACUAUUUUUAGUCUUUAAUAUCUUUACUCUUCUCUUUGAAUUUUCUCUAUCUGCAAAUUCAAAAAAACUAACUUCUCAAAUAUUAAAAAUAAAAAUAAUGAAAAUGAGAAAAAAAAAGAGAGAAAGGAAAAUAGAUUAAAAUUGAAAUUUGUACGAACUAUUUAUAGUUAUUAUAGAGAUAAGACUAGAAAAGGGAAUGAGAAGCAAACCUUUUAACAAGUACCAAAAUUUGAUGAUUAUAUAAUACCGCGGACUGAAUUGAUACUUUGUUCUUGAUAAGGAUGAAUCACAAGAGCUGAGACGAUCUAGAAAGCUCUUGAUCAUAAUCAAUUUUGUAACCCUACUUCGGUAUGGUGCAUGCACCUGCUGGAAUCAAAUUCCUUGCAAUUGAUAGUUCCAACUUCGUAAGAUGAAAUUCGGUAAUUUUACAUAUAGGUUCGUCCCGAUUUGCAUAAAAUAUAGAUUUUAAAAAGUUUUUAUCUAAAUUUAAAAAGAAAAUAAAAAAAUUUAUUUGAGCCAGGUUAAAUCCUGGGACAUGUGGGUUAUGGGCCCACCGCAUUUAUGCUAUGUUGCUAUGAUUUUAUUGUUAAAAGUAGGGAUAAUAAUUUUUUCUGAUGAAAUCUUAUGGGAUCCCAUCUCAUUUGAGACAGGAUUUAGAUAUAUUUUUAUCUCACAAAAAAAUAUAGGAAUGGAAGUGAGAUAUUUUUUUAUCCCACUUACAUAUACGGGACGGGAUUGAGAUUGACAAAUUCCAUCCCAUCUCGUUUUCAUUGUAGACUAAGGAUGAGAAUUUUUCUAAUUGAGAUAAAAUCUCUCAGAAUCCCAUCUCUUUUUGGACGGGAUCGUGAUAUAUUUUUAUCCCAAAAAAAAUAUAAGAACGAGAGUGAGACAUUUUUUUAUCUCAUUUGCAUAUAUGGGACAAGACUGGGAUUGGUAAAUUCCAUCCCAUCUCGUCCCAUUGCCAGCCCUAGUUAAAAGGCUCUCAGUUUUAUUUAAAUAAAUCAAUGUGCUUUUAGAAAUUUCGAUAGGCAAUCUAAAUUGCUUUAUUGUUAAAAGACUCUCAGUUGCAUGUUCCCUUCUACGAUAUCUAAUACUCAAAGUCUUAAUUAUAUAUAUAAUUAGUAUUAUUAGUUGUAGGUAUCUUAUAUGAUCCGUUGAUAUCUGCAUAUGUACUAUUUAUUGUAUUAAUGCAAACUCUUUAUUAUUUAAUUAAUUCAAUCAUGAAGGGUAAAUAUGUCAUUUCACUUGAUUUAUACUCUUAAAACAUUUUGAACUCCAUGCUGACAUCGAGACCAAAAGUAAAAUAGAAAAAUAAUUAAUAAAGAUGACGCCGUUAUAACGGAAAAGAUAUAUAAACAUAUUUUGAAAAUUAGUGGAAGAUAUUUUUCUACUUAAUAACUAUCACCAACCAACAUCGUGGCGUCAUGCUACGUUUCCCUUGAGUGCUUGCGUCUUGUAUAUGCUUGGACUCGGAAUUUAUGCUCGUGGGCUCAUGUGUCCGCGUGUGGCCAAACAAAUACGAGACAAACAAAGACUCAAUGCACUCGAAAUCGUAAUCAAUGCUUCUGCAAUUUUUGCCAUUCAUCUGAGAGUAAGUGUUGACUGGCUUUCUUAGUUAUGCACUUAUGCUCCUGCAUAUAUGCCAAUGGCCAUUCAGUGACUCAGAGUUUCCACUUCCACUUUCUUUCUUCUUUUAUAUAUAUUUAUUUUUAAACAUGGUAAAAUUUUAUUGAUAUAUUUAAAAUUAGAAUCCUAAUAAAACUCACUUAGAUUAAUACUAUUAAAACACAGCUCAAAAUUAUACCCUCAUUAAUAAAAUAAAAUAUACUUUUCCUCAUAAUCUAAUUGACAAUUAGUACACAAAAGAGCAUUUUUACCUGGGGUCCAAUGUGAAAAAUGUUAAAUAAAAAGAAAAAAAGAAAGAAAAGUACAAAUCAUGAACACACACGUCGAGUGACGUGCCAACCGUCCAAAAUUUACCAAACCAGAAAAGAAAAUAGGGUGUAGAAUGAAUCACGUGAUUGAUCUUGUCUCGUUCACAUUUGUCCGAAAGUAAUUAUAGUGACAUCUUUCCUUGGCGACAGAAAUCCAUGGACGUGAUCUCGACAAACCCAUUUCUCAAAAUAACAAUUGAGAUCUAUUAGAAUAGGGAGAGUAACAUCUUAGUCCAUCUUAUAACUCAUUUUCACAUUUUAAUCUUUAAUAGAUUUUAAUACCUCAUUUUAUCUAUGAUGUUCAAACAAUGACAGAAUAAAUAAGCUGUUGAUGGGUAAAAGUUAUAUUUUAACAAUUAAAUUAGUUAAUUUUUAUUUGUGGAAGUUUCAAACAAUCGUUUUAUUUAUGAAAUGAUCAUACUUAUUAUGAAAUAAUUAUAAAGUGGUAAAAUCAAUUCACAUGAAAUUUACUUUUUGCCUUUUGAUCAUGUUAUGAAAUAACCUCAAUAAGUAUAUAUGCCUUUGAGAGUUUUACUGGUAUCAGUAGAGCUGAGUUGAUAUUGUUGGUGGUGUGGUAAGGAUAUGGUUUUGGAGGAUUUGGAUUUUUAGGGUAUUCCAUGGGUCUUACUUUUUUCAAAUCUCCAGUGGAAGAUAUUCAGCAUGUGGUUGCGAGCUUCAAUUCUCAUACUGUUGACAAUCUUGUCCAAUUUGAUGAGAAUUUCAGUUUUGAUGGGAAUCCAAUGUUGAUGCUUAUUUCUUGUUUGAGCCUGAGGAUACUGGAAGGCUUGAUCUUAGUCCCGAUUUUGGUAUUGCUAGCCCGCAUGCCUCUGGUUUAAAGAAAGGCUUCACAUUUGACACUGCUCGCAUGUAUAAUAAGCGGCACUCUAGGUAUUAGCUCAUCUUCUUAUAGUUUCUUUGUUAGAUUUUGCCUUAGUUUGCUCUCUUUAGUUAAUUCUUUGUUAUUUAAUUGCUUUUGCUAUUUAUUUUGUUUUUGUUAGUAGUGUUUGUUCUUUGACUUAGUGGUUUUGGUCACAUCACACUUCAAAUGUAUUUUCUUUUCUUUUAUUUAAUCUAUAGAUAAGGGGUCCCGCCUAACUUGGUUUCAAUUUUUUUUUUCUAAAAAGUUUGUCUUUUUUUCUUAUGCAUAUGCAUGAAAAUGAAUUAUGAAAGACCACAUCGCGAUAUGAUAAAAGAGCAACAUAUAAUUGAUAAAACUAUUGUGACAUGAUUGAUUAAAGAAAUAAAAAGUAGAUGUUUGUUUACUCUCUAUAUUUUGAGAAAAGUACUCAUUUAAUCUCUAUAUUUUAAGAAAUAAUUUAAGAUAACUUUGUUAAUAAUUAUAUUACAAUCUUACCCUUACUUUUCUUUUUGUUUAAAAAUAAAAUCAUAACAACAAUAUUCUUGAAAACAUUAAUGAAAAGAAAAAAUGUGAAUUUGUCAAAUCAACCUUAAAAGUAAAAUAAAAAUGAGUUAUUAUUAUUUUAGGAUUAAUUUGGUAAUUAAAUUAAUUUUAUACAAAAAACUAUUAGUAAGAUUGUUGCAAGGGUAUUAAACAUUACUUUAAAUUACUUGGUAUUCAUUUAUUUAUAAAUAUUAAUUAGCAAGAUUGUUACAAAAGUAUGAAAAAUAUCAAUUGUUUUAUACUUAUAUUUAUUUCUUAAUUUAUUAAUAAGUAAUUAUUGGUUAAUUUAUUAAUUAAUUUUUUUAUAGACUAAAAAAUUAAUGUAAAAUAUAUUGUUGUAAGAGUAUGUAAAAUAUAUUGUUUCAAGAGUAUUAUUGUAAACACAUAAAAAAGAAAAAAGAAAGGAUAGGAGUGUUAUAUAUUUAAUAAUAAAAAUGUCUUAAAGAAUUUUAAAAUACAAACAUUAAACGUAGAGUUAAGUUAAAUUUAGAGACUAAACAGCGAAACAAAUAAAGUAAUCUUGCUUUGCCAUUUCUCUUUGUCGUUAUUGUCAUAAAUAUUGUGACAAAAACAAGCACCAUGUAUAGUACAAUAUGCCCCAGAAGCAUGUAUAAUUUAAUUAAUUAAUUACAGAGCAGGGUGGCCAGUGGAAAGUGAACGGAUGGAUAAAUUCCCAAACGAUUGAUUUUGACGCAUGAAUGAAUUGAUUAUAUUAUGUUACAGAUUCUGUAACAUACGCACCCAAUGCAUGCACCACACCUGUCCUGCACAUGGAGAAAAGUAUGCAAUUAUUUUUGUUUAGUAUCUAGCUAACCAAUCAGGAGCUGGCCAAGUUGGAUCUGUAUGUUACAGAAUCUGUAACUUAGCCAGCUCCUUGAUUAUAUAUACCCAUGAGUAAUUAUUGUACGCUCAUUUUCACUGUUUUUUCAUUCCACUCUGUCAGCUUACUAAAUUAACAUCAUCCCAUUCCCCAGGUGUCUUCUUUGCUUGCCUCUACUUUCAUAUCUCCUCUGCCUAUGCAUUCUUGAAGUGAGAAAUUAAUCUCUUGGGCUGAAACUCUAGCUAGAAGCUAUCCUCCUUGUUCAACUAAUCAAGCAAGAACUUCUCUCAAGGCCAAGUAAGCUUCCUCCUCUCUCUCUUUGAAGUUUCCUCUUCUCUCUCUUUUUCUCUAAAUAUUUCUGUCAACAGUGACAUGAAUCAGAGGGGAACUACGUGUAGAGUUCAAUAUAGUUUUUUGUUAUAUGUUUUAAUUAACUUCAUAAGUUUUUUUGUUAAAGUUUUGAACGUAUGUGUUGUUGUAUUUGAUUCUUUUUCAAGAAAAUAAUUGAGAAAAUAACCCUACAACUGGGAACCCUUAAAACACAUGACAAAUGUAAUAAAGAAAUCAUAAUUCAUACUAAAAAAGCUAACUCUCUUUACAUACAUACUAUGCGCAGCUGUAUUUGCAAUUAGGUUCCUUUUUUUUUCUUUCAAUGAAAGAUAUGAAUCUCUUCUUUCAAUCUCUUAUUAUUUAAAUGAAUACAUAUAGAUUUUUUUCUCCUUAAUACCUACCCGUGUACUUAGUCAUUUUCAAUUCAUUAAUACUUUCUUGAAUAAUUUUUUUUUUUUUAAAUGUGGUGGUUGGACUGUAUUUUCUUUUAUUUCCUAUUUGUCCUUUAAGUAGUUUCUAUUAAUUACACUCACCCAUGAAUUCAGAUAAGUUGAGUGGACUUGAUCGUAAGUCUUCUUUAUAUUUAAUCAAGUUUUUGUCUGAUUCAUAGCUCGAAAAGAUACAUUAUUAACAUGAUUUUUGCUGUUACAAUGCAUCUUACCAACAUCGUACAAGUGCACCUUAAAUAAAUACUUCCUACCGGUGAGCGAACACCGAGACACACGCCACUUCGGCCGUGCCGAAGAGGUGGGCUGCUGCCCUCACAACGGUUUAAGCCCCUACAAAAGUAUUAUAGGGACUAAACAUUUAUAUAUUCUUCUUUCUUGCGAAAUGCAAGUGAAAUAGGGGCAUCCUCUUCUGUAAGGAUAAUUUAUCUGAAUAUCUAUUUCAUAUAAUGUAAUAUAAUCAUAUAUAAAUUCCAGUCAUAUAUAUUUGAUUAUAAAUAUCAAUAUAAUAUUUGAUAGUCGUUGUAAAUAUCUGUAUAAUAUAGUAAUAUAGUGUGUAAUCAAUAUUAAAAAAAAAACACCGAGACACACAAAAUCCACACAGAAUGAGACGCAAAAUUCAAGAGAAAAAGCCACUAAGAUUUUUAAGAGAUUUGCUUUUGGACUGAAACGUGACACAGACGUGCAUCGGUUACAUAAUUUUUUUUUUAAAAGAUAAACUUUAGAGUUUGCACAACUAUUUUGAAAUUUUAAAAAAAAAUUAUGAAACUAUUUUUAAAAUCAAAGAAUCUACAUAUUCAUUUAAACAAAUCUUAGACGUAUAGAUGAUUUUUCUAUUAAAAUUCAGACUCGAAUAAUAUCACUCAUAAUUAAACAAAGGUGUGUGUAUGAAAUAUAUCAACAAAUUAUGUGCCUAUUGGUUGCGCACAAGGCAAAUUUUUUUUUUUAAUUUUUGGUAUUGAUCAAAUUUAGAGGGGCCGGGAUUAGUUCUUUACUGGAUUAAAGCAGUCUAGGUAGAUUAAUUUGCUAUCUAUAUUUGCAUUUUCCAUAUGUAACAUUAUUUUCUCUAAACAAAACUGUAUUUUAGAUGGAGGAGAGACUACUCGGUUCAGAAGCAAAAGAUAUUGAUGAUUUAAAAGGGAGGGUUUGGAAAGAAUCGAAAAAGCUAUGGAGGGUUGCAUUUCCUGCAAUGUUAGCUAGGGUUUCUCAGUAUGGUAUGUUCGUUAUCACACAGGGAUUUAUUGGUCAUCUUGGUGAGGUUGAGCUUGCAGCUUACGCGCUCAUUCAAAUCAUAGCCGUCCGAUUUUCAAAUGGGAUUUUGGUAAGAUUUUGUGAUUGCAUUUAUUAUCCUUAUCUCCCAGUACAAUAGGGAUCGACAAAAUAUGAGCACUACUAAUCUUAUCUGCCCCCACGAUUCCACUCGACCUUCUAUUUUAUUUUUCUUUUUCAGAAAGUUGGUCUUAUUCGUCCGGGUAAUUCCCCACUUUAGUGUCCUAAAGUUGAGCUACAUAUUGACGCCAUUAUUUAAUUUGCACCUUUAUCUAAAAAGCAAUCAUGCAAAAAUUUUACUUAUAUCUUUUUCUGGUAUUCUCAAUUUAUUUCAUCACCGACCUUUUCGACGUGAUUUUUUUUAUUUUAUUCCUCUUUGGUUUGUCCUAUUUUGUUAGAUAGAAGAUAUUUGUUCAAACUCAAUUAUUGUAGCCACUGGGCGGCUGGCGCAGCCCUCAAUUGGUCAUGAAUUGCGUCGUGUUACUUGAGUUUGAAUAAUAAUUAAAGAUAAAAAUUGAUGUUUAGUGUCUGAAAUUUGUCCAUAUCAAAUGACGUAAAGAAUUUGGGGAGAAUGACUUUGAAUUAGGUCCCAAUAUCUCUUACUUUUAUCACUUAGGCUCUUUUUUUUUUCUCCUAAUACCCAUUACGUUCUUGAUUUUAUAAUUUGAAGGUUCAAAUUUUAUUGUUGAAGAGCAAAUGUAACUUUUUACCUACAAAACUUAGUAUCCAAAUUAUUUUUUUUCUUUUAAUAUUUGAAUAUUAGAGACUUAAAUAGCAAGAGUUUAUUUGUUAAACGUCUGAAGUCUGAAAUUUUAUUAAUUUAAGAUACUUUUUAAGUUUACUUGUUUGUUUUUUUUAAUAACUUAUGUAUGAUUUUUAGACAUUUAUAUUAACUUUUGUGACUUUUAUCUAAAUGAAAAAAUGUCUUAAUGGAAAGGUAAAACUAUAUCCAGAAAUAUCUCUAUCAAAUAUAAUUAUUUCUUAAAAUAUAAAACCAAAUAUCUUUAUACGUUUUAACUUAUAAGGACAUAAACAUCAAAUAUCCAUGUUAUCUUUUUUAUUUUAUAAAAAUAAAUAAAAAGUACCUAUGUUCAAAUAUUAAAAAAAAAAAUAGGUCAUCCAAAUAUUUGUAUUCAUAUUCAUUUAGACUUCUGUUAAAUUCAUACUUAUUUAAUUUUUCAGACAAAAAAAAAAACUCUUGGUAAAAUUAAAAAAAAAAUUAAGGAUCUAACUGUCAUUCUUCUAGUAUUUCAUGGAUAGUACUUAUAAAUAUGUUUAAUAAUAAACAAACGACAUGACUACAAAAUUUUUUAAUGUGCCAGGUUUUCUCCAUGCCUAUAAGCUUCUAGCUAGCUUUAGCUGAAUUUUGUGUGAAUCAAGUUGACUCUUUUUAUAAUAAGGGCAUCAGAUUCGCUUAUAACUUUGUUUGGUAUCAAGGAAAGUUACAAUUGUAAAAUAAAAAUUAAUAGUAAUAUAAUAAAUAUAAUUUUAAUAAAAUAUUAAAAAUAUUAUAUAUUUUUCAUCAUAUAAAUAAAAAAUAAAAUCAAUUUAAAUCUCAAACUCCAAUAUUAAGUAUUUAUUAAAAAAUUUAGCAUCAUCACUAAAAAUUAACAAGUGCAUGUCCAACUACAACACGUACAGGGACUCUGUGUAGACUCUGCGUAGAAGGGCACUGGCUUCUUCCUGAUUGUGCGUAAUGAUUACUUUAAGAAGUGGCAAACAAUGAAGGGCCCGCAAUGAAGAAACCUUCAGAGUGCAGAAUUUCUUUAGGGUUAUAAAAUCGAAUUAUUCCAUGAUGUGAGAAUCUCAACGUAUAGUUUUAUUGUGUCCAUUUAAGCUAUUUAUUUGUACUAUCAUUUCACCACCCUUUUUGUCCCGAUUCGAUAUUAAUUCUAAGGGAGAAUAAGUCUUAGGUCCCCUAUAUUUUUUUCACAUUUAUUAUUCAAGUCCCCAGUUUAUUAUGAAUUAUCCAUUAUAUAUCCAGGAUAUAUUGUAGUAGAUUGACAGUAAGGUUACCAUGGUAAAAGAGCUUAAAAUAGUUGAACUCAGGGGUGUCAAAUUGUGCCAUGCUGUUAGGAUCUCACCAUAAAAUUUAAGUUAUUUCGAUACGUCGUGUUAUAUUGUAUUGUAUUGUAUUAAGAUGUAAUAAUAAUGUAUCAUAAGGGUGUAUUAAAAAUCUCCGGAUUCAAAUUGAAUAAAUUGGCUAGGGCGCCACUGAUGAUGAACAAUGAAACUGCAUAGAACAAAAUUAUGGAGGUAGAAGAGAUCUUUGCAAAUUGAUAACGAUAUUCAGUUCUUAUAAAUCAAAACAAUCAGCUCUUACAAUCAUAAUGCAAUCGAAGUCAAUUUUUUUUUUCAAUCUUUUCAUUUUGCAUUUUGUAGAUCGGCAUGUCAAGCGCAACUGAAACUCUGUGCGGGCAAGCAUUUGGAGCAAAGCAAUACCACAUGAUGGGUAUCUACUUGCAAAGAUCAUGGAUCAUAAAUCUUGCUACUGGAACAAUAUUGCUUCCUGCGUUUAUCUUCGCAGCGGAUAUUUUCAAACUGCUCGGAGAACAAACAGACAUAGCAAACAGAGCCGGAGACAUCUCACUUUGGUUCAUUGGCAUUCUCUAUUUCUUUGUCUUCAGCUUAACGAUCCAAAAGUACUUGCAAGCACAGCUCAAGAACAUGAUCGUCGGAUGGCUUUCGGCUGUUGCAUUUGCUGUUCAUGUGGCCUUGUCAUGGAUCUUUGUGAGCAAAUUGAACUUGGGGAUUCCUGGUGCAAUGAGUGCAAUGAUAAUCGCAAGUUGGUUUAUAGUAAUUGGACAGUUUGUGUAUCUCUUUGGCGGUUGGUGUCCCAAUACAUGGAAAGGAUUCAGUUCUGCAGCUUUUGCUGAUUUGUAUCCUGUUUUGAAGCUCUCAAUAUCCUCAGGUGUAAUGAUUUGGUAAGAUAUCCAUUUCUAUUGUAUAUCUAUAGCCGAACAAUAUAUCUAUUUAAUGUUUUAAUCUGUCCCCAUGAAGUUAACCCAAGAGUUUUCAAACAGUUUUUUUUUGAGCUAAUCGUAUCGUUUUAUGUUCUUUUUUGGUGGCUUUUAACUUUAAUAGCUUAGAGUUUUGGUACAAUGCUCUUCUAGUCCUAUUAGCAGGAUAUAUGAAAAAUGCCACAAUUGAGAUUUCUUCCUUCUCCAUUUGGUAAGUUUUAAAUUUAUGCCAUAUAUACUAUUUCUUUGUUUUCCUGUAAAGUUUUUUUUAUGCCAAAAACUACACUAAAUUAGAAUAUUUGAAUGUCAUUGUAGCCUCAAUAUCAUAUCUUGGGAAUUUAUGUUGGUCUUUGGCUUCCUAGCUGCCUCUGGGUAUGUCUCCAAAAAUGAUCAUCUCCUUUAAAAUAAUAACAUAGAAAAAGAAAGAAUAGUAACAUCUUUUGGUAUGGUAAAUAGUCACAAAAAUUCUCUUAUUUAUAGAAAUGGUCACACAGACCCUUUUUUGGUAUAUAAAAUUAUCUUUUCUGUGCAUAAAAUUGUUAAACAAACUCCUAAAAUUUAUCUAAAAAAGGUGGUCUGUGUGAUCAUUAUUCUGAAAUAAAUGAGUCCCUGUCACUAUUUCUCCAAAUCACGGGUGUCGCCAUCUUUUAUUGCAUUCAUAUCAUCUCUUAUAUCUUAUUUGGUUUUCUAGUGUGCGGGUUUCAAAUGAACUGGGGAGAGGAGAUGCUAAAGCUGCGAAAUUUUCUGUAAAAGUUGCAAUAGCUACCACAACUGUCAUUGGAUUUUUCUUUUCCUUAAUCUGCUUAGUCUUCAGCCGUAAGGUAGCACAUUUGUUCACAAGUAAUGAUGAAGUAAUAGAAUCCAUCACAAGCCUCUCAGUGCUGCUUGCUUUCUCGGUUUUACUCAAUGGCUUUCAGGCAGUACUCUCAGGCAUGUACUGAAUUUAAUAAAUAAGAUUGCGAUAGUUAAAAUGUUUCUAAUUCAUCAUUACAAUGGAUUAAUAUUUUCAAUGUAAGUUAUUUAUUGCAGGGGUGGCAGUAGGUGCUGGCCGGCAGGCUGUGGUUGCAUAUAUUAACAUCAUUUGCUAUUAUUUCAUUGGCUUACCUGUUGGCGUUCUUCUCGGAUAUGUGGCCGAUCUCAAAGUUAAGGUGAGAAUUAUUUUGCAAUUUGAUAUUUCAAUCUGAAUUUGGAUUAGAGUACUGAUUUGAGUUGGGGUGAUUCUAUAAAACAUCUUGUUUCAUAUGUACAAGAUUUAUUUGAAUUUAGAUCAUACGAUAAUUUUAAUAAUACUCAUUUUUUAAUAAAUUUUUACCACGCAUGUAAUAAUUUAUAGUAAUGUACCGUUAACAUCUAAUUGCCUAUGUAUUAUUUUUCAAUAACUAUGGAUCACAAUUCACAAUUCUCUAAAAGAAAAAAAAAUAAAAAUCAUAUCAACAAUAAACUUAAUCCAUAUUCUUAUGAACCAUGCUACNNNNNNNNNNNNNNNNNNNNNNNNNNNNNNNNNNNNNNNNNNNNNNNNNNNNNNNNNNNNNNNNNNNNNNNNNNNNNNNNNNNNNNNNNNNNNNNNNNNNAUCAAUACUAUGGUCAAGGGGUCGAAUCCCGAGUGCACUGAAAUUGAACCGGAUUUGUUUUAAUUAGAAACAUACAUUUAAGUUUAAAUUUUUUUCAUAAAAAUCCAUGAUGAUUAUUUGAAUGAAUGGUUUGAUAUUGCACAUCAUGAACAGUAACUUUAAAAAAAAUUCGAUUGUAGUUCAUCUUCAGAAACAAGAUCUGAUUAUUCUUUUAAUUUGCACAGGGUAUUUGGACUGGAAUGCUGCUUGGGGUAGUAAUGCAAUCACUCGUGCUGGGGUAUGUCACCUGGAAAACCGAUUGGGACAAUGAGGUAAGUAAUUAAAAUAAAUUCACCAAUAUGUACACAUCAUCAUCAAUUGCAUGCCUCAUUAAUGCUCAAUCUCUCUAAACUUUUCAAAAAAGAAGUGUCAUAUUUAAUUUGUAGACUUGAAUCAUACAUUUGAUGACAACACUAUUUCCUCUCUCUAGGUGAAGAAAGCAUCAGAACGACUCAAUAAGUGGCUCUUGAAGCCUUCUGAAGAAGAAUCCAACGGCAAUUAAACUCAACAAGUUAAGGUCCAAUAUUGCUUGAAGAUCCUGAUAAUCUCAAUCAUGCAUGUAUUUUCUCUGCCAAUAAACCGAUUAACGUUAACAACAAUAACAACUUCAGAUCAAAUUUCUUUCUUUUUGUCUGUUGGCAAGAAGAGCUUGAUAAUGAGCCUGCGCAAAUGCAAUCUAAUAUUCUGAGGUUAAUUAAUUCAAGAAGUUGCAUCUUCACAAG